CAGAAAGUAAAAAAAAAAAAAGAAAAAAGUAAAGAGAAAUUUAUCUCACAGCAUUCCUAUUAUUAAAAAAUAUCAAAUAAAUGUGCUCCGAGAUAUAACUUCAUGCACAUUCAGAAGUUCUCAGGCCAAAGAACAUUAUAGCAACUACAAAAACUCAUGAGCCAGCAGGUCUUGUCCCAGUACAAGGUGAAGCAACUAAAAUUAUGCUUUAAGAACUUUAUAUAUAUAUAUCACGAACGCAGGAAGAAAAUUAUUUCUAUAUCAAAAUCAAGAUCACCCAACCAAACAAUGGUACCUUCCAAUAUACCUAGUGUAUGUAUAUAGGCAUCCAUUGAUUGAUACUUUGAAUUUAAUUAAUAAAUCAAUUUCAGGUGUCAUGUUUCCACAUUAAAGAGAGAUAAUAACAAUUAACUAGAUAUGACAGGACUGGAUAAAAAUUUGCUCAAAAUAUACUACAAAGAUCAAAUUUUAUUACUUUUCACCUGCUGUCAUUUCUCUCCAACGUCAGAUCAUGACCUCGAGCAACUCUUUCGGCUUUCUUCGCCCAUUUUUCUUCUUUUUACAGCAUGAAGCUAAUACGAAGCCAAAUGAAAAGUAGAUUAGUCAUUUCAAAUUCAAUUUAAUUGUCAAUUGAAAAGUUCAAUUGUUACCUUCAUCAGCUGUAGAAUCAAUAGUUAAUGAAAUAUACAAUAAGAAGAGUAAAAAAUUUCACCUGCAAAUUAGGACAGCCGAGGAAGCAUCCGUAAACAUAAGAGUAAUUAUAUCACUCUGAAAUUUCAUAAGAGAGAAUUAGGACAGCAGCGAAAGAAAUAAACAAAGCAAUUUGCAAAGGACACAGGCAUAAACAUGAUAGUAAGAAUAAAAUAUCAAACUGUAAGAAGAAGCGAGAAAAACAAAUCAAAAACAAACUGAGAAGCAGGAAGAGCUGUGAUGGUAAAUUCUUCAUCUAAAGCAGUUGAAGAACGAGCAAUGGAUACCGGUCCUUCUUCGUGCUAUCGAGAAAGGAGUCAGAGUUGAGAUCGAGAGAACAACGGAGACCGAUUCUUCGUCUCCGUAAUUUUCCCCUUUUUCUAAAAUGCUAUUUCGCAUUUCCUUUGCUUUUUGGUUUCCGUAUUUCGAUUUUGUUUUUAAUUAGGUAAGAAAAAAAGAUCGGGCCCUAUUUCAAAAGAAAAAUAAGAAGGGGCCCUAAAAGUAAUUUUUCCGAGCCCAUGCAUUCGAUUAAAAUAUUUCAUUAUCUUAGUGGACAGAUUGCCCAAGAAAAAAUAUUCGAUUAAAGCACAUAUUUUAAAAGGUAAAUAACGCGCUCAGAGAUGUUUAAUCAAUAAUACAGUUGUUUAUUAUAGUGAUAACUACUACUUAUAUAUUAAUUCUUCAAAAUAAUUCCACAUUUAUCAUAUUAUCAUUUACUUAUUUUGUAAGCGUUUUAAAGAUAUUUAAAAAUUUUUCCAUUUGACAAUGCUCAAUUAAGGGUAAAGUUUAAAUUAUGUCACAAAAAGUUUUUGAACAGCAUUACACAAAGCAUUUACUGUUUUAACAAAAGAAUGCAUAUGAGGGGACAAAAAAAAGUAAAAGUAUGAGUUUGACUAUUAUCACAGUAAUUAUUUCUAUUUCAAAAGUUGAAAUGUGAACCUUAACAUAUUUUGCGGAAUUUUUUCAAUUACUUUUUAAAAUUACAUGUACAUGGAUGAUUGCUUACUAUUGUGAAAGGCGAUAUAUUUAAUUUGAAGAAAAUUCCUUCUAGACCGGUAGCGUUGGUCGUAGUUGCCCUGUCGAAGAAGUGUUGUUAGCUCGAAACCUAUUGCAAAUGUCAAUGCAAAAUGGUUUCAAUGUUUCGUUGUAGAGCUGACGACAAGCUUCUGAAAACAACGUGCCAUAUUGAAACACAACAACAAUAAUGGCAGUGCCAAUCCAUGUCGUGUACAAAAUGAAAUGGCCAAUAUUGGAACGUGGAAUAAAUGUGGAGACCAAUGAUAUUGCCGAAUUCGAUCCUGAGACAAUAGCAACAAGGCCCCAGAAUUGGGAAGAAUUUUCUAGAUGAAGCCGAGACUUGAGGUCUGCUGAAUGUGCAUAACAAUAUAUGGCUGUGGCAAUGAGAAAAGACAAUAUAUUUAUUGAGUGUGUUUCAAGCAAGGGCUUAGUUUUGCCUUGCACAUUUGCACCCACAAUGCCAAUGAGAGCUGGAAUCAGAUAUCCAAAAAUGCUGGGAUAUGACAUCGACCAGAAGAGAUUUCGCCCACUGCAAGAUCAUUAAAAUGAUUAAAUCAUCUUUUGUAUAUCCCAUUUUUUGACAAAAAAUUAAAAUUGAAAAGCUCUUGUAUUAAUUUCCUCUCAGUUUGUCUAUCAAUUUUUUUUCUUUUGACUGAAGCAAUUCUCCUCUAAAAAUUUGAGGGAACACUUUUCAUCUGCACCCAAAUGUUUCAUCAAAAUAUUAUUGUAUACCCAAAUGUUUCAUCAAAAUUUUAUUGUAUACACACUUGUUUCAAUAGCUAUCACGGCUCACCCAUUUAUGUUAAAUAUUUUUUUUUUUGCCAUUAAUUUUGACAUCUUUGACAUUGAAAGACAGUUUUGCCCUUACUUAAAAUUUUUAAGUGUAAAAUCACCAAAAAAAACUACAACACUAGUUUCAAAUUCCAAUUGACGUGUGUGAAUAUUAAAAUUUCUUAAAAGUUAAAGAAAAAAAGUAAAAAUAUUUUGUUAUGGGAAUCAAAAUAUCCCCUGUACCAUCAUCAUCCAUAAUCGUCCAUCCAUGAUAACAAUUUAAUAAACUUGAAAAAGCUAGAAAUCCAAUCCCAGUGCAUCAAACAGCCAAUUUUCUUCAUAAAGUUUAGCUUUUGCUUUUAAAAAUUCUAACUCUUGAGACCCUAAAUAAACCCAUAUUCAAAGUUACAUGUUUCCAUAUAACGAAAAUCUUCAAUUUACCCCUUUAAAAUUUUGAAAACAUUAAUUUACUUCUAUUUAUCAGUCAAAAGAUUAAAAUAAAUGGAGACACGUUGAGGAUAAACUUUUUAACUUCAAAGUGGUAUUUGAUAAAUAUAAAUAAAUUGAAAAUUAUCAUUUUUUAGUGGGAAUAAGUUACUAAGAGAAAGAAAGAAAACAGAAAACAAAUCUCUUCUAUAGCAGUCUUAACAAAAUUUUCAGCAGGGACUUGAACCAAUUUUUUCACGGAAAUUAAUUAACAGAACAAAAACGCUUUGAAGUGGACUGCACAUAUAUAUAUAUAUACUCAAAAAUAAAUAUACAACUGGAGUCAAUAACGGUAAAUAAAAUGAACGUACACAGAAGGGUUUGGAUUUGGAUGAUGAAGAAUGCACUGACAGCUUUGCAUUUGCAUGCAUAUAUAUCUCAGCAAACCCUGGAUUGAGUUCUUUUUCUCUCGGUAAAUAAGGUAGGGAACAGCAAACCCGAUCAAUUUUCAAAAAAGAAAAAACAAAAACAAAAACUGAAAUGUAAACUCAGCAUGAAACUUGGGAGGGAAAGGGGAGGGGUGAAAAACGGUCACCUUGAGAACCGUCUCAAUUAUCUCUGCUUCAAAAAAUCAUCCCGUGGGUAUUUAUAUUUUAUUUUCAAGUCGUUGAUGCCGCGAGUCCACGGCUGGAUAAGUACGGGGUUUCGAAGAAAUAACGUGCGCGAUUCUAAACAUUGUUUAAUUACAAUUCCAAAGUGUUGAAAAUGACUGCGUUAUCCCCCGACUUUUUCAAUUCCUACCGAGUGUUGAAAAUGACUGCGUUAUCCCGUCUUUUUCAAUUCCGACCGAGUGCUGAAAAUGACAGCGUUAUCCCCUGUCUUUUUCAAUUCAAAAGUGUGUGGCAUCUCUGUAGCUCAAUUCAUGUACCCCUAGAUGUACAUGUAAGAAGAAAUGCUCUUCCAAAUAACAUAUUGAUACUAGAUCUACUGUUGUUUCUUCAGAACUUGUUAGGAAAGGUUACUAGCAGGUAAAUUAGAUGCAUAUACAUACUGCUAUAGGAAAUUGAACAGCUCCUUACAUAAUUGGUGUAACUUCUUAUACAAACAAGAUCCCUUCCCGGCAAUAGAUAGACAUCAAUAUUCAGAUACUCAAGAAAUUAUAAGGGUGUUGAAUGUUAGAAACUUUACUUCCCCCCAACAUAAGCUCCCAGUUUAGACAGAUCAGGAUUCCAAAAUGAUAGCUCAGAUGAUCCGAUACAAACAUGAGACUUCCAGGGGCCCAUUUUAUGACAGGAGGCUCUGUAUGAAAACUCAUCCAACUUGCAACCCUGACAAGAAAAAUAAACAACAACAAACAAUGUUUAUAUAAUAACAAUACCAACGUCAAAAGAGUAUAGUAUUUGGAUAUAGAACUCAUUACGCAAACUGGUGCUCAAGGUACUUGCUCAAAUGUAGAAUCAAAAGCAUUGUUGGUUUGCCCAGAAGACUGUGAAUACUAUGACUGGGUCAGUGUAGGGGAAAUAACAUCCCUUUGAAUUCUAAGCAUUCAAAAGGCACGAGAAUCAAGGAAUUUUGCUUAUCAAACCUCUUUCCCGCUCCUUGCACUCCAAGCAUAUACACUACCAUCACCAGAACCUUCCAAAACCCAAGAAAGUAAAAUUAGCACAGAGAGUGCAACUAAUGAGAGGUGCUUGGCCACACUAGGUAGGUUGCUUCCGCAUGUGUGGGUGCACUCACUAUGUCAGCAUUUCAUUGAUUUAUUUUCAUUAACAAGCAGGUCAAUGGAAAAAGAGAACAUAAAUUCAUUGCAAAGAACUCUGUGGAAACAAGCUUGAUGCCCAACAUUUCAAGUCGUGUAUUUCAAAUACCAACAAGGUGGUAACAAAAUUGAGAAUUAUAUACAGCACAAGUGCAAGAACCUUAAUAAACAGCCAAAAGCAAAUAUUAAUAAAUUAUCCAAGUCACUGUGCCCUAAGAACUGAAAGGAGAAACUCUACCUAGCUGAAAGAUGCCUCCAAUGUGGAAUUGCGAGAAACUGGCAUCGCAUUAUAAAUGGAUAAAUAAAAACAACAGCAAACAGAAGCUCAUUAACAGAGAUUCCAAUGUAUAGAGGGAUAUAUAUGUACAAUAUGUUACAUUUGGGAGAUGAAGAAAGAAAAAGUAAACUCACAAGUGUGCCUUGGAAUGAGUGGAGCACAUGAAUAUGUCCUUCCAUAGUGGUCAGAAGCAUGUCUCCCAUCAUUGCUGAGCUUUACCUCAUUAGCAUCUGAUACAUCUCCACCAUCAGAGAAGAUGUCGAAAGGACCCUAAGAGUAUUCAAAUUUAACCAAAUUAGUGCAUGAUAAAAGGACUACGACAUAUAAACUUCCAAGAUAUUCUUAAAUAUUAAUUUUAACCUCAUACUUGCGAGCAUCAAACAAUCUUAUGUAUCCUCCAAAGGCAACUGCAAAGACAUGCCCUUGAUCAUUGUAUGCUGUAGCAGGCCUUCCUUGAACAUGCAAAAGACCCUGAUUUGCCAACAGAGAUCAUAAAUACAAUUGAAAAUGGGGGAAAAAACGGUUUGGAUGUGACCAUGCAUGGCAUGAUAUCCACCUGGCAUUUCUCAGCCUGUUGAUCCCAGAGCAGAACAGUUCGAUGAAGAGAACCAUAGAUAAAGCAAUCUUUGGAGGAGCACAGGCUAAGUGAAACAACCCUAGAAGCAGUAAAACAUAUAUAAAGAUAAUAAUGAUUACAAAACAUUUACAAGAAUCAGCAAAUUACAAACCUUUCAUGAUGACCUUUGAAGCAAUGCAUGAACUUGUUGUCGUGGAAGGAAAGAAGCCUUAGAGAUUCUGAAUAAAUGAACAUAUCAAAUAAGUGCCUAGUAAAGCAAUCCACCAACAUGCAAAACACAAAUAUUCCGAUAAACAUACCAUCCCAACCAUUCUUGAGGAAUAUAUGAAAUGUAAGUUAGGGAUUGCCAAGAAAAAAACUUUGAUCAAUUUCCAGCUGAGAAUAUUUAUGCCAACUCUUGCCGCAAUCACAUCUGCAAUAGUUCCCACUGUUGGAUACACUAACUUAUAAACAGCAAUUCUGACAGAAAAAAAAACGGGGGUUAAAGUUAUAAGUACAAUCAAUUAGGUGGUAGCCAUGCAAUAUGAAUGUACUUGGUUUGCUGCCUAAUAGCUAGGCAUACAUAUAUAUAGGCAUUCAUUAAUAUCGAAUUAUUUUUAACAUUCAAAUAAGUUAGAAAAAACAUAGAAAAACUUACGGGGCACAUAUCGCCAUCCCACUGGCUAGCCCAUAAAAGAAGCCAUCGACGACCUCCGGAACACCAGCAUUUCCAGCAGCAGCUGAUGCUACAUGGCUAAUGUGUACACACACAUGUUCAUCUCUCAAUAUCAGUGUGUGCAAUAAGUGAAAAGAUAUAUAAAUUAGAUUGAAAGCACAAGUAAAUAAACAUGAAUGAAUACCUGCCAUGUCCAACAGCAUGAAAGGGCGAAAGAAAGUCCACAGAAGUGUUAAGAAUAUAUGAAAUGUAUAUUCUUGAGGAAAUUACAACAAUUUCCUCUCAAUUUCACAAUUAUUUGCGCUUGAAUGACAGAAUGAGCUUUGAUCAUUAAUUUAUCCAUGCAUGAAGUUAUAGUAGAUAUGAAAUUACGUGGACAAAAAAUUAUUAUUUUUUACCUUUUUUUACCAACACCGAUAUGCUCACACCAAACUUCUUUUACAGUUAGCACAAAACGGUUCGUUUUGUGCUAACUAUAAAAGAAGUUACUGUAGCUUCAAAACACACGCACUCGUCUUGCUCAGACGCAAGCGCAGACCACACGCACACUCGUCUUACUGAAACGCAAACGCUGAGGAGGCAGAGACUCGCCGUGGAAAGUUUGUUUGACAUAAGUUGUCUGACGAUUUUGCCCUUGAAAUGAAGAUUACGCCUCAUGACUUAAAAUCGCUUGGGUUGUGUUUCUGUUUCUGCGUUUGUUCUUCCUCUUCGCUUUCGGCAAGUGAAAUAAAUGAAUAAACAUUAGAUGGAGUUUUAUUCAAUAUUUAAAAUUUUGUUAAUUUGUAACGUGAUUGGAAUUUUAAUUAUUAUAAGAAAUAAGUUCUGGAUCGGAUUUUAAAAUACUUUAUUUGAAUACUCUAAAAAAUGCAGUAUGUUCACAAACUGUAAUUGCCGAUAUAAUUCCCCAGAACCCCAAUUCCAGAUUACUUAAAUCACGGCGGGGGCUGCGGUAUGUUCACAAGGUAAAAAAUGCAGUACGUUCACCAUUCCAAGUAUAACCCUUUUGACACAGUUCGCCUUCUAUUUCAAAGUUCAUACAUUUUCAAAAUUAUUAAACUAAAAUCAGCCAGAACCAAUUUUUUUUCCUUUUCAACUUCUAUUAAAAUUUCACUAUAAUUUAAAUAAAAUAAAUUAAAAAUCCAGCCCAAAAAACGAUUGCUGCAAUACUGAGUGGCAAAACUUAAUUGCUAUCGUUACCGCAAAAUUCAACACCCAACAACCAAAAUUUCAAUUUCAAAUCUAACCUUAAAUCCACCAACUGAAAACAAAUCCACACGAAAUGCGACAUCAAAUGAAAGGAACAAGAAGUCAAAAUCAAAACCGAUGAAACCUUUAUUAGAGAGAAGAAAGAAAGCUUCGUUGUAUAAAGAGAAUGCGCGCGAUCGAAGGCUGUGCUGUAUAGAAAUAAAACAGCGAUCGAAGAAAGCGUCUUCGCUAUCGUUGUAUAGAGAGAACAGAGCGAUCGAAGACUGUGUCUUCACGAUGGGAGGCUGUGUUGAACAGAACGAUCAAAGACAGCGUCUUCAAGAGAGAGCAUAGAGCGAUCGAAGACUGCGUAUUCACGAUCAGAGGCUGUGUUGAACAGAAGGAUUGAAUGCUGUGCUGUAUAGAGAGAUCGAGGAGUAGAGAGAAGAUACCGGCGAUGACGCAAGAGCAAAGGCUCUGAAUUUAUAGGGGAGGGAUUAGCGCAACUUGACGGCCGUUAUGACCGUAAACGCCUCUGUUAGAUUUAACGGAGAAGUCACGGGGUUACCCGAUGGUCAUCAGCAUCUGGGAAUCUCAUCAGUUUAAUUAGUUAAAAAGAAUUAACCUUUUGCUUCAGAUCAAACGAUUCACAGUUAACCUUGAACAUCAAACAUGCAGGCUAAACUAUCAACUCAUACACAUUGAUUUUUUUUUUUCCGGUGACAUUAACGUCAAUGGUUAAAUAUAUAAGUCUAAAUUCAUAAAAUAUUAAUAUAGUUUAGGGGUCUAUCAAACCAACAGCAUGGUUGAUGUGUUUACUGAAUAAACAUUUAACACCAAAACAAGCUAGACCUACCCCAAACUAUAUGGCGGAUUGGAAGUUUUUGAAUUACCAGUUUCACUGAAAAAAAAGAUGGUGAUAAGUUAGGAUUCUAACGCUCUUUUAUACUAAUGCUGCGUUUACUUUUUGGAUUGGAGUGGAAAUCCUGAGGAGUGGGAAUCCUUGGAUUAGGAGUGUGGAGUGGGAGUGGGAGUAGGGUGUUUACUUAGACUAAAUGAAAGUAUGGAUUGUCAAUCAGAAUCCUAAUUAUUUGUUUACUUUGUCUUGGAUUGGGAGUAAAUUGUUUUAAAUUACCAUUUUAUCCUUAUGUACAGAAUUAUAAUUUGUAAUUAAAAAAUUAAUAAAAAAUAUAUUUAGAAAAUAAAAUAAAUAUUUUAUUAUAUUUAUAAAUUAAUAAUAAUUACUAAUAUUCUUAAUUAUGUAAAUCAUAAUUUUUUUAUUAAUUUAAAUUUAAAUUAUGUGAAUAAAAAUUAUUAAUAAUAGCAACACAAAUGAAAUAUUAUUAUUGAUAAUAUAGUACAAAAUUAAUAUUUUUUUAGAAUAAAAUAUUUAUUAUUAUUAAUUAAAUAAAUAAUUAAUAUUUAUUAAAAUUAAUUUUUAAUAUUAUUAAUUUAAAUAUAAUAUUUAUUUAUUUUUAUUUUAUUAAAUUUAAUAAAAUAAAUAUGAUAUAAUUAUUAUUUUUAAUAAAUAUGAUAUUAUUUAUUUUAUUAAAUAUGAUAUUAUUUAUUUUAUUAAAUAUGAUAUUAUUUAUUUAUUUAUUUUUAUAAGGAUAAAAUGGGAAGAGGGGGGAGUGGGUUCCCACUCCCACCUCCCCCCAUGGGAGUGGGAAUCCCACUCCCCACUCCAAAAUUGGGUGGGACCCACGGAUUCCCACUCCCACUCCCCCCCUUUUUAAGGUAAGUAAAUACUGGAGUGGAAGGAAUCCACACUCCACACUCCCACUCCAGAAAGUAAACACUACCUAAAUCAUAAAACAUAAAUUUACCGAAUUAGGUAACCCGAAUUAUGAUGUCUUAAUAAAGUUGUAAUUGCAAAACAAGCCAAAACUUAAAUCCAAGUCUAAAGAAAAAACCAAAGAUCUGAAAAGAAUUUUAAAAAUUAGAAAUGAAAACUUCAAAUAAUGAAAUGAUACCCAGAGCAAAUGAAAUUGGAGAUGAUAACCAUAGCGUUAGUAACGCGUCGUUAAAUUGUCAUAACUCGAAACCACGUUAUUCGUUCAUGCACGAUACCUCUGGACUGAAGACCCAAAAUAAUAUAUUUUUUUUAAAAGUAAUGAAAACCGAAAUUACAAGUAUUCUACUAUUUUUUUUAAUUUAAAGGGACCAAUGAAAACCGAAUGAUCAAAACUGCGUUAUUUGUUCAUACACGAUACCUUCAGGAUUAUAACUCAUAUCACAUGAGACUAUUUACUAAUAUAUUUAUAAUCAGAUAAUUAUUAGAACAAUAGACCAUAUUUUUUAGGUUUUCAAAUAUUUAAAAAAUGUCUACUCCACUCUCAUUUCGAAAGAGAAAAAAUUACUUUUACAUAAUUAUUUUUAUAAUUGAGAAGAAAAUUUUAGCUUCCACAAAAUGGAUGGAGGGCAGCAGCUCAAGGCAAGUAUUCUCUAUUGUUAAAUUGUCAUUAAUUGGAAAGCGAGUUAUUCGUUUAUACGCGAUACUUUUGGACUCAAGACCCAAAAUGGAUAAUAAAAAAUUGAAAAAAAUUCAAAGAAAGAAGUAAAAAGUAAUAAAACCGAUAUUACGGGUAGUCUACUAUUCUUCUUGUCAUGAGUCGACUUUUUCCAAAAAAAAACCAACAGUAAAGUAAAAAAAAAGAAAAAAUAGUUAAUGGAUAUUUCUACGUAAAUGGUGUCAAAUAACAAGUUUAUUUAUUUAUUUUUUGGGGAUGAAAUAACAAGUUUAAUUAAAUAAUAUGCAUAUGUCUUAUACACAUUUUUGCUUCUUUACCCUCUGUGUUGAAUGAGAAUGAAAUUGACCCGGACAAGGACAGUAUGGCGUAACUCUUAUUUACUACUUGAAUUCCUCUCUCUUUAUUCUUUCCCAAUAACCCCAUUUAUAACACUAUUUCUUUGAUAUUUUUGUAAUAUUUUAUCACAAUAUAUAUUUAUUGCAGUGCACAAUUAAGAUUUAACAAUAGGGUUAUAAAUUUGAUAAGCAUAAUAUUGUUAACUGUUAAGCAUCCCACUUAUAUAUAUAUAUAUAUAUAUAUAUAUAUAUAUGAUAAUUACAACACCUUUAAGUAGCAUAGUUCUACUUACAAAUUUAAAUACAGUGUUAAGUUGAGCUGUGUUAAUUGAUAAAUCUUGAUUUUAAAAAAAAAAUUAGAGAAGAAAAGAGUAAAGAAGGAACUAAGAAGAAAUAACUUUAAUAUAUUAAAAAUUAUAUAAACUUAAAAGGGGGCUUUUAGGACAAUAAAUGAUAUAUACAUUUUUUAACAAAAGAAAUUUAAAUUUAUUUUUAAAGUCACCAGGAGCUUCAAUUCUUAGUGGGCACCAUAUGGCAUGUGGAAUCAUUCAAGGGUCUUAUAGUAAGUAAAUCGCUUUCCUUUUUAUAUGUGAAUAGAGAUAGUAUGAAUGAGCAUAUGAUUUUUUUUUUCAAAUAUUGAAAAAGAAAUAAAUAUAUUUUAUAAAAAAAAUAAAAUAAAUAUGUCAUUCCGAAAUUUACAUUAAAAACUGCAUACUUAAGAUUUUAAUUAAAUCAUGCUUAUUCAAAUUUCAAACAAAAAUAAAAAUAAACAUCACCAUUGACCUUUAAUUAAAAAGUGUAGGGGGUAAUAGUGAAGACGAACUUUUUUAUAAUAGCGAUUAAAACAUGACCCUAACUCUAAUUGUAGGGUCAAAUUUAUAAAAAGUAGUAACUUUUUUUAACGCAGGACGGACUGAUUUUAUUGUUGUAGGUAAUCUCGUGUCAUACGCAAAGUGAAAAAGAGUGUGAAACGACGAUAUUAUUCCAAGCACAUGCUUGGGCGCGGCGGGCCCUCGCAAACCCAUUUUAACACCGCGUUAGCCUUGUUUGGCUAAAUAAUAUGCAUAUGUCUUAUGAACGUCUUUACUUCUGACCCCAUGCGUUGAAUGAGAAUGAAACUGACACAAAAAAAGACAGUAUGGCUUAUCUUUUAUUUAUGACUUUGAAUUCCCCUUUCUUUAUUCUCUCUUAAUGACCCCAUUAACAACGCUAUUUCUUUGAUAUUUUUAUAAUCUAACUCGCUUGGUUCACUUAGUGAGGUGAGCUUCAAAAUAUUGGUCUUGUACCCUUCAGGAUUUAAAAUCUCUGUUAACUAUGUGACACGUCCAUCUUGUUUCCUCCUAAUUUGCUCCCCUAUGGCAUUAAGGUGAAUCUUCUUCAUUCACAGAGAUGUUAAGUAACUCAGCAUUAUCAGCAAGACCUAUUCAAAUUGUGUUUGUGUAUGUAUGUUGUAGCUUUCUCUCCUACGCCUAGCCUUUAUGCCUCUUAUGCCUCAGUUUGACAAGGCCAUUGGUAACAAUCAGCAAUAGCAAUACUGCCUUUCUUCAAUCAUAGCAGUGUUUAUCGGGUACAUAAGAUCAAUUAUCUUCUUAUUAAUUAAAAAAAUAAUAAAAUAAUAUAUAUUUAUAAAUGUAUAAAUUAAUUUUAUUUGAUAUUUAUAUUCUUACAAUAGUUUAACAGUAAGAUUUACCGAACAUAUACGAUUGCUUUUAAAACGCACAAUACUUUUAAAAAUAAAUUUUAGUAAACGUUUAACUGAUUCUCUUUACAAUGAUUAUUUCUAUAGCAUAGCUAACAUCAAUUAUUUUUUAAAAGUCCUAAUAGCAAUUCAUUACCAACUUUUUUUUUGCCACAACAGCUAUAGCUUAAAAGUCGUAUCAUCUUAAUACCAAAUAGGGCUAUAGUAAUUUAGUGCCCAUUUUUUUUCUUUUUUCUUUUUCUUUAGCAACUUAAAAAAAAUCUAAAACAAAAAAGGAAAAUUGAGUAUGAAAUCAAGCAUUAGUCAAGUAUAAAGUUGAGUAAGUCGAGUAUAAAAUUAGGUACUUUUUAUAUGAUUUUAAAUAAAGGGGAUUUUAGUUUUUUUCUUUGUGAUUUUGGAUAUAUUUCUAUAAUACCAGUAGAGUAAACUAUGUAAUAAGCAUAUAUUUUUCAUUUUGCUGUGAAUGGGACAUAUCCAACGCUAUUUGCUCCCGUGACCGAUCUUUAUAACAAAUCCAAUCGCCCUCGUUAUAGUCACUAGAUAGAAAGUUACCAUAGUACAGUUCUUAUAUGUAAUGUGAGUGAUGGCAGUGUUACGAACCUUUGUAUAAGUUUAUUUUGUAUAAAUUAAUUAGUAUAAACUUAUUGAUUGUAUGAAAAUAUAAAAUAAAAAAUAUAAAUAAUGUAGACUAAUGUGUAUUUAAUAUAACUAAUAAAAUUUUGCUACAUCAGUUUAUAUAAGAAUUUAUAGUUUUAUUAUUACUCAUAUUAAGUAAACAGUGCGUGAUUGGUCAGACGGCGGCAUAAGUGGCAAUGACCAAAUUGUUGAGUCGCUGACGUGGGUUCUCAAAAUGAGUCGAUAGUCAAGAAAUAAGCUAUCAAGUUAUGACAAUAUAUUGUAAACAUGUCUUUAAGAUGAUACAUUAUCAUCAUCAAUAUCAUAUCCUAAUUGAAAAAGGUUUGCAAGGGUCCGCCGUGUCCGAGCAUGUGCUUUCAUUUUCACUUGAAAUAAAGCGCGAUGGAAAGAUCUUAUUUUAUCACAUGCCGUCCAUGUUGGGGAAAAAUCAGAUUUUUAAAUUUUUAUAAAACCUUUCGAAGAUUGCUCUCAUAUAAUAUAUAAGAAUACGUAAUCUAGAAAUCAUACCUUGAAAAUCUGAUUGGACUUUUUCUGUUGAAGUGAUUUAGGCUCCUAGAUCACGAUCCGCCACCACCACUCCUGUUAGAUCACGAUCUGUCACCACCACGCUUGUUAGAUCACGAACUGUCACCAAUGAUCUUCCAGGUUAUGACUCAGGUUCGAUUUGCACUUGACGUGUGAACGCCUUUAUCACUACCAAAACAACUAGCACGAGAAAAUUUUUCUCUCAACAACAGAGAGAAAAUUUUUUUUCUCUGAUCUGUAUAAAGUGGCUUCUCCUUUUUCUUUUUAGAAAAUAAGCCUUAUAUAUCUCCCUUUAGUGAAAAUCCUAGGCUCCAAAUAAUACCCCAAAAUAAAACUCACCGUUACUUUUUAUUUUAUAAGGGACCCACCAUGUAAAAUAACAUAAGGCCCCUUACACAUAAGCUAAUUAAAUGGAGCCUCCCACUAAAUGAUAUAUUUAGGCUUUUGACCCAAAUAGAUAGUUAUCUUACUUAUUAGUCCAGUAGUGGUGCAGUCAAUUAAAUGAGCUAACCCGGGGAUCAUUUGGGAACAUACAAUAGUGGCUACAAUAAUUAGGCCUAUAAUUAAACUAGCCCAAUUAUUUAAUUCCAAAUCUACUCCACUAAAAGAUUGGAACUGACUUCCAUAAUUGUAUGCUCGAAUAAUAAUUCGUCCCAAGCCACAUUGAUUUCUUUACUGCACAAUCCUUUGUACCACAUCGUUAAUUAAAUUGAUAUCUCAACUGUCCAAUCAAUUUAAUAACAUCUUAUUCCUUGAUCCUUACUGGUUUUCUCUAAUGAUCAUUUUCAACAUACUAAAUAUGUUGACACACUCUGGCCAGAGAAUUCUAUGAUCAAGUGCCGAAAACCCAUCAAGAGAUGUGUUGUACAAAUUCUAUAUUGUUAAUCUAUAACUCCAAUACUCAUAAAUGCUCCCACCAAGAUACCGGGUAAUCUAGACUACAUGUAUGUGUCAUGCCCAUUGGUAACUCAAAUGAAAUAACAAUUACAAUCAUGAAAUCAUAAUUAACUCAAGAUUAAGAUUACAGUAAAAUCAAUGCCUAUGAGAUUUAAUAAGUCUGACAGUUAUUACAAAGUUAAUUAAAUCUCAUAUGUGAUCCUGUUCAAUGUAGUCGUACUACAUCAAUAAAUCCAUACAUGAUUAAGACAAAUCAUUCAAUGAAUUUAUUACAGUCUAUACCUAAAUAAAGUGCCCCACUUUAUUUAUCAACUGCGAACUAAAUUUAUUUAAUCAUAAGAUAACUUGUAUUUAUGUCUUCUGUGAAUCCACAUGGUGAUCACAUAAAUAUAAUAUGAUUAAAUGGACUUUAAUAAAAAUAUUAAUGCAAUUAAGAUAUUUGCAUAAAAUACCUCAUUAUUUUUAUUAAUCAGAAAAAAUAUUUAUUACAAUUAAAUAAACACAUAUGUUUUUAAAGAGCAUAUUUUCCCAACAGUCCAUUCGACGCAUAUUUCCACCCCCAUUACCCUUACAUAAGAAAAGAUUUCUGGUGCUUGGAACAUUACUCCAUAUCUUUUCAAGUCUAUUCAAGUCUGUUAAUAAUUAAGCUAAACCUAUGAGUCUCCAAUAUUGGGCGAAUUAAAUUUUGAAAGCAGGCCAACCUAUUGUCAGAUCUGCCUUUCAAAUUAUUGACUUAAUUUUGCCAAAGGUGAAACAUUUGAAGAAGAAUCCUUCUAAACAGGUAGUGUUGGUCGUUGUUGUCCUCCUGAGAAAGUGUCAUUAGCUUGAAACCUAUUGCAAAUGUUGAUCCAAAAUGGCUUCAAGGUUUCGUUGUAGAGCUGACGACAAGCUUUUGUAAAGGACUUCCAAUUUUGAUGCACAACAAUGAUAAUAGGAGCGCAAAUCCAUGUAGUGUACAAAAUGAUAUGACGAAUGUCCGAGCGUGGAACAAAUGUGGAGACCAAAAAGAUUGCAGAAAUAGAUCCGGAGACAACUGCUACAAGGGCCCAAGAUUGGGAAGAAUUUUCUGAAUGAAGUCGAGACUUGAGGUCAGCUGAAUGUGCAUAACAAUAUAUGGCUGUGGCUAUUAAGAAAGACCAUAUGUUUAUUGAGUGUGUUUCAAGCAAGGACUUUGUUUGGCCUUGAACAUUCGCACCCACAAUGCCUAUGAGAGCCGCAGUAAGAUACCCAAAAAUGUGGGGAUAGGACAUUGAGGAGAAGUGAUUUCGCCCGCUGCAACAUUGUCAAAACGAUUCAUCAAUCUUCUGUAUAUUCCAUUUCCUUUGAAAAAAAAUAAAAUUAAAAAGACCAUGUAUUAAUUUCCUCUCAAUUUGUGUGUCAAUGAUUUGCUUUUGACCAAACCAAUUCUCCUUUAAAAAUUUGAGGGGGCAUCUUUUCAUUUGCACGAAAAUUUCACCCAAAUGUUUCAUCAAAAUUUUGGUGUAUACACAUUGUUUUAACAGCUUUCAUGACUCACCCCCUUUUCUGUUAAAUAUUGUUUCAUCAAAAUUUUAUUAUAUACAUACUUUUUUGAAUAGUUAAAUAUUGUUUUUGCCGUUAUUUUUGACAUCUUUGACAUUAAAAGACAAUUUUGCCCUUAUUUAAAAUUUUUAAGUGUAAAAUUACUAGAAAACCACAACACUAGUCUCAAAUUUCAGUUGACCUAUGUGGAUAUUAAAAUUUGUUAAAGGUUAAAAAAAAAAGUAAAAAUGUUUGGUUAUGGGAAUCGAAAUAUCCCCUACACCAUCAUCCAUAAUCAUCUAUUCACGAUAGCAAUUUAAUAAACUUGAAAAAGCAAGAAAUCCAAUCCCAGUCAAUCAAACAGCCAAUUUUCUUCAUAGAGUUCAGCUUUCGCCUAUAAAAACUCUAACCCUUGAGACCCUAAAUAAACCCAUAUUCAAAGUUACAUGUUUCUAUAACGAAAACCUUCAAUUUACCCCUUUAAAAUUUUGAAAGCAUUAAUUUACUUCUAUUUAUCAGUCAAAAGAUUAGAAUACAUGGAGACACGCUAAUAACAAACUUUUUUACUCCUUAAUGAAAUUUGAUAAAUAUAAAUAAAUUAAAGAUUAUAAUUUUAAGUGGGGGUAAAUUAAAGAUCGUACUCUUUUUUUUAUUGUGUCUUAAUAAGAGAAAGAAAGAAAACAGAAAACAAAUCACUUCUAUAGGAGGCGUAACAAAAUUUUCAGCUAGGACUUCACCAAUUUUUUCACGGAAAUUAAAUUAGGAGGAAAAAAAAAACACUUUGAAGAGGACUGCAUAUAUAUAUAUAUAUAUAUAUAUAUAUAUAAUAAAUACAACUUGAGUCAAUAAUGGUAAAGAAAAUGACCAUACACUGAAGGGUUUGGAUUUGGAUGAUGCAGAAUGCAGUGGCAGCUUUGCAUUUGCAUAUAUGUAUCUCAGCAAACCCUGGAUUGAGUUUUCUUUUUCUCGGCAAAUAAGGUAGGGAACAGCAAAUGUGAUCGAUUUGAAAAAAAAAACAAAAACAAAAGCUUAGCUUGAAACUUGGAAGGAAAAAGGGGGGAAAAAUCUCACUUUAAGAACAUCUAAAUUAUCUCUGCUGAACUAAAUUAUCUCGUGGCUUGAGCUUUCAUAGCUUAUAAUUUAUAGAUGUCAAAUGUGUGGACUAAGGGAGGCCCAUGCGCCAUGCGGGGGUUUCCUAGAAGGCUAGAAAGUAAAGAGUGUUCCGAAGAAAUAUCUCUGCUUAACAUGUUAAGUAAUUAAAUCAGAGCCUCUCACAAGGUUGUGCGCCCAAAUAGAAUCCACAACAGGCUGUGGCUUACGUGAAUAGAGUGAUGCAAUUGUAAACCAGAUAGUGGCAUUUUUUUAAAGGUUCGGUCAAAGGCGGUUAAAUAUAAUAAUAAAAUAUUAUAAGAUACAUAUUUUCUUUGUAAUAAAUUGAAUAAACGUAUGACCUUAAAACUAAUUAUUAAUGCUUUAUUGGAAAAUUAUAUAGUUUAUAUGUAGAUAAUAUAUAUUAUACUUAAUUGUUGGGGUUUGAAAAGGAUUCGGGGGCAUAAAGAGGGGCGAAGUCAGAAAACAAAAUUUUGGGUGGGCUAAAAUUUUUUCCCAGUCCAUAUGUGAUCUCAAUUAAAAAUAUAAAUUUUAAAAGAAAGUUUCAUUAACACAUAAGAAAAUACAUCAUAUCCAAGAAGCAAUCAAAUUACAAGUAAACACUAUUUAAGUUGUGCCUUACCAUUCUUUAAAAAAUUAAAGUUAUGUUUUAUUAUGCUUUCGAGAAUUAAACUCAUCCAUUAUCGGUUUUGAAUUUAUGGUGUCUACAAAUUCUUUUUCAAUGUAGAUAAUAAAGGCAAUGCAACUGUCAAUCCAUCAUUAUGACACAUUGAUAAUAUUCAGAAGUCAGACAAUAAGUUUAAUUAACAAAUUAACAUUAUACAUAAUAUACUGGAUCAAAUCUAUGAUCUAUCUCUAUCAAAAAUCAAUUUAAAAAAUUGAAUGCUAGAAUUCAAUGGCUAAAUUAUCUUCAUUUGAUCUUUACAAUGAAAUUGGAACAAGAAUUAAAGAGCAUGAUUUUUAGUCUUUAUUACCCUAUAAUCAAUAAAUAUUUUGUAAAUGAUUGAAUAAAAAAUAAAUCUAUUAUUUGUUCUUACCAAGAAGAAGGCGAAGAACUGAAGAAGCAAAGAAAAAAAAAUCAUGUUUGAAAUCUCGAAUGAAGUAAAUGCUGCUCACUUUUUAAAUUUAUUUAUAUGAAUGACAAAGUUGUAGAUUAACAUAGUGGUGCAAUUGUAAAUAAGAUAGUGGCGUCUUUGUAAACUUUGCAUAAUGGCAAUUUUGUAAAAUUCAGACAGGCGGUAGCCCGUCUCAAUCCACGCGGAGCCUUGCCACCGAGUGUAAACAUAGAGAAUAAUUUAUAAAUCCAAUAAGCUUAGUUAAAGUAAAAUACUUGACUUUAAGAAAUUUCUAAUAAUCUUCUUCAUCUUAACCAAAUUUUUGAAGUGAAAAAGAUUCAUGGCACCUUGUGUUGUACUUUAGCAAGAGAAAGGAGAAAAAAGAAAACAAAUCGCUUUCAUAAUCAUAGGGGCUUCACCAGUUUUUUCACAACGCAAAAUUGACGGCCGUUAUGACCGUAAAUGCCUAUGUUAGAUUUGACGGAGAAGUCACGGGAUUACGCGAUGAUCAUCAGCGUCUCCAAAUUUUAAUGCCUCUGUUCAAAAAGAAUUGAGAAAUGCUAAAGGUCGGGAACGCUGAGAGAACACUGAGAGAAACGGCAGGUUGUGCUGUCGUUUCGUGUUCUCUCAGCUCCACCCCCCCCCCCCCCCCCAACAUGACUAAGAAAGCGAACCCUCACAUGAAAAAAUACUUCAGCUCAAGUCACUUUUACCAAAAGCUGCCGUUUGGCCCCACACUCAAGUCACUUUUGCCAAGUGAAUUCUGCCCCCCACGUGAAAGUUUGAGUUCUCUCCUUGCUCAUGACCAAGCAAAGCUAAGUUUGAAUUCUCUCCUUACUCCUUCACUCGUUCACUUCUUCUUCGUUUCUCGUUCACGCUCAUCACAAACCAAGAUAACUUGCUCCCAUUAAUUUCAAAUAUUAAACUGCUUUGUUGAGUUCUACAACCUGAAAGUACAAUUCUUUCAACAUUCUAACAGCAUCCUAGUUCACAGUUAGAUAUCAGAAACAAAUGUUAACAUAUUUAAUGCCAAUCUUUAUUCCAUGAGAACUUUUUUUUUUUUAAUACUGAUUAAUCAUCAUAUUACUGCAUUACACAGAUAUUUACAACUGCUAUUAUAGCAGAUAUAUUACACUGAUAUUUACAAUCAGAAAUAUAUGAUUGGGACUUAUAUUAUUACAUUGAAUUCUGUGAAGUACAUGCCCAGACAAAUAAUCCCUUACAGAAGAGGGAUGUCCAUACUCCACUCGUAUUGCACGAGGGAGAGGAAAUUUUUGAAAUAUUAAACAAAUAAGCACGUUAGCCCCACAAAUGCUUUUAUGGGGGCUUGAACCGCUGUCCUCACAAGCAUUGUGAGGGCAGCAGCCCAGCACUCCGACCAAGGCCGAAGUGUAUUCCAUGAGAACUUAAAAUAUCCAAAAAGAGAUGCAUCUACCCUACAUAUCUAUUUACACAACAAGUGUCCCUUCAAUUCCAACAGAAUAUACAUGCCUCCAUCUUAAGAUUUCAUAUGGCAUGGAAAUUAAAAAUUUCGUCAACUGAUAGAAGCCACCACACAAUGGCAAAAUAUAUAUGUUUAUUAUCAAAGAACAGAAGGCAUCAUUUGAGCAAAUUAAAGAGACAACUAUUCUCAGCCAUUCUUCUCAAUAUGGGAUAGACUUCUUGUAUCGUCAUAUCCACUCUCAGCACCAUAGGCUGGUUGUUCCUUAUGCAAUCGGCGCCCUUUACAAUCACCCACUUGAGGGACUUUUGCUCGACACUUUGGGUGGAGCCCUCUCUUUUCUUGUCUCGGGAAUGACUGCACGAACAGCCGUGAUAUUUUUCUACUUUGCUGUGAUUAAAACUGUUGAUGAUCACUCUGGGCUUUGGUUGCCUGGCAAUAUCUUCCACUUGUUCUUCCAGAACAACACCGCUUAUCACGAUGUCCACCAUCAACUUCAGGGCUUGAAGUACAACUAUUCUCAGCCAUUCUUCUCAAUAUGGGAUAGACUUCUUGGAACUCACAUGCCUUACCAUCUAGUCAAGCUACCUGAAGGAGGUUUUGAGGCUCGGCUAAAGAAAGACUAGAUGCUAUUAAGACAAUUUGACUGUAUCAUAAAUUAAUUAUUAAAAUAAUUAUCAACAAUACAAUUACCAAAAUAAUUGUGGGAGUUGGAGUUCAUGUGGGAGUGCUGGAGAAGGAAUUGAAAAUAGAAAGGAAAAGGAGUUGAGAGGGAGUGAAGGAGUGCUGGAACAGAUCUGUUGAAAGCGAAGAAGGAAGAAGGAGUGCUGGAACGGAUCUGUUGAAAGCAAAGAAGGAAGAAGGAGUGCUGGAACGGAUCUGUUGAAAGCAAAGAAGGAAGUGGAAGAAGGAAAAUGAUUUGAAAGUCACAUGGGGGACAGAUAUCUGUUACUCACGUGGGGGGAGGGGGGGGAGGUGAGAGAACGAAACGGCAGCACAAGCUGCCGUUUCUCUCAGCGUUCUCUCAGGGUUCCCGAUGUUUAGCAGCACUCGAAAGAAUUAACCUCCGCUUCAGAUCGAACGACUCACGAAGUAACUUCGAAAAUGUAUAUAAGACACAUGCAUGUUGUUUAAUUGUUAAAUUGUUCCCUUUGUAGGUGCUUGUGGACUCCAAAUUAAUUGUACGCCUUUUAAAUAGAAAUAAGUGCAUUAAAUAUUUUUUCCUUUUUACUUUAUUUUCGGAAUUUUUGGGAAAAAGCGAUGACUCAUGAGAAGAAGAAGAAGAAGAAGGAUAGUAGAAUACAUAUAAUAUCGGGUUUUUUUUUUUCACUUUUUACUUCUUUCUUUGAUUUUUUUUUUUUAAUUUUUUAUUAUCCCUUUUGUGUCAUUGGAGUCCAAAAAUAUUGUGUAUAAAAAAAUAACCCGCCUUCUGAGUUUAUGACAAUUUACCAUGCGUUAAUAACGCUUGAUGAAAAUGUUGCAAUCAGGUAGUGUAGAAUCAAUAAUUAAUGAAAUAUAAAAUAAGAAGAGUAAAUCUUAAUAACGCACCAAUAUUACAAAUCAAUAGCUAAGGAUCAAGCGAAAUUUCACCAGCAAAUUAGGACAGCAGAGGCAGCAUCCAUAAGCGUAAGAGUAAUUAUGUCACUCUGAAAUUUCAUAAGAGUAAAUUAGGACAGCAGGGAAAGGAAUAAACAAAGCAAUUUGCAAAGGACAGAGGCAUAAACAUAAUAGUAAUUAUAAAAUGUCAGACUGUAAGAAACAAGUAAAAAAUGUAUAAUAUUUUUCACAGUAGUCCGACGAUUCGUCAAUGUCUUUGUAAAAAGCGAAUAUUUUCAAAGGUAAAUAACACUCACACAAAUGUUUAAUCAAUAAUACAGUUGUUUUUUUGAAGUGAUAACUACUGAUUAUAUAUUGAUUCUUCAAAAUAAUUACACAUUUAUCAUAAUAUUAUUUAUUUAUUUUAUAAUUAAUAUAAUACUUUAAAGAUAUUUAAAAAAUUUUCAACUUGACAAUGUUCAAUAAAGGGUAAAGUUUAAAUUAUGUUACAAAAAGUCUUUGAACAAUAUAGAGCAAAGCUUUUACUUGUAUAACAAAAGAAAGCAUAUGAGGGGAUAAAAAGACUGAAGGUAUGAGUUUGAUUAUUAUCACAAUAAUUAUUUCUAUUUCAAAGAUUGAAAUCUGAACAUUAUUAUAUUUUGUGGAAUUUUCUCCAUUACUUUUUCAAAGUACUACAUGUACAUGGAUGAUUGUUUGUUACUGCGAACGGCAAAACAUUUAAUUUGGAGAAAAUUCCUUCUAGACUGGUAGUGUUGGUCGUAGGUUCCCUGUCGAGGAAGUGUUAUUAGCUCGAAACCUAUUGCAAAUGUCAAUCCAAAAUGGCUUCAAGGUUUCGUUGGAGAGCUGACGACAAGCUUCUGAAAACAACGUGCCAUAUUGAAACACAACAACAAUAAUGACAGUGCCAACCCACGCAGUGUACAAAAUGAUAUGGCCAAUAUUAGAACGUGGAAUAAAGGUGGAGAUCAAAGAUAUUGCAGAAGUAGAUCCUGAGACAACAGCAAUAAGGGCCCAGAAUUGGGAAGGAUUUUCGCGAUGAAGUCGAGACUUGAGGUCUUCUGAAUGUGCAUAACAAUAUAUGGCUGUGGCAAUGAGAAAAGACCAUAUAUUUAUUGAGUGUGUUUCAAGUAAGGGCUUAGUUUUACCUUGCACAUUUGCACCCACAAUACCUAUGAGAGUCGGAAUUAGAUAUCUAAAAAUGUUGGGAUAUGACAUUGAGAAGAAGAGAUUCCGCCCACUGUAAAAUUGUUAAAAUGAUUAAUCAUCUUAUGUAUAUUCCAUUUCCUUCAAAAAAAAAUUAAAAUUAAAAAACACUGUGUUAAUUUCCUCUGAAAUUGUCUAUCAAUUAUUUGCUUUGACCAACGCAAUUCUCCUCAAAAAAUUUGAGGGAGCACUUUCAUUUGCACCCAAAUGUUUCAUUAAAAUUUUAUUGUAUACACACUUGUUUCAACAGUUACUAUGGCUCAGGCUGCUCACCCUGUUAUGUUAAGUAUUGUUUUUACUGUUAAUUUUGACAUCUUUGAGAUUAAAAGACAAUUUUGACCCUCCUUAAAAUUUGUAAGUGUAAAAUUAUCAGAAAACCACAACACUAAUUUCAAAUUUCAAUUGACCUGUGUGGAUAUUAAAAUUUCUUAAAGGUUAAAAAAAACAGUUAAAAUAUCUCCUAUACUAUCAUCCACGAUCGUCUAUUCAUGAUAACAAUUUAAUAAACUCGAAAAAGCAAGAAAUCCAAUCCCAGUCAAUCAAACAGCCAAUUUUCUUCAUAAAGUUUAGCUUUUGCUAUUAAAAAUUCUAACUCUUGAGACCCUAAAUAAACCCAUAUUCAAAGUUAUGUGUUUCUAUUACGAAAAUAUUCAAUUUACCCCUUUAAAAUUUUGAAAACAUUAAUUUACUUCUAUUUAUCAGUCAAAAGAUAAAAAUAAAUGAAGACACCUUGACCAUAAACUUUUUAACUUUUUAGUGGCAUUUGAUAAAUAUAAAUAAGUUGAAAAUUAUCAUUUUAAGUGGGGAUAAGUUAAAAAUUUUACUCUAUAUUUAUUGUGCUUUGAUAAGAGAAAGAAAGAAAACAGAAAACAAAUCUCUUCCAUAGCAGUCUUAACAAAAUUUUCAGCAGGGACUUAACCAAUUUUUUCACGGAAAUUAAAUUCCAAUUUUUUUCACGGAAAUUAAAUUAGGAGAACAAAAACACUUUGAAGUGGACUGCAUAUAAAAACUCAAAAAUAACAUACAACUUGAGUCAAUAAUGGUAAAGAAAAUGAACGUACACAGAAGGGUUUGGAUUUGGAUGAUGAUCGAGAAUGCACUAAAAGCUUUGCAUUUGCAUAUACAUAUCUAUAUAUAUAUAUAUAUAUAUCUCUCAUAUACAUACACACACACACACAUAUAUAUAUAUAUCUCAGCAAACCCUGGAUUGAGUUCUCUUUUUCAGGGUAAAUAAGGUAGGGAACAGCAAAGCCGAUCAAUUUGAAAAGAAAAAAAAAAAAAACUAAAACUAAAAUGUAAACUCAGAUGGAAACUUGGCAGAGAAAACGUGAAAAAGAAAAAAAAAAUCUGUCACUUUAAGAACAUCUCAAUUAUCACUUUAAGAACACCUCAAUUUAUAUGUUCAAGUGCGGUGAUGCUGGUAGAGGGUUUAGUAGAAAGUUAACGGUUUCGUAGAACAGAGUCCUUUGUUGCAACUUGCAAGAGAGGACUCUGUUAACUUUGCGAAAAUCUGACUCGGCAAAAUCCACUCAUACAUCUUGUAAUGUUGAUGUAGUUUCUUUAUUUUUGUUUUUUUUUUUUUUUUUUGAGCUCCCAGACAAAAAACUUGUGUUGAAAAUUAAAAAUGAUCGAUUAAUGGGCUCCCCUCUCAAUUUCAAGGCCGAAAGGGCCGCUGUGCCCCAUGUGAAAAUUUCUUACAAUUAGAAUCAAAUCCACGUCAUACAUAUGAUGACAUGAUGUAUAUUUAGUAUGGUUUAUUCAAUGAUUAUAAGUAUUUAUUUAAUUUUUUAAAUUCUUGAUCAAACAAACGCCAAGAGAGACAUCUGUAAUUACGUUUAACGAGCAUUUUCGAGGAAUUGUUUCUAAAAAUAACUAAAACGGGAAAAGCCAAAUGGGAAAAUUUGGGUUGGAUGGAACUUGGAAAAGGACAAACAUGAAAGUUCAAAGUUUGCUUGGUUGGGCUAUUUUCUGCAAGUGGGAGAGACAGAGUGAUACAGCAUUACCAAUCUCUUUGGAGUGGCCCAAUCCAUAUCUUGGGGAAUCAUUUGAAGAACGGGCUGAACCACACCAGGAGGAAGAUACAACUAGGCCCAACACAGAACCAGUUGCAGGCCCCUCACGAAUGAGAAAACCACCCAGCUGGCUGAAGGAUUAUGUUGUUUGAGAGCAAGGAAGUUGUGGAUUCCUUUCUAGAAUCUUUUAUUCGUUUGAUAUUUUCUUUUGGCUUGACCAUUGCUAUUUUUUGUAACCACCUUCUGUUAGAGGUUGCUAGAGGAAAAAGCAUAUAAGUAUUGUAAUGUUUAAAAAGGCAAUGGAAUAUUUGGUUCUCUUUCUUCUAUGGAAUUUCCUUUCUUCUUAAUCAUUGUUCUGUUCUUAAUUCUUUUUCUUGGAGCUGGCACUCGCUCGAAGAGUGUUUUGUUGAGUGGAUUUGCUUGUGUUGCAGGACAAGCGUAUCAUUGGUGCUUUCAUCGACUUUUCCAUGGCUGAUUCAGAGGUGUUGGCAGCAGUGAAGGCACUCCAAACACAAUUUGAAGGCCAAACAAUUGCGAUUCAUCAAACCUUGCAGCAGUACAUGUCUACAGUGGAUUCUCGUCUUGAGGAUCUACAUUCUCAGAUCCAAGGGUCUUCAAGUGUUUUGGCUGCAUCAUCCGGUUCCGCACAUCGCUCUUCUCUAGUUGCGGAGGGGCAUUCCAGACACAUCGAUCUCUCGCCGGUAUUACGAUCAAUGAAAAUGGAGGUUCCCAAGUUUGAUGGCUCUGACCCGAAUGGGUGGGUGUUUCGUAUUGAAGAGUUUUUCGAUUUCCAUGAAACUCCAGAGCACUUGCGCUUUCGCAUCGUCGCGUUUCACAUGGAGGGGAGAGCGGCAGCCUGGUACCAAUGGAUGAAGGCGAACAAACUGAUAACAACAUGGAAAGCUUUUUUAAUUAGUCUGAAGCAUCGGUUUGGCGCUUCAAUGUAUGACGAUCCUCAAGGUACACUUUCCAAACUCACACAAACCACCACAGUCGCAGAGUUUCAGUCCGCCUUUGAAGAUUUGAUGAAUAAGGUCACUGGGAUUUCUGAACCUUUGUGGAUCAGUUUCUUUAUCACUGGUUUGAGAACGGAUAUUCGCAGGGAGUUGAUGUUUUCCCGCCCCACAUCUCUGAUGGAAACAUUUGCUCUCGCAAAAGCUUAUGAAGCUCGUUCAGAGAAGGCCAAAAUGAGUAGUCGCCCUUGGACUAAAUGGCCCCCACCGUCAGCCCCAACUAUGACUAUUCCAUCCGUCAACAAAAUUCCUCCACCCUCACAUGUGCCUGUUCCCCACCACACCACAAACAGUUUCCAUGCAGGUCCCACAACACACCAACAUCCUAAACAAACAAACCUUCCAGCCCUCUUACCUACACCAAAUUUACCAGUUCGCCGCCUCACUCCAGCUGAAUUACGAGACAAACGAGAAAAAGGAUUGUGUUAUAACUGUGACCAAAAGUACACCGCUAUUAUGUUAGCUCCCACUCCUCCUUGAAGUCAAUCUUGCUCCACGAAUUUCAUGCUACCCAUGGGCUGGACAUACGGGCAUAAAACGGACCUUGGUUCGCUUGGCUUCGACAUUUUAUUGGUAUAAAAUGAGAACUGAUGUUGAAAACUUUAUAACUGCUUGCCUAACCUGCCAACAAGUCAAGCAUUCAACUCAAGCCCCAGCAGGGUUGUUACAGCCGCUACCUAUUCCAUCAUUAGUAUGGGAUGAGGUCACUAUGGAUUUCAUUACGGGCUUGCCACCAUCACGAGGGCUCACUAUUAUCCUUGUCGUUGUGGACCGUUUGACUAAAUCAGCACAUUUUGGAGCUCUACCUUCUCAAUUUUCAGCUGUGACAGCAGCGGACUUAUUUGCUAACAUGGUCGUUAAACUCCAUGGUUUUCCUAGUUCCAUUGUGUCAGAUCGCGAUCCAAUUUUUAUGAGCAAGUUUUGGAAGAAGCUUUUUGAACUAAGUGGCACUUCCCUACGGCAUAGCACAGCCUAUCAUCCGCAGACAGAUGGGCAAUCCGAAGUUGUGAACCGCGGGCUUGAACAAUAUUUACGAGCUUUCACUCAAGAAAAACCACAAUCGUGGGUCUCUUUACUUUGCUGGGCAGAGUUCAGUUACAACUCCAGCUAUCACAGUGGUCUCAAGAUGACACCAUUUCAAGCAUUGUAUGGGCGUAUUCCACCUACUAUCCCAGCUUACUCUAAGGGCUCUACUUCAAUCCAAGCUCUCGAUGAUGCGCUGAUAGAGCGCGAUGCUAUCUUGCGCUCCUUGAAGGAAAAUUUGCGCCAAGCUCAGCAUCGAAUGACACAAAAGGCUAAUGCCCAUCGGCGUGAACUCCAGCUCAAUAUAGGAGAUCGCGUGCUUUUCCGCCUUCAACCAUACCGACAGACAUCUUUAGCUCAACGAGCAUCCCAUAAGUUAGCAAAGAGGUAUUACGGGCCAUUUACAAUAUUAGAACGUGUGGGACCAGUGGCAUACAAGCUGAACCUACCGUUAGAUUGCAAAAUUCAUCUUGUCUUCCAUAUUUCAAUGCUCAAACCCUUUAGCGGUUCCAGCCCCAUCACUGGGUUACCCUUACCUCAUGACAGCAUCAACAAUCGACCAUUCUCAUACCCGGCUGGCUGAAGGAUUAUGUUGUUUGAGAGCAAGGAAGUUGUGGAUUCCUUUCUAGAAUCUUUUAUUCGUUUGAUAUUUUCUUUUGGCUUGACCAUUGCUAUUUUUUGUAACCACCUUCUGUUAGAGGUUGCUAGAGGAAAAAGCAUAUAAGUAUUGUAAUGUUUAAAAAGGCAAUGGAAUAUUUGGUUCUCUUUCUUCUCUGGAAUUUCCUUUCUUCUUAAUCUUUGUUCUGUUCUUAAUUCUUUUUCUUGGAGCUGGCACUCGCUCGAAGAGUGUUUUGUUGAGUGGAUUUGCUUGUGUUGCAGGACAAGCGUAUCACAGAGUCUGGAAAGGGUUUCUUUUCUUUUUCUUUUUCUUUUUUUCAAAUACACAUAUAGCCACGUGUUGUCCCAUAUAAAAAAAUAAUACUUUAUAUAAGUCCGAGGUCAAUUGGGCUGGAAAACAUUUAAAAUCGAACAUAUCAGGCAUGUUGUAAGUUCGCAUUUGGAGAAUCAUGUUGUCAGCCCCACAACCCCCAAAUGGGAACUUUAGAUAGAAAUAUAUAGCAUCCCAACAAUAAUAUUUAUUAAUAAUAAAUUUACUUAUUACAAUUGUUUUUGUCAAAGACUCCUUGAUGGUAUUUCAUGUGUUGAAAAAAAUGUAAAAUAAUUUUAUUAUCGAUACAAUUAAAAACAUAUUUUUCAAUAUAUAUAAUUAAAUUAUCACUUGAUUUGUUCUUAAAAUGUUUUAAUAAUAGCAAAAAUAUGGAUAUAAUGAAACAUGAAGAAAAAAUAUGAUUACAGACACAUUAGGGAACGGCAAUGAGGAGGGUAGGGGAGGGGACUGACAUCUCCAUAUCCAUCCUCGAUAUUCUACAUAUGUUCUCAUCCCCUUCCCAUCCCCGUCAGAAUUACUUGAGAAAAUAUUCAUCCCCUCCCUAAAUAAUAACAGGGGAUCUCUAAGAGUCUCCGAUCCCCACGUAAUUGAUACAUUUUUUAUUUUAAUUUUAAUUAAUUAUAUUAAAAUAAUUUUUUUAAUAAAAGUACAGUUAAGGCGGCAGCUAGCUGCCAUAGAAAAUUAGAAAUUAGGUUUUAUGAUUUUGCCUUAACUUUUGUUUUAUUGGAUAAACGUUUAAAAUAUUUAAUGAAUAUUAUAAAUUAAAAAAAAAAAUUGGGCCAACAAGAUCCUGUCUGGCUUUUUUUAUGUCCUAAAUAGAUAUUUAAGAUUAUAAAUAGUUAAGUAGGCUCAUUAAAGCAUCUGACAAAUUGUUACAUAAAACCAGGAUAAUUAGAGUGCUAAUCAAAUAACCCAAAUUAUAGAUUCCCUAAUCAAACAAACAUAACAAAAAAAUUUUGAAAUACAAUUUUUUUUUCAGAAAUGCGAAUUGGCACCAAAUAAAAUUGAGCAAAAGCUAAUGCUGUCCUACAAGUUGACAUGGUCCUCCUUUAGCAAGGUUCAAAUAGGGAAGACCAUAGUAAAAAUAAGAGGAAAUAAUUUAACUUUAUCUAUAAAUCCUACAAUUUAGAUGCUAGUAAAAUAACUCCAAUCUGAAGCAUCAAAUGUACAAGAUUCAUAAGCAAAAACAGGUUACACGAUUAGUUAUUACCUGGAUUACGUUGUACAUAUUACAUGGUAUACCUAAUCAGACAAAUAACAGGUUACAAUCCAAGUUUUGUUGAUCAUGAAAGGUUUGAGCGUGAUAGUCCAUUUAGGUCAUUAGGUCAGCCAAAUGGGAGACCAGUGGAUUUGGAGGGUUUGUAUACAGUGCAAACUGAGCUAAUAAUGCAUGUUCAUGGUUUUAUACGUGCCAGGUAUUUUUAUCCUGUAAUUGUGAAAUUGAUGACAGAAAAUUUUAUAUCGUAAUUUCUUGGAAUUCUGACUGCAUGCUUUUCUUCUAAUUGUUAUGUUUCUGUUAAUGAUGGGAUGACCAUCUUUCAGUGCAAUAAAGGUUGGAAUCAUAUGGUAUACCUAAAAUAAAUUGUCACGCUAGAUUGAUAUACUCAUUCUCUAAUCAACUGAGAGUAUCUUCUAGUUCAGCUAUUUCUUUUCUGGGUAUAAAAGAUAAAUGUUCUUUGAACUUGCCUCGUACGUUAACCUGCUACCAAUACGGUCUACCGUAUGUAUGUCUAGCAGUCAAGUGAAGAUAAAUUUGAAAUGUAACUAUUACGUUCGUUUGCAAUGUGGAAUAGUUACCUAGGAUGAUCAUGAGUAGAUACUUUCUGGAUGUCAUAAUUUGGGAUGUAGGUGUCCGUUUUUGGUGCAUAAUACAUUGUUUUGAAGGUUACGAUGAGAUGAAUCAAACCUAGAAUGCUCACACUAUUCUGCCCAAUCAUUUUGCAGUUUUAUGUUGUUUUCCUAUGUUUCUGUUAAUGAUGGGAUGACCAUCUUUUAGCAUAGUAAAGGUUGGAAUCAUAUGGUAUGCCUAAAAUAAAUUGUCACACUAGAUUUAUAUACUCAUUCUCUAAUCCACUGAGAGUAUCUUCUAGUUCAGCUAUUUCUUUUUGCGGUACAAAAGAGAAAUGUUGUUUGAACUUGCCUCGUAUGUUAACCUUGUACCAAUAAGUAUGAUUUAACUAAAGUCUUGAGCACACGAGCAGUUUUGCUUUUAAAAGAAAAACAACUAUUUACCCUGGCUGCUCUCUAUCUCUCCUCACCAACUGAGUCACCGGUUGGUUGCAUUUUACUAACGAUGCCGACUGAGAGAUCACAAUCCCUGUACGCGUCCACCCUAACUGAUUUUUACGGCAAUUAAUGAUAUAAAAUUAUUUAAAUGAAAGUAAUUUAAAUUUAUUUUUCAAGUCACCAGGAGCUUCAAUUCCUACUGGGCACCAUAUGGCACUGCCUAUGGAAUCAUUCAAUGGUCUUAUAGUACAUAAAUCACUUUCUUUUUCAUGUGUGGAUAGAGAUAAUAUGAAUAAACAUACGACUCUUUUCAAAUAUUAAAAGAAAAUAAAUACAUCAUUAUGAUAUUUACAAUAAAAAUCACACACUCAAGAUUUUAGUUAAAUCAUACUUAUUCAAAUUUCAGACAAAAAGAAAAAGAAAUGUCACCUUUAGCCUUUAAUUAAAAAGUGUAUGGGGUAAAUAUAUUAGUAAAUGAGAACUAGUAGUGGUCAAAACAUAAUAACUCUAAUUGUAGGGUCAAUUUUGUAAACAUAGUAAACUUUUUGAAUGUACGAUGGACUGGUUUUAUUGUUGUAGUUAAUUUUGUGUGAUACAAAAAGUGAGAGAGUGUGAAACGACGAUGAUGAGUCACAAAAUAGAGGAAUCUUUAUAUUUUCAACCCACUUAAACUGUCACAGAGAGAAAACGACAUGGAAUCUUUAAACUGUCACAGACAGAAAACGACAUGGAAUCGCGUUAUAAUUGCAAAAUCCACAAACUUUCUGCGAAACCGACUUACCAGCAAGUCGCGGACUCGCGGCCUCAGUUUCAACUCCCGGCAUCAGCGCACUUGAAAAUAUAAAUACCCCAGCGACGAGAUAAUUCUUUUAAGCAGAGAUAAUUGAGAUGUUCUUAAAGUGACAGUUUUUUUUCUUUUUCACCUUUUCCCUUCCAAGUUUCCAGCUGAGUUUACAUUUUUAAGCAGAGUCCUCUCUUUCUCUUCUAUAAAGGGAACUUGAUUUAUAGAAGAGAUAAGGCCGUGUCCCUUUGCUCAUUUGCUGCUGCAGCUCUCCUCUUCUUCCUUUUUCCUCUCUUAUCUCUUCUACUCUUCGAUUGCUCUGGUCGACACGGCCUUUGAUUGCUCUGUCAAUCUAUACAAGACAUAUACAACACGACUUCAGAUCUUUUAGGAUCGGGCUUCUCUCUUCGUACUUGCGGCUUUCUCUCUUAUAAAGGUUUCAUUUCGAUUUUGAUUUGGAGUAAUAGUCCUUCAGGAUCGUGCUUGUCUCUUCAUACUUGCGGCUGUCUCUCUGAUAAGGUUUCGUUUCGAUUUUGAUUUGGAGUUGCUUUUUCUUUUAUUUUCAAGUAGAUUUGUUUCAAUUGAAAUGUUGGUUGUUAAUUUGGUGUUGUGUUAAGUUUUGCAGGUAAUGAUUGCUCUGAUCAAGCUAUUACAAAAUGGCUGACGGGAAAAGAAAGUCAACCCAGCAAUCUUGACCGUCUCCCUUCUCUCUCUGACCUGAGCCACAACGUGUAUUUAAAAAUAAAACUUUACCCUAUAUAUAUACAGACAAUGUUCAAAAGAAAACAAAAAAAAAUCCCAAAUUUCUUUUUUAAAUUCUUACCAAUCAAUAAAAGUAUUUGAUAAUUUUUUUUUUCACAAUAACUAUGACUUGAAAAAAUUAAACUAAUAUUAAAUGAGACUAAAUACAUAAUGAUCUCUUAAAUUCCUGUUUUUCUAAAGGAAUGGAUCUAAUACUUUCCUUAAUAUAGUAUUUUAAUGGGUCUGCAGGAACAAAUUUUAUUUGUCCGCGAUGUCAAACGCAUACCAUAACGUGUUUGGAUACCUCAUUCCAAUUCUCAUCGGCAUCGUGGGAGCAAAUAUGCAAGGCACAACUGAGCGCUUGCUUGAAACACACACAACAAAUAUAUGGUCUUUUCUCAUAACCACAGCCAUUUAUUGUUAUGCAUAUUUAGCUCAUCAAGAGAAUUUUUCCCAAUCUUGGGCCCUUGUAGCACGAGUCUCCGGAUCUGUUUCUGCAGUCUCCCUAGCCUCCACAUUUGUUCCACGCUCUGAUAUUGGUCAUAUCAUAUUGUGCACUGCAUGGCUUUGCUCGUCCAUUAUCAUUGUUGUGCAUCAAUAUGGGGCGCUGUUUGCAGAAGCUUGUCGUCGGCUCUACAACGAAACCUUGAAACCAUUUUGCAGUCAGCUCUAUAACGAAACCUUGAAGCCAUUUUGUAUCAAUAUUUGCAGUAGGUUUCAAUCUAAUGACACUUCCUCGGCAGGACAACAACGACCAACACUACCAGUUUAGAAGGGGGCUUCUUCAAAUGUUUCACCUUACACAGUACUACAGUAGCAAGCAAUCAUCUCAUGUACACGCAGUAAUUUUGAAAAGUAACAGAGAAAACAUAUUAGUGUCCAGAUUUCUUUGCUUGAAAUAGUGCUAAUUACUGUCGUCAAAUUUCAUCUUAUUCUUUUUAUUCCCUCACAUGCAUUGUUUUAUUGAUAUUAUACAAGAAAAUGCGUUGUUCAAUAUUAUGCAAAUAUUUUUUUUUUCUCAAAUAAUUUAAAUUUCAAAGAUUGCAAUGAAAUUUAAUUUAAGGAUUGCCCUUGAGCACUGUCAGCUACGACUCCAGUUUCCUGCAACAAUGAAAAAUUCUGUAAUAGUAAAAAGUCUCUCUUUUUUCGCAAUAUUAAGUCAAUAAUUUGAAAGGCAGAUUUAACAACAGGUUGGCCUAAUUUCAAAAUUUAAUCCAUGUAAUAUAGAAAGAAGACUAGUUCAAUGUAUAUGAGUCCACCAAAAAGUUAUUAAAAAUUUAGGAUUAAACACUUGGAAAUGGCAAUUAGGUACUACCUCAAGAGAUUUUACUGCUUGAACCAACCAAGGGGGUAUGUUUGCAAUUGUUGUGACUAAGUAUAAAUAGAUGGUUGGUCAGUGGUAAGAACCAGCCUUCUAGCAUCUUUGGGCACAAAGAACUCAAGAAAAAAGCCCACAUGAGACACAAGACCCAAUGCUCAGCAUGCAGCAAGCUUAUCUAGAUUCAGGUGCUUUAUGGAUCAAAUUCACAUUACAUGAAAAGUUCACUAUUCAGAAUGGCACUCUGUAUGACAGCAAAGAGAUAAGUGGAAGAAAAAAAUCUGAAAAUCAACAUACCUUUUUCUUUGUGAUUAGGUAGUCGAACCCCACUAGCUCGCUUAUUUCAAGCAGCCAGGUCAGCUCAACACGGUCGUCUUGUAUCCUUCAAGAUGCACAACCCCUGUGAAAUUUCCAUCCUGGUUCCUACUAAUUUGCUCCACAAUUGCAUUCCCAAUCUAUUUAUGUGAAUCUUAUUUCCAGAGAUCAACUCGGCAUUGGCAAGGUCCAUCCAUAUUGUUUUUGCACAUGUUGUAGCUUUCACUCCUACACCUUUACGCGUCUUAUGCCUCAGUUUGAUGCGAACUCAUGGUUUGUCAAGGCCAUUGGUAAGAGUCAGUCAGUCAGCAAUAGUAAUAUCUGCCUUUCUUCAAUCACAGCAGCGAGUAUAGGGCACGCAGGAUUAAUAAUCUUCUUAUUAAUAUAGUAGUUCAAAGUUUGUCACGUUCCAAAUGGUUGAGACUGUUUGAAGCCGCCAGAAAAAGUAGAGAUACAAAAGUUAUUCUUCCACUUAAGUGAUAACAAAUACUAUAUGAACUAUGACAAAUUACUUCAGCUACAUUGUCUUAGCAGUUCAAGGAUAAACUGCAUCAGAGACUCAAUUUUCAGUCCCCUACGAAUAAUUCUUUGAAUGGCAAAAAAAAAAAAGAGGAUUAUCUAAUCCAUUCUGUACAAACCACAAAAGUUUGCUAAGAGGCAUGUUACAGCAUUUUCAACCGGCUAAACUCAAAAAUUUGAACCUUUAUAUUCCAUAUCCUCUUGAACCAAAUGGUAUCAAGCAUUACGAGCAUUGUACUCACUAGAUCUCAAACUAAAAGACGUGAGAAUUAGUCCAUAAGUUAGGUAUAUCUUGUAAUUUGACCUGAUUUGAUGGUGGGUCUGGGUUGCAACGACUGGACGGGAUCUCAGACGGACUUGCUGGAAUGUUGCAUGUCAACUUCCUGCUACGACAACACUCCUAACAAUUAACAUCCCAAUUUUGCUUAUGAAAAAACAGGGAGAUAUUAGAAUGAUAUCUCAAUACUUCAAGCCAUUCACAAACAUUUUCCAUGUAAUUGGUUGCAAUACCAGACGAGCUUAAGCCUGCCACCAAUAAUCUGCUUCACCUUAAAUCACGAAUAAGGCAAAAAUGCUAUCCUCCGCUCAUCAUUCGGCCUCAACAGAUCACAGGUGGAAGGUUAAGUGUGUGAGUAGUUAAAGGGGAAAUACCCUUUUUGAUAAAUGUGCCAAGAUGAAAGUCACUAUAGUCAAAAGGGUAUAAAUAUCCCAACACAAGUCUAUAUGGUCAUUUCCGAAACCACGCAAAGACGUCGGUGUCGUUUCCCCACAACAAUAAAUAGAAAUCACCAUACUUCCACAAUUAUCCAAAGAGCGCGAACCCUGACACAUCAUAAAAACUAUUAUAAAUCUAUUUACAGAAUAAACUUGACUGAACGGAGGCAUCGUGUGAUAUUUGCAUCCCCACAAUUUCUUAUCAGAUUCAAUUCAUAAAACAAAUAGGAACACGUAUAAAAUUUAAAUAAAAUUCUUUCAAAUUUUUUUUUUGUUUGGUGCGCGCGCGCCAAAAAUUGAAAUUUUGCAGAUUAAAUUACUACCAGAUGAUGAAGUACAAAACAAAAAUCAUCAUAUUCUGACAAUGACACAUAAUAGAAAACAAAACAAAAAAAAAAUCGAGACUUACGUUGUCAUUCAAAGCUUUGAUCCAAUUUGAGCAUCCUGAAACAGGGUUUUUCUUAAUCAUUCUUAGCGUUUUCUUCGUGAAGUUUGACUUUAUAUGCAAAGGAAAGUAGGUCACUAAUUAUUAAAUUAUCAAAAUACCCUUGACAUUUAAGUGUACAGGAGCUGACGCUUAAGGGUAUCGUAGUCAUUGUAUGGGUUUAGGCACCCAUUUGGGACGAAUAGAAAACUACCGUCCUUAUUUGAGAAAUAAUGCUAUUUGACACAGAAGUAUAAAUAAAUUCUCAACUUCCUCCCGUUUCCGUGAAAAUUUUGUUUUCAGUGCAGUGGAAUUGAAUUAAUCUGAAGGAAAAAAAAAAUUGUUGGUAUGUGGAAAUUAUACUUGAAACGUUGUCGUUUUUGGCAUAAUUGCUGUGAUAUACUUAUUUGCUUUGUGUUUUUAUUUCUUUUUUCUGGGUUUUAGGGUCACAAUCGGAGAGAGAAGACAAUGUCUCGUUGGAACUCUCUGAAGAAGUUCUUCAGAGCAUGGAAGUGGGCAUUUCUUUUAGAGAUUAUGUAAGAGAAUCUUCUAAUAAGUUUCUGUUUGAGGAACAUACUUGAUUUGCGUUUUAAAUGUAUCUGUUUGUUAAUUCAGUGUCGUUUUGUAUUGAUUCGUGUUUUAACAGAAUGGGAGAAUUAGUUCCUUGGAUUUUCAUAAAUCAUCGAGUUAUUUGGUGACGGCUAGUGAUGAUGAAUCUAUACGGCUGUACGAUGUCUCUGCUGCCACUUAAGUUGAUCCUCUGUUUCUUAGGAUUUUAUGUUGUCUCUUGGGAAGUGCUUUUAACUAAGAAAUGGCUUUUGAAUAAGUAUAAAAAGCUGGUUUCAAUCUUGCAAUGUUUGUUUGAAAUUGCAGGAAUAAUAAAGUGUCUCUUUUGAAAUCAAAGGAACCCUUGAAGUGUUUUUCUGGGGAAGUGCUUGAUAUCUGCUUUCAUGGAUAGAACUUUUUGGAUUAGGAAACCACUUGUAGUGCUGUUUGAAGAAGUGCUUCAUAUAUGUUUCAAAGUGAUUUUACUCGAGGGUACUUUCCAUUAAAGCAUUGCUGAACGUAUCAUCUGCGUGUUUGAUGAGCUCAUGAAAGCUACUGUCUUUCUAAGAUGGAGAAAAAUGCUUUUUAGAUGAAACAGAAAAAAAAAAAAAAAAAUAGAACCUUGGAGUGGUUUUCGGGGAAGUGCUUAAGGGAAAUGUAAUUGAUAUAUUUUUCAAGAACUUUUGUAAAAAGGCCUUUUCUUUUCUUUCUUUUUUUUUGUUUGCAUAAGCUCUUUCUAUAAGAUCACUGCCAAAUGCACUUCAGUUGUCUUAGCUGAGCAUGAUAGUUGGUAUUGCAAUUGUUGCUGAGAGCCUUAAUUGAAAUUUCAGAUGUUUGAAGACAAUUAACAGCAAAAAAUAUGGGAAUAUUUGUAUUUUGUUUGUUGGUGGAUUGCUUUACUAGGCACUUAUUUGAUACGUUCAUUUAUUCAGAAUCUCUACGGCUUCUUUCCUCGCACGAUAACAAGUACUUGCGUUACUUCAAAGGUCAUCAUAACAGGUUUGUAAUUCACUUAUUCUUGUAAAUAUUUCGUAAUUAUUAUUAUCUGUAUAUAUGUUUUACUGCUUCUAGGGUUGUUUCACUUAGCCUGUGCUCCUCCAAAGAUUGCUUUAUCUCUGGUUCUCUUGGUCAAUCUGUUCUGCUCUGGGAUCAACGGGCUGAGAAAUGCUAGGUGGAUAUCAUGCCAUCCACCAUUUUCAAUUGUAUUUAUGAUCUCUGUUGGCAAAUACGGGUCUUUUGCAUGUUCAAGGAAGGCCUGCUACAGCAUAUGAUGAUCAAGGGCCUGUCUUUGCAGUUGCCUUUGGAGGAUACAUAAGAAUGUUUGAUGCUCGUAAGUAGGAGAAAGUUAAAAUUAAUAUUUAAAAACAUCUUGGAAGUUUAUAUGUCGUACUUUUAUCAUGCACUAAUUUGGUUAAAUUUGGAUACAUCUUCUCUGAUGGUGGAGAUGUAUCAGAUUCUGAUGCUGGAAAGUUCAGCAAUGAUGGGAGACUUAUGCUUCCGACCUCUAUGGAAGGACAUAUUCAUGUGCUUGACUCAUUCCAAGGCACACUUGUGAGUUGACUUUUUCUUUCUUCAUCUCCCAAAUGUAACAUAUCGUACGUAUAUACCCCUCUAUACACUGGAAUCUCUGUGAAUGAGCUUCUGUUUACUCUUGUUUUUAUUUAUCCACUUAUGAUGCCAAGCCAGUUUCUCGCAAUUCCACAUUGGAGGCAUCUUUCAGCCCGGUAGAGUUUCUCCUUUCAGUUCUUAGGGCACAGUGACUUGGAUAUUUUGUUAAUAUUUGCUUUUGGCUGUUUUGAUAAUUUAUAUUAAAGUUCUUGCACUUGUGCUGUAUAUAAUUCUCAAAUUUGUUACCACCUUGUUGGUAUAUUGAAAUACACGACUUGAAAUGCUGGGCAUCAAGCUUGUUUCCGCAGAAUUCUUUGAAAUAAAUUCAUUUUCUCUUCUUCAUUGACUUGGUUUGAAACCCACUCCCAUCCAUGCAAAUCCAAAUGCGUACGUAUUUUCAUCUGGUUGUGCUUAUUAAUAAAAAUAAAUCAAUGAAAUGCUCAAACAGCAAGUGCACCCACACAUGUGGAAGCAGCCUAGUGUGGCCAAGCACCUCUCAUUUGUUUUAUGUGAUACAAUUGGUUUGUUGCACUCUUUGUGCUAAUUUUACUUUCUCGGUUUGGAAGGUUCUGAUGAUGGUAGUGGAUAUGCUUGGAGUGUACGGAGCGGGAAAGGGGUAUGAUAAGCAAAAUUCCUGGAUUCUCAUGCCUUUUGAAUGCUUAGAAUUCAAAGGGAUGUUAUUUCCCUUACAUUGACCCCAGUCAUAGCAUUCAUUGUCUUCUAGCCAAACCAACAAUGCUUUUGAAUCUACAUUUGAGCUUUGUAUAAGAAGUUGCACCAAUUAUGUAAGGAGAUGUUCAAUUUCCUAUAGUAGUAUGUAAAUGCAUCUGACUUACCUGCUAGUAACCUUUCCUAACAAGUUCUGAAGAAACAACAGUAGAUCUGGUAUCAGUACUUUAUUCAGAAGAGCAUUUCUUCUUACAUGCACAGCUAAGAGUACAUGAAUUGAGCUACUGAAGCCCUUCCUGACCAACCUGGCUAAGGCUCCGUUCAGUUUGUCCUCUUCAUGGUUCUUUGGCAGGCAACAGCGUAAGCAAUUACCUGGACUAUGAGGCCUUUUGUAGCGGGGUGGGCACUGCCUAGGCAGUUUUUGAAAAAAUUAGGAGCUUUAUUUGUCAUUGACAUUUGUAGCACGAUUAGUUGUUACCUGGAUUAAGUUGUAUAUAUUACAUCGUAUACCUAAUCUGACAAAUAACAGGUUGCAAUCCAAGUUUUGUUGAUCAUGAAGGGUUUGAGCAUGAUAGUCCAUUUAGGUCAUUAGGUCUCCCUCGAAUUGCCACGUACACACUUCAAUCCUCUCAACGAGCGUCCCCGCAACGUCACACUCCACAAUAAUCUCAAAUAAUUUAGAACAAUUAUUUACUUCUGGCUGCUCUUAUCUCCCUUCUCACCAACCGAGUCACUGGUUGGUUACAUUUUACUAACACCGCCGAAUGAGAGAUCAUAAUCCCUAUUACGUGUCCACCCUAACUGACCACAACAUUGUCAUUUUUGAUCUAGCGUUAGUAACGCGUUGUUAAAUUGUCAUAGCUUCGAAACCGCUUUAUUUUUGGACUCAAGGCACAAAAAGGAUAAUAAACAAUUUUAAAAGAAAUUAAAGAAAGAAGUAAAAAGUAAUAAAAACUGGUAUUACAGGUAUUCUACUAUUCUUCUUCUCAUGAGCCGACUUUUUUCCCCAAAAAAUAAUAAAUAAAUAAAUAAAAUAAAGUAAAAAGGAAAGAAUAGUUAAUGCACUUCUCUACGUAAACGGUGUACAAUCAUUCUGGAGUCUGCAAGGGCCUUCAAGGGACCAAUUUAACGAGUUUCAAAUAACAAGUUUAUUUAUUUAUUUAUUUAUUUCUUUGGAUGAAAUAACAAUUUUAAUUAAAUAAUACAAAUAUAACUUAUGUACAUUUUUGCUUCUUGACCCUCUGUGUUGAAUGAGAACGAAACUGACAGAUAAGGACAGUAUGGCGUAUCUCUUGUUUAUUUCUUUGAAUUCCCCUCUCUUUAUUCUCUCUCAAUAGCCCUAUCUACAACCCUAUUCCUUUUUAUAAUCCUUUAUCACGCUACAUAUAUCGUAGCGUACUAUUAAAAUUUAACAGUGGGAUUACUUAGAAAUUUGAUAAGCACUCCGCUUCUCCCCCACCCCACCCAAAAAAAUAUUAUAGGUUAAGUGGAUGUAAAUUCUAAUGAUUAACAUGUUGGGAUUAUAUGCUCUUUUAAAGUAUAGUAAUUUAUUUUCUGAUUAAUAAAAUAUUUGAGAUAUUUUCAAUUGCAUAAAUAUAUAUUGAAUAAUGUCCGUUUAAUCAUAUUAUAUGUAUUUUUGUGAUUAUCAUAUAGAUUCACAGAAAACAUAAAUACAAGUUAUCUUAUUAUUAAAUAAAUUCAGUUCGCAGUUGAUAAAUAGAGUUGGACGCUCUAUUUAUGUUUAGACUGUAGUAAAUUUAUUGCAUGAUUUGUCUUAAUCAUAUAUGAAUUUAUUGAUGUAGUACGAUUACAUUGAACAUGAACACAUAUGAGAUUUAAUUAACCUUGAAAUGACUGUCAGACUUAUUAAAUCUCAUAGGCAUUGAUUUUACUGUAAUCUUAAUAUUGAGUUAAUUAUGAUUUCAUGAUUGUAAUUGUUAUUCCAUUUGAGUUACCAAUGGGCACAACACACAAUUGUGGUCAAGAUUACCUAGUAUCUUGGUGGGAGCAUUUAUGAGUAUUGGAGUUAUACAUUAACAAUAUAGAAUUUGUACAACACAUCCUUGAUGAGUUUUUGGCACUUGAUCAUAGAAUUCUCUGGCCAGAGUGUGUCAACAUAUUUAGUAUGUUGAAAAUGAUCAUUAGAGAAAACAAGUAAGCAUCAAGGAAUAAGAUGUAAUUAAAUUGAUUAGACAGUUGAGAUAUCGAUUUAAUUAAUGAUGUGGUACAAAGGAUUAUGCAGUAAAAAAAUUGAUGUGGCCUGCGACGAAUUAUUAUUCGAGCAUACAAUUAUGGAAGUUAGUUCCAAUCUUUUAAUGGAGUAUAUUUGGAAUUAAAUAAUUAGGCUAGUUUAAUUAUAGGCCUAAUUAUUAUAGCCACUAUUGUAUGUUCCCAAAUGAUUCCCGGGUUAGCUCAUUUAAUUGACUACGCCACUACUAGAUUAAUAAACAAGAUAACUAGUUAUUUGGGUUAAAAGCCUAAAUAUAUUAUUUAGUGGGAGGCUUCAAGUAAUGUACUUGUGUCUAAGGGGCAUUGUGUUAUUUUACAAAGUGGGCCCCUAUGACAAGAAAGAAGUAACGUUACUUUUAGUUUAUUAUUUUUAUUUAAAUCAAACUUGAUUUAAUAGAAUUAAAUAAUAUAAAAAAUGGAGUCUAGGGUUUCCACUAGAGAAAAAUAUAAAAGGGCUUAUUUUCUCCCAAAAGAAACAAGCAGCCACUUUAUACAGAUCAGAGAAAAAGAUUUUUCUCUCCGUUGUUGAGAGAAAAAUUUUCUCGUGCUAGUUACUUUGGUAGUGAUAAAGGCGUUCACACGUCAAAUGCAGAUCAAACCUGAGUCAUAACAUAGAAGAUCAUUGGUGACAGUUCGUGAUCUAACAAGUGUUGUGGUCACGGAUCGUGAUCUAACAAGCGUGGUGGUGACAGAUCGUGAUCUAGGAGCCUAAAUCACUUCAAUGGAAAAAGCCAAAUCGGAUUUUCAAUGUACGAUUUCUAGAUUACGUAUUCAUAUAUAUUGUAUGAAAUCAGUCCUAAAACAUUUUAUAAAAAUUUAAAAUAUAGAUUUUUCUCCAACAAUUGGUAUCAGAGCCAUCUUAUAUUAAUAUAUAAUAAUAUUGUAUGAAAUCAAUCUUGAUAUUUAUGUAUUAGAGUGGCACAACUUAUUCAGAUAUAUAUUAUUUAUUUAAUAUAUGAAUAAAAUAUGUUUUUGGUUUGUCUUAAUUCAUGAUUAGAUUCUUUACUGUUUUUUUUUUUUAUCUGUAACAAGAGGAGUGGUUUAUUAUCACCAUAUUUCCCUCUUAAUUUAGUUUAUUGUUAUAGAAAUUUUGUAAGCCUAAAUUGGUGUAGGAAAUUUGUAAGUCACUAGAGUAUAAUCAUGGAUGUCAGAUCAAAGCAACGAAUGCCGGAAAUUUCAGCGUCAGCCAGCGGUGCAUGAUGCACGCGCAGUGGCCAGCAGCACACGCUGCCAGCAGCUGCAGCGCGCGCAAGUUUAGUGCAUUUCCGACGACGCGGCAACGGGUGGCUCGGCGUCGGAGGUCGGCUGGUGUCUGAACAAUGGCAGAGGUUUUUGGAGAUGGCGGCUGGGGAGAAGGAAAAGAAAAAUAAGGAUUUUAGGGUUUCAUGGUUUCUAUCAUUGAGGUCCCUAUAGUUUAAUAAUUAUUUCUUUUGGGCAGUUAAGUUUUAAGCAUUUAAGUCUAAAAAUAGUUUUGGGCUUAAAGAAUCUUAGUUUUAGGCCCAAUUGAAAUUUGGGCUUAAUAGAUUAAAAUACAUAGAUAAAAUUGAACACAUUAAAUUUAUUUUUUGUCCAAAAAUUUUAUUUUAAUAAAAAAUUUAAUUAUUUAUUUAUUUCCUUCUAAAAAAUUAAAAUUGGACCAAUAAUAAAUUUAAAAGCUCAAUUUCCCCUAGUCCAUUAACAAAGAUAAGCCUAUGGAAGGUGGAUAUUGACAAAAAGCCCAAUGAAGAUUAAGCUUAUGGUUAAUGUAUUUUUUUAGGAAAGCCAUGAAUUAAGAUUAUUUAAUUGUAUUUCUAUAUGUUCUGUUUUGGAUGAUAAUAUGCCAUGAUAACAUGUCAUAUAGAAUAGGUAGUGUCACUCUAUGCAUAAUAUUACAUGUCAUUAAUUAAUUAUGAAUCUUAUUAUAUUGUUUGUAAUUUGCAAAUGCUUAAAUAAUAUUGGAUAUCAUAUAGAUAAUAUUAUAGGAAGCAUGAAACAAUAUGUAUGUUUUAAAAAAAGAAAAAACCAAUUUUAAAAUAUUGAGUGGGAGAGGGAAAAUUCAAAAUAAUUUUUCCCACGGGCUCCAUUGUUAGUUCAAUAAUAAAAUUAUAUAUAUACCUCGACUUCAUGAUACGGUGAUGCUCCUUAUGGAGGGUAUAUAUACUAGAUAUUUUAUUUGCUGAACUUUUUCAAAGAUAAAAUUGAAUAUUUUUCAAUCAAUUGUUCACUCCAACGGUGACUAUUGAUAUGAAAAAUACGUAGAUUGAAACAAUGGUUAUACCCUCAACUAAAAGUUGUUUUUAACCUUCCCAACAAAGCUCUGUUAACAACUUUAGGCCCAAAGGGAUAACGAUAAUUAUUUAUCAUGUCUUUACAUGAAAGUAAAUAAUUCAAUGGAUAAUUGGGUCUAGUAAGCAUAUAUUUGUUAUUUUGUUGUGAAUGGGACAUAUAUGGCACCAUUUGCUCCCGUGACCGAUCUUUAUAACAGAUCCAAUUACCCUCGUUAUAGUCACUAGAUAGAAAGCUAACAUAGCACAAUUAUAAUAUGUAAUGUAAGUGAUAGUAGAGUCACAAAUUAUUGUAUAAAUUUAUUUUAUAUAAAUUGAUGAUAAUAUAAAAUAAUAAAAAUAUAAAUCAUGUAGACCAAGAUGUAUUUAAUAUAACUAAUAAAAUUUUACUAGAUUAGUUUAUAUAAGAAUUUGUAAUUUUAUUAUUACUCAUGGUACUUGAACAGUGGCUGAUUGGUUAGCUAGUGGUAUAAGUGGCAACGACCAAAUUGUUGAGUCUCUGACGUGGGUUCUCAAAAUGAGUCAAGAGUCCAGAAAUUAGCUAUCAAGUUAUGACAAUAUUUGUAAACAUGUCUUUGAGAUGAUACAUUGUCAUCAUCAGCAUCAUAUCCUAAUUGAAAAAGAAGGAUUGCGAGGGAAACUAAGCAUGUGCCUUCAUUUUCACUUGAAAUAAAGCGCGAUGGAAAGAUCUCAUGUUAUCACAUAAUGCCGUGUGAUCACCUAAAAGCCCUUCCACACACAUUUCUUCUCAAAUUGUCUUAUUCUAAUUUCUUGGACCACCGCGGAACCACAAUGUCAAUGCGAGGAUGAGCGAGUGCUGUUCAGCUCGCAGCAUUUGGAGCCGGAGCUCGGCUUCCUUUAUUUUUUCGUCUUCUGCUGGUAGACAUUGCCAAAAGGCAAAGAGGAUCCUCUGGCGUUCGUGGAGUUGGUCCUCGAUGCGAUUGAUUUCUUCUCCAAGUUGAGCAAGCCUUUGUGCCAUAGCCAUAUAAUUAUUUGCUUUCGACCGACAUAAUUCUUCUCUAAAAAUUUCAGGGAGCACUUUUCAUCUACACCCAAAUAUUUCAUCAGAAUUUUGUUGUAUGCACACUUACUUCAACAACUAUCACGACUCACUCUUUUUGUUAAAUAUUGUUAUUGCCAUUAAUUUUGAUAUCUUUGACGUUAAAAGACAAUUUUGCCCUUAUUUAUAUUUUUUAAUGCAAAAUUACUAGAAAACCACAACACCAAUUUCAAAUUUCAAUUCACCUGUGUGGAUAUUAAAUUUAAUUUUGACAUCUUUGAUAUUAAAAGAUAAUUUUGCUCUUAUUUAUAAUUUGUUAAUACAAAAUUACCAGAAAACCCAACAUGAAUUUCGAAUUCCAAUUUACCUGUGUGGAUAUUAAAAUUUCGUAAAGGUUAGAAAAAAAGUAAAAAGUUUUUGUUAUGAAGAUCAAAAUAUCCCCUCUGCCAUCAUCCAUAAACGUCCAUUCUUCAUAACAAUCUAGUAAACUUGAAAAAGCAAGAAAUCCAAUCCCAGUCAAUCAAAAAGCCAAAAUUCUUCAUAAAGUUUAGCUUUUCUUGAAAAAUUUUAAUUCUUGAGACCCUAAAUUAACCGAUAUUCAACCCUAAAUUAACCGAUAUUCAAAGUCACAUGUUUCUAUAACGAAAAUCUUCAAAAAUAACACUCAAAUGAAAAUCUUCCAAGUAAAUAAAAAUCUAUAUUCAUAAUAUUUAUGAAUAAAUUGUAAAUAAUAUAAAAUGGUCUAAUUGAAUAUAGAGUGAUUUACAAUUUUAUAGUGCAUUCACUAAAUAGGAAUCAAAAUUAAUUGGAAACAUAAUGAGUUAGAAUCGAAAUAACUAGAAUCGAAAUAAGGAAUUAGAAUCAGAAUAAUUUAUUUACUUGAACUGCAUGAAUCGUAAUUAGAAUGAGCUAUUUAUAUGUUUAUUUUAUCUUAAAAUCAAAAUCGGAGUGAGUUAAAUUGUAUCAAAUUACUAUAAGACCCUUAAUUAUUUUUUAUCAUAAAAUAGUUAAUUAAUGUUUAUCAUAAUUAUUAAUUUUAAUUUUAAUUAUCUUGAUUAUUAUUAUUAUUAAAAAAUUAAUUAUUAUUGUUAAUUAUUAUUAUUAUUAACAAUUUAACUAAAAAAUUAUUAUUAAUUAUUGUUAAUAGAUUAAUUAAUUAUAAUACUUUUUAUCCUUGUUAUUAAUAAUAAUAAUAAUAAUAAUAAUAAUAAUAAUCCAUUUAAAAAUUAUAAUUAUAAUAAAAUCAUUAUUAUAAUUAUAAUCCAUUUAAUAAUAAUUAUAUUUUUAAUUAAAUGGAGGGUAUUUUAGAAAUUUAAAAAUUAUAGGGGCGAAUUGAUACUGUAAGGGUUUUAAUGCAAUAAAACAAAGUAUAAGGGGCUCAAUGAAAAUUUACAAUACAAAAAGUUUCACAAUAUUUAGGAAUAAAUUAUAAAUAAUAUAAAGUGUAAGGGCUACGUGAGCAGUAACUUAGGUGGCCCCUUUGCAAAUAACUAUUGUGAUUAGUGAGGCGCACCCAUCAAGUUCAUUGUAGCUGAAUGUAGAGGGCCUCGUGGAAGUUUAAGUUGUAGGGUCCCAAUCAAAAUGUGGCACUGACACAUUUAUCAAACAAUAUGAUUUUUUGAUAAGGACAUUAGUUUUGUAUUCAUAUCAAGCAGGUCCCUAACUUGUUGGGUUGGCAACGACACGGGAUUUGUCAAUCCCAGUCCCAUUCCGUAUAAAGUGCCGUAUAUGCAAAUGAGAUAAAAAAAAAAUCUUAUUCCUAUUCUUUUAUUUUCUUUUGCGACAAAAAUUUGUCAUGAUCUCGUCUCAUUAAAUAUCUUAUCCCAUCUCAUUAUCUUGAACAGUUUUAAAGGUAAAUAAAUAAAUAGACUUUUUUUUAAAGAUCAUCACAAUUCAAUAUAGCAAAAUUUUUUAAAUAAAUACAAAGUAAAAUAAUCAAAUAAUAGUUUUAUUUUGACUAAGUGCAUGUUCAAAUAUAAUUUUAUAUUAACAUUUUUAAUAGUCUAUUUGCUUCCAUUGCACAUUAAUAUUAAGACUUACACUUCAAAAACUAUAGAUUUAAAUAGUAAUCACUUCAACAAUGUUAAAAUAUCUAAUAAUUGAAUAAUAUAAUAAUAAACAAAACCAACAAGGUUGGUAAUGGAAUGGGAUGAGACGAGAUUUGUCCAUUCCAGUCUUAUUCCGUUUAUACAAGUGAGAUAAAAAAAAAUCUUUCAUUCCUAUCCUUUUAUUUUUUUGGGAUAAAAAUAUAUCUUAACUCUAUCCCAAAUGAAAUAGGAAAAAUUACCAUCCCUACUAACUUGGUGUAAUGACUAAAAGUUGAUUGAAAAAUAUAUAGUUUAAUUUUACAUUUAAUUUUUUUCAUUUUUUUAUUAAGAAUUAAUUGAAAAAUUAUUUUAUUCCCUUAAUUUUACCAGAAUCCCAUUGACUUAACCCCUAGUCUCUUGAUUAAGGCUCCGUUUGGUGCAGCUUUUCAAGCAAAACUUAUUUAAGUAGAGCUUUUGAUAAUAGAGCUUUAAGAAUUUAGUUGUUUGGUUGUCAAUAAGAACUUUUAUUAAAAAUCUAUGAAAUUGCUUUAAUAGAUAAGUUUUCUUAAGUUAUGUUAUGAAAAGAAUAAAAUAAGAUUGUUAAAUAAGUAAAGGAUAUUUUAGAUAUUUUAACAUUUAAAAAAAGUUUUUCAACCUCUACUCCCAAAAGCUCAAACUUUGAGUUUUUGUCAAUAGAGACGAACUAGCUUAUUUAAGCUCUAAAAGCUCUACAAAAAAAAAAAAAAAAAAAAAAAAACAACCAAGCAACAACAAAAAUUAUGAUAAGAGCUUAUGAGAUUAAAUAAAUACGUAUGACCAUUAGACAAGCCAUAUCAAAUAGGCAGUAAAGCGUUUUUAAGUUCAAAAGAUUCAGAUAACUCACUCGAUUACAGGGCGUCUACACCUUAUGCUCGCAUUUGUUGUGAUGCCAGUAGAUGUUGUGACUGUGGUUGUCGUUGUCGAUUGUACUUGAAUUUUGCAGGAGAGCUUAAUAUCCUCCUUAGUAAUUAAGCGUUGCAUCAGUUAUUUUUAAAAAAAAUUAUAUUAGAGUUAUUAUUAAAAAAUUGUAUUAUAAAAUAAAAAUUAAUAAUAUGUAAUAAAUAUGAUUUUUAAAAAUUCAUUUUAUUAAAAUUAAUUAUUUUUAUUUUUAUUAAAUAAAUAUAAAAUUAAAUCAACUUAAUUAUUAAAUUAUAGUGAUUAGUAUUUAUUAAACACUUUAAUAUAGUAACUUUUAAAAUUAUAAUCGACUAACCUUAAUCCAAGAGCCUGAAAUGAUUGUGCAGUUCGGGAUUUUCAAUUUCCUUUCUUUUUGGAACUGGCUUGGGAUUGUCCAAACACGUUAUUGACUGCCUUUGACAGGGAGUAUGGGGACAAAUCAAUUUUGUUUCCUGCAAAACCCUUGAAAUAUUAGUCAACUUACGUAUACCACUUUUGGACCCAUUUUGUCAGCAAAAAGAAAGAGUGGAGCAUUUGUACUCUAAAUUUAACUUUAGACAGUCGCAUUUUAACAAAUUUUUAUAUUACUAAAUUAACCUUAAUAUAAUUUACUAUAAAAGACAAUUUAGUAAUAUAAUAACUUUUAAAAUUAUUAAAUAAAUAUAAAAUUAAAUCAACUUAAUUAUUAAAUUAUAGUGAUUAGUAUUUAUUAAACACUUUAAUAUAGUAACUUUUAAAAUUAUAAUCGACUAACCUUAAUCCAAGAGCCUGAAAUGAUUGUGCAGUUCGGGAUUUUCAAUUUCCUUUCUUUUUGGAACUGGCUUGGGAUUGUCCAAACACGUUAUUGACUGCCUUUGACAGGGAGUAUGGGGACAAAUCAAUUUUGUUUCCUGCAAAACCCUUGAAAUAUUAGUCAACUUACGUAUACCACUUUUGGACCCAUUUUGUCAGCAAAAAGAAAGAGUGGAGCAUUUGUACUCUAAAUUUAACUUUAGACAGUCGCAUUUUAACAAAUUUUUAUAUUACUAAAUUAACCUUAAUAUAAUUUACUAUAAAAGACAAUUUAGUAAUAUAAUAACUUUUAAAAUUAUUAAAUAAAUAUAAAAUUAAAUCAACUUAAUUAUUAAAUUAUAGUGAUUAGUAUUUAUUAAACACUUUAAUAUAGUAACUUUUAAAAUUAUAAUCGACUAACCUUAAUCCAAGAGCCUGAAAUGAUUGUGCAGUUCGGGAUUUUCAAUUUCCUUUCUUUUUGGAACUGGCUUGGGAUUGUCCAAACACGUUAUUGACUGCCUUUGACAGGGAGUAUGGGGACAAAUCAAUUUUGUUUCCUGCAAAACCCUUGAAAUAUUAGUCAACUUACGUAUACCACUUUUGGACCCAUUUUGUCAGCAAAAAGAAAGAGUGGAGCAUUUGUACUCUAAAUUUAACUUUAGACAGUCGCAUUUUAACAAAUUUUUAUAUUACUAAAUUAACCUUAAUAUAAUUUACUAUAAAAGACAAUUUAAUAAAUUUUUAUCAUAUGAACUUUUAUCUACUAUAAACCACAUCAACAAUGAAAUAUUGAACCAAUGUUCACGUCGGAACUUUAUCUAUACUUAUAGACUAGAUUUUUUUUUUUUUUUGGUUAAUAGAAUGGCUAGAAAAACAUCAAGUUGCAUGUUCUAUCUCUUAUAACUGAAACAAAAGGAAUUACAAGCGGAGGUGCAGAACGAACAAUAAGUCUAUAAAUAUGAAAUAAAAUCGACAUAACUUCUAACAACUGCUAACUAUAAUCUUGAGCAAGACCUUAAUUUCCUCUCAGUUUUACAAUUAUUUGCUUUUGAGUGAGCUCUGAUUAUAAAUUUAUCCAUACAUGAAGUUACACUAGAUACGAAAUUACGUGGGCAUAAUUAUUCUUAGAGAAUUAUUUUUUCCUUUAGGAAUUCGUGCAAAUUAUCACUUUCUUUUUCCACUUUCCUUGAGAUAUUAUAUUUGACCUUUUUUAAAUAGUGCUCAUUUGUUUACGGAGUUUUUUUUUUAAUAACCAUUUCUAACCGUUUCAAACAAUUUGGUUCUAAAUAUAAAAUUUAGACCAUCUAUAAAUGCAGCCCUCUCACAUAAAUAGUAUCCAGUCCUAAGUCCACAGCCAGGUUUGUGAGAGAGCUCUCUACAUUAUAGAUGCUGUAAGGCAGUAGGGGUGUAAAAAAAACCCGCUCGGACCGGACCUGGCCCGGACCCGGCCAAUUCGGUCCGGGCAAAACCCGGACCACAUGCACUGAAAAUGCGGGUUCGGGUUUAAGAUUCCAAACCCUACCAUUUUCGAGCACGGGUUCGGGUUCAACACCAAAAAUCUGGAACCCGGAACCGGACCCGGUUUCUAAAUUAAAAAAAUAUAUAUAUAAAAACAAAAAUGUCAAAACCCAAAUCCCUAAUUGGCUAAUUCCCGAUUGAAAGAGGCAUAAGCAGCAAGCCAACAACGUUGUCACCGGCAUCAUCUCUUCUCGUCACCGUCGGCAUUCGGCAUUAACCACCACCCACUGUCACCGUCGCUCGUCGGCAUCAUCUCUUCUCGUUUGCUGACUCGGCUUGGCACGCGGCUUUACUCGGUUGCUCCAUCUCCAGUGGCAGUGUGGCUGUGACUCAGUGACAGUGAGUCGUUCGUGCAGGUGAGGCCUGCUUCUGGGAUAUUUUUCUGGAAUUUGGCCUCUUCGAGUUGCUUGUCCUGCUUCCUGACAUGUUCGGCAGCUGCGAUUGCAGAUUCCUUGGAGUCCUUAACAACUUUGAGCUUGGUGGUCAACUCGAGCAUGGUUCUUUUAGCCCUCUCAAGAUCGCCAAGUGCUCGAGCUCUUGUGCUUUCAGAGCUCUCUAACAGUUUCUUAGUUCUUUCGAUUUCUUUCCGGGCCAAGAGAAGCUGCGUCGUCAGCGCCAUCGUCUCCAACUCUCCAUUGCCACUUUCUCAACCACCAUCUCCAACUCUGCUUCUCAGCUUCUGCAAGAGAGAAUUGCAUGCCAUAUUGCCAUUAUUAUUAAGUUACUAUAUGCGGGUUUCUAAGCCCGGACCAAAAACCCGGACCCAGGUGGUGCCGGGUUUGCGCCUGGCCCGCACCCGGAAAAUCGGGUUUUAACCCGGGUCCGGAUUUUUUGUCCACUCAUCCGGUCCGGUCCCGGGCAACACCAAAACCCGGAUCGAACCCGGAUUUUGCCAAGCCUAUAAGGCAGCCCUCGCCAAACCUAAAUAUAAGAUUGAAUCAAACUCUUUUCGAAUUCGAAUUUCUUUCAAGCUCAAAUACGUCGCUUGGCUUUUCUUAUAUUUUAAGGUACAAUUGGGUUUGAUUUCUAUCCACUCUUAAGGUGCAGUAAAUCUCAACAUUCCAAAUAUAACCCUUUUGACACAAUUCACUUUCUAUUUGGGAAUGGCAAAAAACCCCAUGAGAUGGGGUUGGGGAUUUUUCCCAUUUAAGAAGGGAAAAAUAACAAUUUUAUGUUUAGGGUCUGAUAGGAAUGAUUUUUUGCCCAAUUUUUUUUGGGGAAGGUACAAAGAUGAGCUUGAAUCCUGAUUCUCUUCCCAAUUCGCCAUUUUCUCAAUUUAAUUUUUAAUUCUAAUUUUAUUUUUUAAAAAUAGUAAUGAAUCAAUAAUAAAAUCUAAAUUAUAAAAUAUUAAAUAUUAGUAUAAAUAACAAAUAUCAAUAUAUUUAUACAAAUAUAUUUUGAAAUUUUUGGGCCCAACUAAAUAGAAAUUCUAUUUUAACAUUCAUACAUUUUCAAAAUUAUUAAACUAAAAGAAUCCAGAAUCAAUUUUUCCUUGUGAACUUCUAUUAAAAUUUCACUGCGGUUUAAAAAAAAAUUAAAAAUUAAAAAUCCAUCCCAAAACCGAUUGCUACAAUACUGAGCCGCAAAAGUCAACGCCCGACACCCCACAUUUCAAUUUCAAAUCCAAACUUAAAUCCACCAACAGACACUACGCAAAACAAAUCUACUUGAAAUGAACAGCAAGUCUAAAUCGAAAUCGAAAUGAAAACCUUUAUGAGAGAGAAGUAAGAAGGCUUCGUUGUAUAAAGAGAAUAGCGAUUGAAGACAGUGUCUUCACGAUCGUCGUACGUAAAGCAUACGGAGAUCGGAGACUGUGUACUAACGAUCGAGGGCUGUGUCAAGACUGUCUUCACGAUCGUCGUAUGUGAAGCAUACGGAGAUCGGAGACUGUCUUAACGAUCGACGACAAACUGUCUUCACGAUCGUCCUAUGUUAAGCAUACGGAGAUCGGAGACUGUGUCUUAACGAUCGAGGGCAAACUAUCUUCACGCUCGUCGUAUGUGAAGCAUACGGAGAUCGGAGACUGUGUCUUAACGAUCGAGGGCAAACUGUGUUCACGAUCGUCGUAUGUGAAGUAUACGGAGAUCGUAGACUGUGUCUUAACGAUCGAGGGCUGUGUCGAAACUGUCUUUACGAUCGUCCCAUGUGAAGUAUACGGAGAUCGGAGACUGUGUCUUAACGAUCGAGGGCAAACUGUCUUCACGCUCGUUGUAUGUGAAGCAUACGGAGGUCGGAGACUGUGUCUUAACGAUCGAGGGCAAACUAUCUUCAAGAUCGUCGUAUGUGAAGCAUACGGAGAUCGGAGACUGUGUCUUAACGAUCGAGGGCUGUGUCGAAACUGUCUUCACGAUCGUGGUAUAGAGUGAAUAGAGAGAGAGGGGGCUGUGUUAAACAGAAAGAUUGAAUGCUGUGCCGUGUAGAGAGAUCGAGAAGAAGAGAGAAGAUGGCGGCGCCUGUAGCAGAGCACGGGCUCAUAUUUAUAGGAGAGGGAUUACGGCAACUUAACGGCCGUUAUGACCGCAAAUUGCCUCUGUUAGAAUUAACCGAGAAGUCACGGGAUUACCUGCUGAUCAUCAGCAUCUGGGAAUCUUAUGAGUUUGAACAUCAAACAUGCAUGCUAAACUAUCCACUAAUAUAUAUAUAUAUAAACCGAAAGCUCAGUCAUUUAAACGAUAGCAUUCAGCGAUGAACAACAAUAACUUAAACAUGGAUGUAACUCAAAAUUUAUCUUCACCUGACAGCCAGACAUACGUAUGGUAAAUCGUAGUGGUAGAAGGUUAACAUAUGAGGCAAGUUCAAAGAACAUUUCUCUUUUAUACCAAAAAAAGAAAUAGCUGAACCGGAAGGGACUCACAGUUGAUUAGAGAAUGAGUAUAUCAAUCUAUCUGUGACAAUUUAAUUUAGGUAUACCAUAUGAUUCCAACCUUUAUUACACUAAAAGAUGGUCAUCCCAUCAUUAAUAGAAAAGAAAAAUAAAAUAAAACGGCAAAGUAAUUAAGAAAGAAGUAGAAUUUCAGCUCAACCUUAGGUCAGAAUAGUGUGAGCAUUCUAGAUUUGAUUCAUCUCGUCAUAACCUUCGAACAAGGUAUUAUACACUAGAAACAGACACAUGCGUCCCAAAUUAUGAUAUCCAAAAAUUAUCCUACUCAUGAUUAUCUUAGGUAACUAUCCUACAUUGCAAAUGAAUGUAAUAGCUACGUUUCAAAUUAAAUUCAAAACCAUAAAUUCAAGAGUUAAGUGUUUCUGAAUCAAAAUACCCUCUACGAAUUUUAUAAAUUGGCUUCUAAUUUCAUUAGCAAAAUACACAAAAUCCAAGUGAAUUUCCUCUUCUCUCCCAAACAGUUUUAACAUUUGGCGAUAGAGCUGACGACAAGCAUGAGUAAACAAUGUACAAUAGUGAUACGCAACAAUGAUCAAAGAAAAACAAAUCCUUGAAGUGUAACACCAUGAAAUGAAAAAAUAGGGCGUGGAACAAAUAUUUCUAAUAAUCUUGUUCAUCUUAACCAUAUUUUUUUCAGUGAAAAAUAUUAAUGGCAUCUUAUGUUAUAUUGUUUCAGUAAGAGAAAGAAGAAAAAAGAAAACAAAUCUCUUUCAUAGGGGCUUGACCAAUUUUUUCACGAAAAAUUGACGGCCGUUAUGAGUUCUGUAAAUGCCUCUGUUAGAUUUGAUGGAAAAGUCACGGGGUUACGCGAUGAUCAUCAGCGUCUGAAAAUGUUAUGAGUUUAAUUAGCCAAGAAGAAUUAACCUCCGCUUCAGAUCGAACGACUCCCAAGUAACUACAAACAUAUCACCUUUAUCCUUUUGGUUCCAUCUGCCCACGAAGCUUCAUAUACCUACAAAAUGUUUCUUAAAAUUUUAAGGAAAAAGGAUAAAUACACCCCCAACGUUUAGAUAAAAGGACAAAAGUCCCCCUAACGUUUUAAAAAAUACAUUUACAUCCUCAUUCUCUAACGGAAACAGUAACUUUUAACAGAAAUUAUUGUUAUACCCUUCUAGCAUAUAAAAAAUAUAUAUACAAGUUUAACUUGUGGUAUUAUACCAUAAAAUUUUAUUUAAAUUUUAAACUUGUAUAUUUAACAAUUCUCCACAUGUUAUCAUUUAAACUUGUAUAUUUAUAACUAAUUUUUUAUGUUAUUUAUUAUGGUAUUAAUUGAAAUACAAGUUAACAUUAAUAACCAAUUUUAUUUAUUUUUAUUCUUGAGUAAUGAAUUAAAUUUAUUUGGCUUGAAGAGGGAAUUUGAUAAAAAUUUAAAUAGAGGAAUUGGGUAAUGAGGAUAUAUUUAUAAUUUUAUUAAUAAUAUAUGGACAAAUUGGAUAAUCAACAAUUUUUUUUUAUAUGCUAGAAGGGUAUAACGGUAAUUUCUAUUAAAAGUUAAUGUUUCUAUUAGUGAAUAAGGAUGUAAAUGUCUUUUUUAAAACGUUAGGGGGUUUUUGUCAUUUUGUCUAAAUGUUGGGGGUGUGUUUGUCCUUUUUCCUUUUUUUAAUAAAUUAUAAUCGGACAGCUGGAUCAAAAUUUUCGACUGGGCAAAACGCAAAAUCUACCACGAGUGCUUCAACAACUUCGUUUCAUUUAAAUAUUUAUCAUUUAAUCAGAGUUUGACGAGCAGCGUCGAUGGAAAAUUGAUAGAAAUGAUCCUUACUUUUUUUUUUAUUAUACGAAUAGCAAAUAAAAUUUUCCUUUUUUCAGUUACACAGGUAGGAAAUAAAUUUAUAAAGUCUAGUAUCUACUGUUCGUAAUAUAUAGCAAAUGAAAAUUUUCCAUUUUUCAAUUACACGAACACAUGUAACUGUUUUGUAUAUACCUUUUUCUAGCGGCUUCAAAAAGUUUCAACCUUAUGGAAUGGCACAAUCUUUGUACAUUAUUAUUUUAAUUAAUAACAAGAUUACUGAUCCUGUGCGCCCGGUAAACACUGCUGUGAUUGAGGAAAUGGCGGUUGCUAUUGCUGACUCUUAUCAAAGGCCUUGAUAAAUCGACCAUUUCUUCACAUCUAACUGAGGCAUAAAAGGUAAAAAGCCUAGGUGUAGGAGAGAAAGCUACAACAUAUAUGACACAAAAUCAAUUUGGAUAGGCCUUGCUGAUCAUGUCUGUGAAUGAAGAAGAUUCACCUUGAUGCCAUAGCGUAGCAAAUUAUUAGGAGGCAGGAUGUAUAUGUCGCAUAGUUAAAGGGGGAUUCUAAAUCCUGAAGGGUACAAAGACUUAUGCUUUGAAGCUCAUCUCCCUAUCUAAAACAAGCGAGUUAAGUUCUAUUUGGAAUUGAGAUUGAGAAACUAUAACUUAAAAACUACUGCAUUAAAAUAUUAGGUAAACACUAACUGCUAUAGUUUGGAAAUUAAAUUAAUUUGAUUUUACACUUGUAUAAUGAAAAAUCUAUUAUAUCUUUACUAAUUUUGUCAAAAUUAUUAUUUAAAAGUUAUAGUUGCUACAUAUUGUUAACUUUUAUUUCUUCGUUAUAAUUUUUUUUUUUUUACAGUAGUUGUAACUUAAAAGCCGCUGCACUUUAAUACCAAAUAAGACCGUUGUUAACCAUUUUGAUAGAGUUUGACCAUCUAAUUGACUAAUUCCCCAAAAAAAAAAAAAAGGUAUGGUGGUUACCCGAAUUUUACGUCCACUUAACAUAUAAUUUUUUAGGGGAAGAAAGGGCGGGGUGCUAAUCAAAUUUUUGGAAAAAAAGAAAAAAGAAAAAGCACAAUACUUGUCAAAUCUCUAAAUAACCCUAUUGUUAAACUUUAAUAAUACACUACAAUAAAUGUAAUGUAAAUUAAGUAAUAAAAGAUUAUAGAAAGAUCAAAGAAAUAGGGUUGUAAAUGGGAUUAUUGUGAAAGAAUAAAGAGAGGAAUUCAAGCAAUAAAUAAGAGACACGCCAUACAGCCCAUGCUGUCCUUAUCGGUGUCAAGUUCAUUCUCAUUCAACACAGAGGGUAAACAAGCAAAAAUGUAUAUAAAACACAUGCAUAUUAUUAUUACUAUUAUUAUUUGAGAAGCACAUGCAUAUUAUUUAAUUAAACGUGUUAUUUGGAACUUGUUAAAUUGUUACCUUUGUAGGUCCUUGUGGACUCCAAAUUAAUUGUACGCCUUUUCAACAGAAAAAAGUGCAUUACAUAAUUUUUUCUUUUUUUACUUUAUUUUUGGAAUUUUUUGGAAAAAGCGAUGACUCAUGAGAAGAAGAAGAAUAGUAGAACACGUGGAACAGUCCAAAAAUAUUGUGUAUAAAUAAAUAACGCGGCUUCUGAGUUUUUGACAAUUUACCAUACGUUAAUAACGCUUGAUGAAAAUGUUGCAAUCAGGUAGUGUAGAAUCACUAAUAAAUGAAAUAUGCAAUAAGAAGAGUAAAUAUUAAUAACGCACCAAUAUUACAAAUCAAUAGCUAAGGAUCAAGUGAAAUUUCACCUGCAAAUUAGGACAGCCGAGGAAGCAUCCAUAAACAUAAGAGUAAUUAUACCACUCUGAAAUUUCAUAAGAGAGAAUUAGGACAGCAGAGAAAGAAAUACACAAAGCAAUUUGCAAAGGACAGAGGCAUAAACAUAAUAGUAAUUAUAAAAUUUCAGACUGUAAGAAAAAAGUAAAAAAUGUAUAAUAUUUUUCACAUUAGUCCGACGGUUCGUCAAUGUCUUUGUAAAAAGCAAAUAUUUUCAAAGGUAAAUAACACUCUCCCAAAUGUUUAAUCAAUAAUACAAUUUUUUUUUGAAGAGAUAACUACUGAUUAUAUAUUGAUUCUUCAAAAUAAUUACACAUUUAUCAUAAUAUUAUUUAUUUAUUUUAUAAUUGAUAUAGUACUUUAAAGAUAUUUGAAAAAUUUUUAACUUGACAAUGCUCCUUAAUCAAGGGUGAAGUUUAAAUUAUGUCACAAAAAGUGCUUGAACAAUAUUGAGCAAAGCGUUUACUUGUAUAACUCGAACUGGGGAGCAAACCCUUAAGUGGCUUGACUGAGUUUGCUCCCCAGUUUAAGUCGCAGGGAAGUCGCUUUUGUUGGAAAAACUUGUGCCUCUCGAUUCGAGCGGAGACUUCUAUUCUUGGUUGUGGUACGGACUUAAAGGUGCCUCCCAUAGUUGGGACCCUCCCCAGGAUACCUCGUAGUCAAAAACCAAAAAGAAUGCAUAUGAGGGGAUAAGAAGACUGAAGGUAUGAGUUUGACUAUUAUCACAAUAAUUUCUAUUUCAUAGAUUGAAAUGUGAACAUUAGUGUAUUUUGUGGAAUUUUCUCCGUUACUUUAUAAAAUUACUACAUGUACAUGGAUGAUUGCUUGCUACUGUGAAAGGCGAAACAUUUAAUUUGGAGAAAAUUCCUUCUAGACUGGUAGCAUGGGUCAUAGUUGCCCUAUCGACGAAGUGUUAUUAGCUAAAACCUAUUGCACAUGUCAAUGCAAAAUGGCUUCAAGGUUUCGCUGUAGAACUGAUGACAAGCUUCUGAAAACAACGUGCCAUAUUGAAACACAACAACAAUAAUGGCAGCACCAAUCCAUGCAGUGUAAAAAAUGAAAUGGCCAAUAUUAGAACACGGAAGUAGAUCCAGAGACAACAGCAAGGCCCCAGAACUGGAAAGAAUUUUCUGGAUGAAGUCGAGACUUGAGGUUAGCUGAAUGUGCAUAACAAUACGUGGUUAUGGCUAUAAAAAAAGACCAUAUAUUUAUGGGCUUAGUUUUGCUUUGCACAUUGGCACCCACAAUGCCGAUGAGAGCCGGAAUCAGAUAUUCAAAAAUGUUGGGAUAUGACAUCGACUAGAGGAGAUUUCGCCCACUGCAAAAUCAUUUAAAAUGAUAAAAUCAUCUUCUGCAUAUCCCAUUUUCUUUUAAAAAAAAAUUAAAAUUAAAUAGAUCUUGUAUUAAUUCCUCUCAAUUUGUUUGUCAAUUAUUUGUUUUUGACCGACACAAUUCUUCUCUAAAAAUUUGAGGGAGCACUUUUUAUUUGCACCCAAAUGUUUCAUCAAAAUUUUAUUGUAUACACACUUGUUUCAACAGCUAUCAUAGCUCACCCUUUUCUGUUAAAUAUUGUUUUUACCAAUAAUUUUGAUAUCUUGACGUUAAAAGACAAUUGUACCGUUAGUUGAAAUUUUUAAGUAUAAAAUCACCAAAAAAACCACAACACUAGUUUCAAAUUCCAAUUGACCUGUGUGGAUAUUAAAAUUUCUUAAAGGUUAAGAAAAAAAAGGUAAAAAUGCUUUCUUAUGGGAAUCAAAAUAUCCCCUAUACCAUCAUCCAUAACCGUCUAUUCAUGAUAACAAUUUAAUAAACUUGAAAAGCAAAAAAUCCAAUCCCAGUCAAUCAAUACAGCCAAUUUUCUUCAUAAAGUUUAGCUUUUACUUUAAAAAAUGCUAACUCUUGAGACACUAAAUAAAUAUUUAAAGUUACGUGUUUCUAUAACGAAAAUCUUCAAUUUACCCCUUUAAAAGUUUGAAAACAUUAAUUUACUUCUAUUUUCCAGUCAAAAAAUUAGAAUAAAUGGAGACAAGCUGAUGACAAACUUUUUAACUUCUUAGUGGUAUUUGAUAAAUAUAAAUAAAUUGAAAAUUAUCAUUGUAAGUAGGAAUAAGUUAAAACUUUUACUCCAUAUUUAUUGUGCUUUAAGAAGAGAAAGAAAGAAAACAGAAAACAAACCUCUUUUAUAGGAGGGUUAACAAAAUUUUCAGCAAGGACUUAACCAACUUUUUUCGCGGAAAUUAAAUUAGCAGAACAAAAAUAACAUACGACUUGAGUCAAUAAUGGUAAAGAAAAUGAACGUACACAGAAAAUGAACGUACACAUAAGGGUUUGGAUUUGGUUGAUGAAGAAUGCACUGAAAGCUUUGCAUUUGCUUAUAUAUCACAGCAAACACUGGAUUGAGUUCUCUUUUCCAGGGUAAAUAAGGUAGGGAACAGCAAAGCCGAUCAAUUUGAUAAAAAAAAAAAAGGGAGGGAAGGGGGGGGGAGAGAACUGCCACAGUAAGAACAUCUCAAUCAUCUCUGCUAAAAAAAGUUAUCUCGUGGCUGGGGCAUUUAUAUUUUCAUGUGCGCUGAUGCCGGGAGUUGAAACUGAGGCGGCGAGUCCUCGAGGCCUCUGCUGCAAGAGAGGACUCUGUUAAUUUCGCAAAAAUCUGACUUGGCAAAAUCCACUCAUACAUCAUUUGUCCCUUUGUUGUGAUGUUGAUGCAGUUUCUUUAUUUUUAUUUUUGCUUUUUGUUUUGAGCUCCCAGACAAAAGAGUGUUGAAAAUGAUCGAUUAAUCGGUUCCCCAUUCAAUUUCAAGGUCGAAAGGGAUGACAAGAUGUAUAUUUAGUAUGGUUUAUUUAAUAAUUAUAAAUAUUUGUUUAAUUUUAUGAUCUCUUAUUAAAAUUUUUGUUAUUAUUUAGUUAUUUUUUACAAAAUUUUUAAAGAUUAAAUAAGAUAUUUUAUUUCUAUUAAAAAAAUUUAAAUUUUAAGAUUUUAGAUGUAGAGAUUGAAUUUUUUUUUACAUGGUAAAAUAUUUAAAAUAUUAUUUAUUUAUUUGACAAUCUUAUUUUAUUUUUUUAUAACAUAAAUUUUAAAAAAUAAUUUAUAAAAAUAAUUUCAUAAUUUUUAAUAAAUAAAUUAAUUGAUAAUUAAAUAAAUAAAUUUUUUUUAGUAAAAAUUUUAUUUAUAAGAAUCUUAUUAAUAAAAAAUUUAUUUAAAAAAAUCCUAUUUGAAAAGAUAUUCGGAUCGAAUUUAACAUCCACAUCAUACCGGUACGAGACGUAAGAGGGUUGAAAAUAACGUUAUACACUCGUCAAGGCGCACCAAUCAAGUUCGAGGGGGACAGCGCCCAAUAGCUGAACUUAAAGGGCCCCGUGGGGAACUUAGGUGGUACAGCCCCAAUCAAAAUGCGACAAAUUUAUCAAACAACAUGAUUUUUCCAACGAGGAUAUUAGUUUUGUGUUUGUCACAAAUAGGUCCCUAACUUGGUGUAAUGACUAAGAAUUAACUGAAACAAAAUAUCUUAAUUCUGUAUUUAAUUUUUAUUAAGAAUUAAUUGAAAAUUUAUGAUAUUUUCUUAAUUUUUGCCACAAUUUUUUAAUUAAUUAUAAUUUAAAAAUUUAUUAUAUUAAAUACAUAAUUAAAAGUAUUCAUAUUCCCAACAUCAAACAAUCACUAAGGGUAAAAUGGUAAGAUUAGUAAAAAAAAUUGAUACUCAAAGGGGUUUGGAUGUGUUUUUAAAAUACCAAGGGAGUUUCGGUUAGUUUUGUCAAACAAUAAGGGAGUUUUGCUCUUUUUGUUUCUUUUGUUUUUGUUGUUCAUAGUCGAUAAUGGAUUUGAAAUAGAAAAUAAUUAUAAUUUAUUUUUUCAUUCACUCUCUAAUUAAUUCAAUGGUGCUUAGCAACUUUUGUUUCAGUUUAUGAGCAAUUGGGUGAUAUUUUAUGCCAUGUUCUCUAUCGAGAUGAUGUAACUUAAAAGUUAGGAAAAAAAAGUUGUAAUUAUAAUAUUAAAUUAAUAGUUUGUAAUAAAUAUGACUUUUAAUUAAUAAUUUUGACAAAGAAGUAAUAGACUCUGACAGUAGCGGACCUACAACUGGGCAAGGCCGGGCGUUAGCCCAGUCUAGUUCCAAAAAAAAUCAUUUAUAUCGCUUAUGCUUUAAUUAAUUUUAUAUAUAAGUAUAGAUUUUUUAUUUUGUUUUCAUAUAUAUUCCUAAUUUAGUUAGCCUUAUAUUUUCAUCAAUUUCAUAUAAUAAUAGAGUUUUUAUUUUAUUUUCAAAUAUGUCCCUCAUUCAAUUAUAUAUAUUUUUUCAAUUGAAAUUAGUUACUUAUUUUAUAAAAUGAUUAAAUCAUAUGUUUAUUGAAUAGAUAGAAAACAGUAAGGGUCUAAAAUAUUAUUGGUGCUUAAAUUUAUUUUCAAAAAUUCUAAUUGAAAAAAAAAGUAUGUCAACGUAGUAAAACAUUGUCACUAGUAUUAAAAGUACUUAAAAAACAUAUAGUAACAACUAUCAACAUUUUCAUAAACUUUUUAUGUGAAUUUUGAGAUUUUAUUUAUUAUUUACAUUAUCUAAGAGGACAAGUUAGAAAAUAAAAUUUGAGUAUUUUUAGGAGUUUUUGAUAGAAAAAUCAUCAGCAUUUGGUUUUUUAGAGAGAGUCAGAGUGCUUGGCAAAGAAAUAACGACACCUAAAUACCUUUUUGCCGCUAGAUUGAGUUUAGUUUAUUAUUGAAACUUUUGACUAAUAAUAUUUUUAUAAUUUAAAAAGAUGAAUAAAUUUUAAUUUUUUAAAUUUAUUUAAGCCUAGUAAUUAAGUAUUUUUCAAAUAUAAAAGGUCUACUUAAAUUUUUUAAUUAAUUGCAAUUAUAGGUAUUGAUGAAUUUUAUCUUGAAAUUCUUAAUUGAUUUAUGUAAUUGCAUGUUAUUAUAGGUUCCACUGUUAGAUUCCAUAAACAAAAAGUAGUGCUUUAUACUAGAAUUGUCUUUUAAUUCUACCAUUUUUCUAUAAUUAUUUUUGUUUAGAGUACUGUGUUUAUAGGGUUUUUCGUUUCCCCUUUAUUUGAUGCACUUCUUUCUACCUAUGAAUAUUUAUGUCACUUCAAAAUAUAAAAUUUUUAAUUUAACCCGGAAUAACAUAAAGUCUUGGGUCCUCCCCUGGACCAUGAGCUGAAUGUGCAUAAUAAUAUACGGCUGUGGCUAUUAAAAAAAAAAAAAACCAUAUAUCUGAUGAGUGUGUUUCAAGCAAGGGCGCAGUUUGACUUGCAUAUUUGCACCAUCAAUGCCAAUUGGAGCCAAAAUGAGAUAUCCAAAUAUGUUGGAAUAUGACAUCGAGCAAAAGAGUUUUGGCCCACUGCAAAAUCAUUAAAAUGAUUAAUCUUCUUUUGUAAAUCUCAUUCACUUGGAAAAAUUUAAAUCAUUUGCUUUUGAUUGAGUUUUGUCCAUUAAUUUGAAAUUUUUGGCAAUUACUAGACUAAAAGAUAAUUUUGCCCCUCAUUUGAAUCUUUUAAGUGUUAAUAUCAUAAAACCAAUUGACUUGUGUGGAUAGAAAAUAAGAAAUAAAAGUUUUUCUAUUUUUUUCAGAAUAUCUCCAUCUACCUGACUCAAACUUGCGCCCGUCAAUUUAUAGGUGCACCCGUGCGGAUACGAAACCCGUUUGUUUUCUCAAAGGUUUAAAAAAAAAAAAAUUGAUUUGGGAUUACUUAGUCUUAUAUGAGUCGAUUACUCCAAUAACAGAUGAAUCCAAAAAUCUUCUCUACCUUUAUCUUGCUUUUUUAAAAAAUCUAAUUUUUGAGACCCCAAGGUGGCAUUUAUUUUUUAAUCUGAAAUAUAAAUAGUUCUGAAUUAGUCUAAAUUCUAAAUAAAAUUGAAUAUCUAAUUCUGAAUGAUUUAUUUUUUGUCUAAAUUGUUAAAAAUAAAUAUUAAUUUUUUUUGUAUUUUUAACUUAAAAAAUCUGAAAACUAAUAUUUUUACAUUUGUGCCUUUACGAAUUAUUAAUGUAAACAAAUAAUAAGCAUAUCAAAGAACUUAAAUAAAAUAAUAUAUUAUCAUGAGAUAAAUCAUGUUCAAUUGAAUACAACCCCUUAUAUCGUAAAUUAGUAUAUGUUAAUCAAUUUUAUUGUAGUUCAUGAUGUUUUAUAUGAAAAUAUUCAUAGGAAUAAUGAAGAUAAAUAAUGCUAAUUUGAAGAAAAUAAAAAAAUAAAAAUAAUAUUAGUCUACCACUAUGCUAUCACAAGUUAUAGAGAUUGGUAAUAAUGCUAAUUAUUAAAUUUUAUUUAAGUAAGGAUGAAAAUUAAUUAAUUAGAUAGGGAUAUUUUGGAGAAUAUCUUUUAAUGAUAUCAUUUAGAUUUUUAGAUAAAACAAAAAGUUGAAAAAAUUGGCUUAAUAACUUAAUGACUUAAUGACUAUAACUUUUAAUUAAGUUAAAGAAAACGGACUUAAUGACUUAUCUGAUUGAAAUUAAGUCAAUUAAAUCAUUAAGUCAAAAAGAAAAAAAAAAAAAAGAGCCCCUAAGUUAAGGUUGGUCAAAUGCUGCUAAAUAUAAUAACAAAAUAUUAUAAGAUACAUAUUUUCUUUUUAAUAAAUUGAAUAUAUGUAUAACCUUAAAACUAAUUCUUAGGGUUAUUUGGGAAUGUUGUAGCUUUUAAAAUAAUUAAUGUUAAUUGUGUUGUAGAAAUAAUCAGUUGUGAAGAGAAUCAGUUAAGUGUUUGAUAAAUUUUCUUUUCAGAAGUACUGUGAGUUUUAAAAGCAGUUAUGGAUGUUUGAUAAAUUUUACUAUUAAAUUGCUAUGAGAAAACAAACGACUAUAAUGUAUAUAAUGUAGAAUAAAAUUUAUUUAUACGUAUAAAAACAUGUACAUAUAAUAUUUUUAAUUGUGUAUUAUAAUAGUUUUUACUAAAAAUAAAAUUUAUAAUAUAUUGAUUUUAUUUUUAUCUUAAAACAAUUGAUAAUUAAAUUUAUAAUAUAGUGAAAUAAAUUUAAUAAUAAUUCGACUAACAAAUUGAUAUUAAUAAAUUGAUAUUGAUGAAUUAUAAUAAAAAUUUAUUAAAAUAUUAAUUCUGUUUCCAAUUUGAAUAAGGAUAAUUUUGGGUUUAGGUAAUAAUUUUAAGGAUAUUUAUGAAAUUGUAUUAAAGGAUUAAAUUGAUUCUCAAAAUCAGAAUCUAAAAGCUACUCAUUCCCUACUUUUCAAAAUCAGCUGUAAGAGGGACUGAUUUUGACAAAAGUGAUUUUAAUUUUCUGUUACACCAAACACUAAAAUUAGAUUUUAGAUUUUUAAAAUCACUUUUAAAUCCCCCAAAAGUAAAUCCAAACGGGCCCUUAAUGCUUUAUUGGAAAAAUAUGUAGUUUAUAUGUAGAUAAUAUAUAUUAUACUUAAUUGUUAGGGUUUGAAAAGGAUUGGGAAAAAAAAUGUAAAUUAAAAGGAUUGGGAAAAAAAAGUCAAUUAUGGAAGCCAUUUAUGUUUUGCAAUUGGCGAAGACAGAAAAUUUUUUUUGGGUGGGCUAAAAAUUUUUUCCAAGUCCAUAUGUGAUCUCAAUUAAAGAUAUAAAUCUUAAAAGGAAGUUUCAUUAAUACAUAAGAAAAUACAUCAUAUCUAAGAAGCAAUUAAAUUACAAUUAAACACUACUUAAGUUGUGCCUUACCAUACUUUCGGGAGUUAAACUCAUAUAUUAUCGAGUAUAGACAUCAUUACCUUUGUUAGUGAAUUUGUGAUUGAUUCUUUUAACUUCUUUUAUAGUUUUCUCUUGUUUCGAUUGCAACGAUUGAACGAGUAUAGACAUCAUUUCAAAAUCAUACUGUAUUGUUGUCCACAAAUUCUCUUUCAAUGUAGACAACAAUACAGUAUGAUUUUGAAAUGAUGUCUAUACUCGUUCAAUCGUUGCAAUCGAAACAAGAGAAAACUAUAAAAAGAAGUUAAAAGAAUCAAUCACAAAUUCACUAACAAAGGUAAUGCAACUGUCAGUCCAUCACUAUGACACAUUGAUAUUAUCCAGAAGUCAGGCAAUAAGUUUAAUUAACAAAUUAACAUUAUAUAAUAUACUGGAUCAAAUCUAUGAUCUACCUAUAUCAAUGAUCAAUUUAGCCAUUUAAAAAUUUGAAUGAUAGAAUUCAAUGGCUAAAUUAUCUUCAUUUGAUCUUACACAAUGAAAUUGGAACAACAAUUAAAGAGUAUGAUUUUUAGUCUUUAUUACCUUAUAAUUAAUAAAUAUAUUGUAAAUGAUUGAAUAAAAAUAAAUCUAUUAUCUAUUCUUACCAAGAAGAAGGCGAAGAAAAAAAAAAAUCGUGUUUGAAAUCUCGAAUGAAGUAAAUGCUCACUAUUUAAAUUUAUUUAUAUGAUGACAAAGUUGUAAAUUAAUAGAGUGGUACAAUUGUAAAUAAGAUAGUGGCAUAGUUUCAAUUUUGUAAAAUUUGGACAGGCUAUAGUCCAUCUCAGUCCACACGUAGCCUUGCCACUAGGGAUGGCAAUGGGGAGGGGAGGGGAGGGGACCAAUCUCCCCGUACCCAUCCCUGAUAUUUUGCGUAUGUCUCCGUCCCCUCCUCAUCCUUGUCAUAAUUGUUUGAGAGAAUCUUCAUCCCCUCUCCGAAUAAUAACAGGAGAUUCCCGAUGGUCCCCGAUCCCCGAAUAACUAAUACAUAUAUUUUUUUUGAGUUAAUUAUAUUAAAAUAAAAAAUUCAAACAAAAGUAAAGUUCGAAAUAUAUUUUACAUUAACAUUGAUCCAUUAUAAAAGUCACAUGCAAAAUACAAAUUAUCAAAAUAAUUAUCUUUGUCAAUCUUCAUAAUCCUACAAUAAAAAGAAAAAGAAUUUACUUUUAUAUCGACAAUAAAAUAAAUGAAAUAAAUGUAGAUACUUAAUUAAUAUUUUUAAUAAAACAAAAUUAAAAUUAAAACAAAAUUUUUGGGCUAAUAAAAUCUACCCGGCCUUUUUAAUGUCCUAAAUAAAAAUUUAAGACUUUAAUUAGUUAAUUAAGCCUAAAAGUUUAAUAAUAUGAAUAUUUUAAUAUUUGUUACUUUUACCAAUAUUUAUAAUUUUAUAAUAUAAUUCAAAUAUUAGUAUUUAUUUACUAGUAAUUUUAAAAAAUAAAAUUAAAAUUAAAAAUUAAAAAUUAAAAUAGGAAAAUAGGGAGGGGAUGGGGAUUCCACAUCAUCCCCGCCCCUUCCCUGAAUAAGAAACUGGGUAAGAAAAUUUCCUCAUCUCUUCCCUGAAUAAGAAAUUGGGUAUAGAAUUAUCUCCGUACUCUCCCCGAAUGGGAAAAAUCCCCGAGGGUACCCGUCUCCGUGGGGAUUUUUGCCAUCCCUACUUGCCACCGGUAUAAACAUGGAGAAUAGUUUAUAAAUCCACUAAGCUUAAUUAAAGUAAAAUACUUGACAUUAGGAAAUUUCCAAUAAUCUUGUUCAUCUUAACCAAAUUCUUAAAGUGAAAAGGAUUAAUGGUACCUUGUGUUAUUUUGCUUUAGUAAGAGAAAGAAGAAAAAAGAAAACAAAUCUCUUUCAUAGGGGCUUGACCAAUUUUUUGUUUCACGCAAAAAUUGACGGCCGUUAUGACCGUAAAUGCCUCUGUUAGACUUGACGGAGAAGUCUGGGGGUUUACGCGAUGGUCAUCAGCGCCUGGAAAUUUUAUGAGUUCAAUUAGUCAAAAAGGAUUGAUCUUCGCCUCAGAUGGAACGACUCACAAGUAAUUCUUUUGGCUCGUACCGUCCACGAAGCUUCAUAUUCCCACAAUGUGUUUCUUUUUUCUUUUUCUUUUUAAUAAAUUAUAAUCAGAGUUUUUGAUGGAAAAUUUUAGAAAUGACCCUUACUUUUUUCGGUUACCCGAAUAGCAAAUAAAAUAUUCCUUUUUCAAUUACACAGGUAAGGAAAUAAAUUUAUAGUCUAGUAUCUACUGUUUGUAACACAUAGCAAAUGAAAUUUUCCUUUUUUCAAUUGCACAAACAUGUAAUUGUUUUGUACAUACCUUUUCUAGCGGCUUCAAAAAGUUUCAAACCUUAUAGAAUCGGUGCCGAAGCUAAAAUCAUUUUUUUGGAUGGGUUAGAUUUUUUUUAAAAAUGAAACUUAUUUCUGAAAUUUUUUUUAUACAAACAAAAUUAAGCACACUAUAAGCAAAAAUCUAACCACAAAACUAAAAAAAAAAAAUACAAUGUAAAUAAGAAAAAUAUUAUCAAAUAUUAAAUUUAUUUUUAUUUUUUUAUAAAUAUUAAAAAGUAAAUUUAUAAAUUAUAAUUUUUUUUUCAAAAAACUGCCCGGGUUAGCCUACCUUUUAACUUUGCCUCUGUAUGGAAUGGGUCAAACUUUGGGUUAGUAUUUUAAUUAAUAAGAAGAUUACUGAUCUUGCGUGCGGUGUGCCCGAUAAACACUGUUGUAAUUGAAGAAAAAACGGUAUUGCUAUUGCUGACUCUUAUCAAAGGCCUCGAUAAAUCAACCAUUUCUUCACAUCAAACUGAGGCAUAAGAAGUAUGGAGCCUAGGUGUAGGAGAGAAAGCUAUAACAUAUAUGACACAAGAUCAAUUUGGAUAGACCUUGCUGAUCAUGUCUGUGAAUGAAGAAGAUUCACCUUGAUGCCAUAGCGGAGCAAAUUAUUAGGAGGCAAGAUGGACAUGUCACAUAGUUAAGGGGGAUUCUAAAUCCCGAAGGGUACAAAAGCCUAUGCUUUGAACCUCAAAGCAUUAGGAGGCAGGAUGGACAUGUCACAUAGUUAAGGGGGGUUCUAAAUCCUAAAGGAUACAAAAACUUAUGCUUUAGUGUCUAACACAAGCAAGUUAAAUUCUGUUUGAAAUUGAGGUUGAGAAACUGUAACUUAAAAACUAAAGCACUAAAGUGUUAGGUAAACACUAACGUUGUAGUUUGGAAGUUAAAUUAAUUUAAUUUUAUAUUUAUAUGAUGAAAAAUUUAUUAUAUCUUUAUUAAUUUAUCAAAAUUAUUAUUUAAAAGUUGUAGUUGUUACAUACUGUUAACUUUAAUUUCUUCAUUAUAGAUUUUUUUUUUUUUUUUUUUUACAACGGUUGUAUCUUAGAAGCCAUAGGACUUCAAUACCAAACAAGACUUUCAUUAACCACUUUAAUAGAGUUAGACUAUCUAAUUGACCAAUCCAAAAAAACAAAAAAGUUUGUUGGUUACCAGAAUUUUACGUUCUGUUAACAUAUAAUUUUUUAAGGUAAAAAAAGAAGGGGUGCUAAUCAAAUUUUUGGGAAAAAAAGAAAAAGAAAAAAGUGCCGUACUUAUCAAAUUUCUAAAUAACCAUGUUGUUAAAUUUAAAUCAUACACUACAAUAAAUGUGAUGUAAAUUAUGUAAUAAAAGAUUAUAGAAAGAUCAAAGAAAUAGGGUUAUAAAUGGGGACUCUACCAUGUUACAAUUGUGAUACCAUAUCACACAGUAUUUAUUUUUAUCCCAUAAAACCGUUGGAUUUAAAAGCAAGUGAUCUGACACGUGAGAGGUAGCCACGUUUGUCUCAAAACAUACCGGAAAAGUCGGUUAAGAAAAGGUAAAGUCACCGGUAGCAAAACUCACAGUUUUUGUCUUACCUCUCUCAAAAUGCACGGUGACUGUACGCAUCGCCAGCUCUCUCAAUACUCACGGUGACUGUACGCAUCGACACCUCAAAAUCUCUAAUGGAGCUUCUCUAUCCUGGCCGUCUCGUCCAACACCAAAAGACCAAGUAUCGCUGGCGCCGUCAUUUGGGUAUAAUGGGUUUCAAUUUUGAACCAAUAGAAGGAAAUUUUGUGAAAGAGAGAGGGGGAGGGGAAUUCUCAAAAAUUCGUCAGCCAUGGAAGGCUUGAUAUUCUUUUCUUAAAUCUUAAAGCAUUUCAGAUAUUUGGGUCGUUGUGAUUUUUAUUUUGUCAUGAUGAAUUUUUUUACUUUGGAUUUGUCUCAUUGAAAGGUUUAUUUUAUUUUUAUUUUUUGUGGAUCAUUGAAGUUGCUAUUUUUGGUAUUAUAAAGAUGGGUUGUUUGCAUGCAUUGCAAGAAUAUUGACCUGUUAUGCCAUGUUUGUCAAUUUCAAUGAAAUCUGAGGAAACCCAUUUGCCUGGUUUGUUCAAGGAGCCUUCAGAUUUGUGAGUCAUUGUGUAGUGGGUUUACAAAAUGGUUUGUUGUUGAAAAUGCUUUGGUUGUGACGGGUGAAAUGGUGCCGAAGAUAAGUUGGUUUGAGCACUGGAGUAAUCCUUUUUUUUUUUAAUGUAUGUAUAUAUAAAAAGGAAGAAAUAUCAAGUUUCAUAUACAGUGUUACUUGUUUUUUAUGGCUCAUACAUCGUUUACAUGCCCUCUUUUUCCUUUCAACCAGAAAAUAUCCACAGCGGCUGUAUAUUGUAUGUGGUUCUUUAGCCAACAACAAUAUGUUAGUUUGAUCAUGGAAGUAUAAAUUGAAAAGUGGCAUAAUAUUUUUGUUUUAACCUUUAAUUACCACUUUUCAGUGAGGUGUCUAUUUUGCUUGCUCGUUCAUUUUUUUAUGGGAUUUCGUGUUUGAUCUAGUUUGACAUGCAUUAUAUACAAUUAUCAAUUUUACCAUGAUUAGAGUUUCAUAAAUUUCUUGAAGUGUUUUGUGUUAGGAUCGGUUUAGAAGUGUUAAUUUGUGAUAGACAGCACAUGCAUGAGCCACGAAGAAUGCAUGAGCCACGAAGAAUGCAUGAGCCACGAAGAUCUGGAAGAAUGCCAAAGCCAAAUCCUAAGUUUGGUACGUGAGGGCAUGAGUCCCAUGCAAGCCAUGCAUGAAACAUGCAUGUGCUGAGAUCGUGAAGAUACGUGCUGGGGCUGGAGCCGUGAUCUAGGAAUACGCUUAUCAACGAUUGUGCAGCGAGUAAGGAGGGAAGAUAAGACACGGAAGUUGUUUUCGAUUAUCUUUCGGUUUCGAAUUCUUAGCUAAGUUGUUAUACUCGUUUAUUUAGCCGUAAUUGUAGGAUGGAAACCAAAGUCUUGUUAUUAUAAAUAAGCUCCAGAAUAUGAAUAAAAGUAUUGAGAAUUCUAAACAAUAAUUAUUUGGUCCUUUCUCGCCAUAAGCAGAAAAAUAUCACUUGUGUUACGCGUGAUCAUUGGCUGUCUCUGACUGGGACCUAUCAAUUGGUAUCAGAGCGGGUUAACAAUGAUGACCAACAAAGAAUGUAUUGAGCGAAUUGAAGUUGAUCUGAAAAGCAUGGAGAGCCGAAUGGAACGCAUGGAGAUUGGGAUCAAUGACAAGCUUCAGCGAUUAGAAGACACCAUCAGCAAAUUAGCAGAAGCUUUCAAUGCAUCCAAAGACACCACUAGCCACGGCACCAACGAAACCAUUGGUUCACCGCAGCCAAUUCGAGAAGAAAGUGAAGGAGUAGUGAAGCUGCACGGUAUGCCCAAGUCAAUCAUCAGCGAUCGUGACCCCAUAUUCAUCAGCAAAUUUUGGCAAGAGUUCUUUAAUUUAUCAGGCACCAAACUCAAAAUGAGCUCGGCGUACCACCCACAAACCGACGGCCAAACGGAGGUAAUUAAUCGAUGCUUGGAACAGUACUUGAGAUGUUUUGUUCACCAGUGGCCGCGAAAGUGGCACUCUUUUUUACCGUGGGCAGAAUUUUGGUACAACACCACAUUCCACGUCUCCACCGGAAUGACUCCAUUCCAAGCUUUGUAUGGAAGACCACCUCCAGCCGUGCCCAUGUAUCAACUUGGUUCCUCGCCGGUGCAUGAGGUUGAUCAAGCCUUACAUUCGCGUGAUGAACUGCUCUUACAAUUAAAGAAAAACUUAGCCACAACAGCUAACAGGAUGAAGCAAACAGCUGACAAGGGUCGCCGCGACGUUGAGUUCACAUAGGGAGAUAUGGUGUUAUUAAAGUUGCAGCCCUAUCGGCAGACUUCAGUGUUCAGAAGGGCACAUCAGAAAUUAGUUUGCAGGUACUUUGGGCCGUAUUUAGUUCUUCGCAAAGUUGGAGCCGUUGCCUACGAACUACAAUUACCAGAGAAUGCUCGAAUUCACCCGGUGUUUCACGUCUCUUUGCUUAAGAAAGCCGUGGGCGAUUUCCUUAGCAACAGCGUCGAUUUACCACCUGUGGAUGAUGAAGGCUCGGUGAUCAUGGACCCUGAAGCUAUCCUUGACACACGUUGGGUGAAGAGAGGAGGUAAAGUGAUUGAGCAGAAUCUAGUCCGUUGGAAAAAAAUGCCGGCUGAAGAAGCAACAUGAGAGGACACCACAAUGUUGCACCAACAGUUUCCCAAUCUGACCCUUGAGGACAAGGGUAUUCUUCGAGGGUGGGGCAAUGAUAGACAGCACGUGCAUGAGCCACGAAGAUCUGGAAGAAUGCCAAAGCCAAAUCCUAAGUUUGGUACGUGAGGGCAUGAGUCCCAUGCAAGCCAUGCAUGAAACAUGCAUGUGCUGAGAUCGUGAAGAUACGUGCUAGGGAUGGAGCCGUGAUCUAGGAAUACGCUUAUCAACGAUUGUGCAGCGAGUAAGGAGGGAAGAUAAGACACGGAAGUUGUUUUCGAUUAUCUUUCGGUUUCGAAUUCUUAGCUAAGUUGUUAUACUCGUUUAUUUAGCCGUAAUUGUAGGAUGGAAACCAAAGUCUUGUUAUUAUAAAUAAGCUCCAGAAUAUGAAUAAAAGUAUUGAGAAUUAUAAACAAUAAUUAUUUGGUCCUUUCUCACCAUAAGCAGAAAAAUAUCACUUGUGUUACGCGUGAUCAUUGGCUGUCUCUGACUGGGACCUAUCAAUUUGUGAAACUUAGAAAAUUUAUUUAUACAAUGCUCUAUAUUCUCUCUUUAUAAUUUGUGAAGAAACAGAAAAAAGAGGGAAGUCGUGUUUGUAUUCUCUGAAAAAGAAAACAACCUGAUCCCACCCUGACCUACCCCCAUCGGCAGCAGUAUGGACCUAUAAAGUUCAUCCAACUACUUCGAUAGAAUUGUUAUUGAACCCUUGAUUGACAUGUUUGACUUUCUGGGUAUUUGUAUUUUUCUAGUUUUUUUUUCUUCUUAUUUGUGCAUUUCUCAUUUAAUAGAAUGCAAGAAUGAUGAUUUUUUUUUCAGGGGCUUGAUAGUGAGCAUCAGCAAAAUCAAGUUACGUAGUUGAAUCAAAGAUAUCGCAGCUAUUGGUUAGCUGGGAGCUGUUUUUAUCUAACCGGCCUGGAAGCUCAUAAUCCAAAUCCAUUACGAUUCAUUGUUUUUAUCUACAUGUGGAUUAAUACAUCGGAGCAUCAGUUAGUUGCUGUAAAUUAGUUUAUGAAUUAUUUAUUGAUUGGUGGAACAAUAUCUAAAUGAAACUUUUGACAAAGACACUCUUCUCAGUAUCUAAAUGCAACUUUAUCUAAACAAUAUAAACAGACACGUUAGUAACUUCUCCAAUUAACUCCACUGCAUGUAUCUUGUCCAUCUUCAACCCUGAAUGCUUAAGUUCACAGAGAUCUUCGAACUUUUGACAGGCAAUGCCGCCCUCAAAACAAACCCCAACCUAUACGCAUGUAAAUAUAUUUGGAUUUAUCAUCUGUAUACAGCAAAACAGAUUUUGCACCAAAAUUGAUAAGUAAAUUUUAUAUAUACUAGCAUCAUGAAUCAAAAAGCAAAGGAAAAUAAGCCAAUAUCAUUUAUUUGUGGGUGUGUGUGUGUGUAAUAGUUUACCAAAUGAAAGCACCAUUAGUAAAUUUGAAAAAGAAAAAAAGGAAAAAGGAAUUUCAUGCAAGAAUUGGAAUCCAAAAUGUAAUGGCUCAGUCAGUCUGGAGUCAUUUUAUUGUCGGUGUUGUAUAGUGCCAUAUUAAAGAACAAAGCACUAGUAAGAGAAAAAAGCAUCCCUCACACAACAAACUCCAUUUGUCAUGUUCUAUAGUUCCCCACCCAUUUAAACAACACAUAAAUUGAUAUAAUAAACUUAAAACUUACCUUAAAGAGUAAAAUCUGCACUUAAACUCCACCUACCUGAAGUCCCUAUCAUCAUAGAGAGAUUUAACUGAUAUUGGUUCCAUUAUGUUUGCACAAAGAAUUGCUUUUGUACAUUUAACUUGCUUCUUCAGUUCAGCUGUAGCCUUGGCAAACUUCCUCAAGUCUCCCCAUUAUCAAUUUGUUUAUUGAGCUCAUCUGCAAAGUAUUCAAGCAACAAUAAUCCAUGUUCUGACUGCCAAGUUCUGCAUCUCAUCUAAUAUCCUUAACCUGCAAAAUUGUCAAAUAUCAACUAGCGUCUAAAAGUAAUUAGAUAUGUAAAACAUAACAAGUGGCACAUAAAGAUUGUAUAGAGCACAGAUGAAGUGAAGAAAAAAUAAUGCUACGGGAAUAAUGACCACUCAACUGAUAUUGCAUGCUUAUAUCGCAAAAUUAUUUAGUCACAGAGUACUACAAAUACUGACAAAUAGCUUAUGGAUCCAUCAUACUGGCUAUCAAAUACUAUUGUGCUAACUAUGUUAUCAUCGGCUUCCAAUGCAUGAUUGCAGCUCUUUAAAUCACUAGAUUUCCGCUUACGAGCCCCCGCUGGCCUCAUUCCUGUAAUGAAAUUACAAAAUCAUUUAUCGUUUCCAAUCUCACAUUCUCUGAAUCUAAUAAAUAAACAUACUGUUCUUGCAAGCUAAUUACAAGUUUUAAAUCUUUUAAAAUAAAUAAUAAUAAGUACGGGUUUUAAUAAGGAAUUAACUACUGCAUCGGUUGAUUCGAUCCGCACAAGAACAGAUCAAAGCGACCCGAAAUUUACUCUGAUUUGAUAUAUACCUUAACUUUCAGCACUGCUUAACUUUCGAUUGUACUUUGCAGCGACGAUUAUAAUUUCACCGUCAAUUGCCCAAAAGUGAAAGGUCAUAUUCGUGUUCUAAUCACCAGAAGUUUUUAAAUCCCACAAAAUUGCAAUCCUCCAAUUCUAAUUUUAUUUCUUAAUUAUUGUCUCGAGAUCAAUUUUGUGCUGAAAUCAGUGAAACUCUAAUCAGUUCUAAGAAAUUUCCGGAACCCGCGCUCACUGAGCUGUUAUUAUAUUAAUACUCAACCGGCUGCAACGGUUGCUAGUCACUGCAUCAAUUAUCCAAUAUUUAAUUUCAGCCGUUAUAUCGAACAAGGAAACAUCCAACGACUUUGUUGAAUGAGGGCAAAAACUGUGAUAUGGUACCACAAUUGUAACGUAGACAGACCCUAUAAAUGGGGUUAUUGUGAAAGAAUAUAGAGGGAGGAAUUCAAGCAAUAAAUAAGAGACACGCCAUACAGCCCAUACCGUCCUUUUCUGUCAAGUUCAUCAUUCUCAUUGGACACAGAGGGUAAAGAAGCAAAAAUGUAUGUAAGACACAUGCAUAUUAUUUAAUUAAACGUGUUAUUUGGCACUUGUUAAAUUGUUCCCUUUGUAGGUCAUUGUGGACUCCAAAUUAAUUGUACGCCUUUUAAACAGAAAUAAGUGCAUUACAUAUUUUUUUUAUCUUUUUUUACUUUAUUUUUGGAUUUUUUUUUUUGGAAAAAGCGAUGACUCAUGAGAAGAGGAAGAAGAAGAAUAGUAGAACACAUGUAAUAUCAGUUCUUUUUUUUUUUACUUUUUACUUCUUUCUUUGAAUUUUUUUUUUUAAAUUUUUAUCAUCCAUUUUGUGUCAUUGGAGUCCAAAAAUAUUGUGCAUAUAUAAAUAAUGCGGCUUCUGAGUUUAUGACAAUUUACCAUGCGUUAAUAACGCUUGAUGAAAAUGUUGCAAUCAGGAUUAUUCUUUUAUUUUGUCAAGUUACACUGUUCAAUGUUCUCACUGUAAGGUUGACUUCAAGGGAUGAAAUCGUUUAGAUUAAAAAUAAAAAUAAAGGAAAUUCAUUCUCUUCAAUUUUUUAUUUUAUUUGUACUAAUGUUACAAAUAAAAUAUCAAAUAAUUAUUGAAAUUAGUCUAUAUUAACUCAUAUACUAGGAAUGUCUAUCUACUUACAUUUUGUAAGGAAAAAGACUCUCCACUUAAUGUAUUUUUCGAGUGCCUGGCUACCUUAUUCCUAUGUGCUUCAGUGGGAUGCAAUAACUUUUGCUGAUAGCCUAAUAGGCCCUACAAAUCAUAAUUUAGCAUAGAGAAAUGUUGUUACAUGUUUGUUGGGAUGAUAAAAAAGUCCGGGCCAACUCUGUUCAUUUCUGUGGACUUUUGCUGGAAUUUCCCACGUGAGGGCUUGGACAAGGGUUAAAGGAAAAAAACUUAGACUAGGUCUAAUCCCUUUAUUUUAAAAAAUAUAUAAAAAUUAAAAUAAAAAUAAAAAAUGGAAAAAUGAAAAAAGAAGGCUUAAAUUCCAAAUUCAUUUAUUGAUAACGAUAAACAAAAAUUUAAAAUUAUAAUACUAAAUUUUUUUUAAGUGUUAAUUAAUUAAGAGAGUACUUGAAUUAGAAAAUUAAAUACUAGAAAAUUAAAUCUCUAAAUUUUUAUUUGCUUUAUUUAAUAUUUUAUUUUGAAAUAUUUAUUUUCUUUAAUUCAUUGUUGAUUAUAACAACUUGAUUAUUAUUAACUCAUUUUAAGUUUACAACAAUUUAAAAAAUUUUGAAAAAAAAAAGUGAAAGCCCAAGCCCGACCCAGCUCCGUAUGGGCUCGGCCCUUACAUUUCCACUCUAAUGGCCUUGGGCUUGGGCUUGAAAAAACCGAACAUGCUCACAUUUUGCUAUCCUUGCCUGCAUGUAAGUUCAAAGUUGCAAAUUGAUGAAGUGGAAAUAUAGAAGAUUGAUAGAUUAGAGAAACUAAGUUUCUUAAUAAUAAAAUUUUAUUAGAAAAGUCUAAAUGAAUAAAACGAUAGCCUACCCCUUUUAUACUAAUCCCAAACAUCGAGAAUUUAUCAAAAUAGUAAAAUUCAAAAUAUUGUUUUAUAAUAAAAUUCUCCUAAUCUAAAUAAGAAAAACAAAACAAACGACACCCAAUUUUAAUAUCUAAAAAAAUAAAAUUCUAAAAAUAAUAUAAAAUAACUUAAAACUGUAAAAAGACCAAAAAAAGAAAUAGAAUUUUUUACUUAAUUAUGGAGCAAGACAAGGCAAGCAUUCUAAGUUUGAUUAGUCUCGUCGUAACUUUUGAAAUGAUAUAUUAUAUGCCUAAAAUGAACAUAUAAAGCCCAAGUUAUAACUCCUAAAAGAUACCUCCUUCAUGAUGAUCCUACGCAACUAUCUCACGUCGAAAAUGAAUGCAAAAGUUACAUUUCAAAUUAAAUUCAAAACAAUCAAUUCAAGCAUUAAUGCCGUGUUUUUUUUAACCAAAAUACUCUCUAAGGAUUUUAUAAAUUGCUUUCUAAUUUUAUUUUGCAAAACACACCAAAUCAAAGUGAUUUUUCUCUUUUCUCUCAAACAAUUUCAACAUUUGGUAAUAGAGCUGAUGACAGGCAUUAGUAAACAAUGUGCAAUAGUAAUGCACAACAAUAUAGAAAAGCAAAUUGGUAAAGUGUAAACUAUGAAAUGAUAAAAUAGAGCCUUUUUUUUUUAAGAUCACAUGUUAAGUUAUUGGCGUAUUUUGUCGGGAUCAUAUACUUUUUUAGAUCUACGUGCUUUUGGUCAAAUUUAGCAUAAUUAAAAGUUCAAAACUGAAGUUCAUAUUCAAUAAUAAUAAACUAAUAAUAAUAGAUAAUGUAAUACUGACUAUUAAUUUAGAUCCUACGAUAUUAAAUUUUUUUUAAUACUUAAUAAAAAUAACAACAAUAAUAAUUUUUUUUAAGGGUUAACUUAAUUGUUAACUUAGACUUACAUUGAGUCAUAAAUCAUAGUUUAUAACAACAUUAAUGCAUAUAUUCAUAAAAAUCAUGAUAUUUAUAAUUUAUUUAUUAAAAUCAUGAUAUCACCUAUUCAUUUAACAAAUUAUAAACAUAAAACAAUUAGAUUUUUUUUAAGAUUAAGAAUUAAAUGAAUCUAAAAAACUUAAGCUAAUAAAAUGCAUUAAAGAUUCAAAUUCAAAUUAUUUGCAAAAUUAUAAUUAUUCGUAAAAUUAUAAAAUUUUAAGUUUACUUUCAUUAAAAAGCUUUUACCUUAAUAUACUUUGACUCGCAUGCUAUUGAUAACGCAUAAGCCACGUGCUAAUCGUCCAGUGAAACAUUUUUAUUGAUGUCCUUUUCACGUGCUGUGUUUUAGCCUAUUUUUAAGCAUAUCAUGCUUUUAAGAUCCACUUGCCUAAAAUUCUCAACUCAGCCCAGCACUCGUGCAUGCCAUGCCUUGUCGCUUACCCUACCAAAACGUCCUUGUGCCGUACCAUGCUGAACGGAUAUGUGUCGUGCAUGUGUCGUUCCACCUGUCACCUGGUCCAUUAGUCAUCUCUAGAAAACACCAUAUAUUUAUUGAGUGUGUUGCAAGCAUUGUGUCGCAAGUUGCUCAAAUUUCCCCUAAACGGAGGCUAAAUUAGCGCGCACGAGUACGGUCAGUAAAAGUCUGCCCAAUAAUGGGAUGCACUCAACAGUAAGGUGCGCUGAGCGAUGGGCUGCCUCAUAUAACUAGUGAGUUAUGGUGCACUUAGUAAGUGAAUAGCCCAUAAUCAACAAGCCUAACUCGAUUUUUAGAUUUCUCUACACCUUGUAAAUGGCUAGAUUUUUAGGCAAGUUGCAUGAACUCUCUAUAAAAUAGGGGUGAGCACCCACUAUUUGCUCACCACCACACCACACACACAGCACCUAGCAACUCAAAAACUCUCGUAAAAAUCUCUCUUAUAAUUUCUCUUUUGUGAGCAAUAAAAUAUUCUUUAGCCAUAUUGCUCUCUUCUCUCUAGCAGUAUUGCAAACAUCCUUACUUGGCUAGUUUGAGAAGCUCUUUAGGCUUACUUAACAACUUUUGUACUAGAAGUUAUGUAAGUACUGCACGGGAUUGUUGCGCAAAAUAGUCAUCUCGUGACAACCGGCUUAGUUUUGCUUUGCACAUUUACGCCCACAAUAAUAAAAGCCAAAAUAAGAUAUAAAAAAAUGUUGGGAUUUGACAUCAAGUAGAAGAGGUUUUGCCCACUCCAAAAUCAUCAAAAUGAUUAAUUAUCUUCUAUAUAACCUGAUGAUUUUUUUAACCUUUGAGAAAGCAACCACAGAGGUGGAACAAACUUCUACUCAUGGGGACUUGACAUACGGUUAAUGAAGAAGGGUAAUUUCGUAAAAUUCCAAUCAAAAUUAGAAAAAAGGCAAGCCAUAUUCAAAAGUCAAUCUUGAUCAAACAAACGGCAGGAGGGACAUCUGUAAUUACGGCAUUUUCGAGGAAUUGUUUCUAAAACUAACUAAAACGGGAAAAUGGAAAGGGACAAACACGAAAGCUCAUAGUUUGCUUGGUUGGGCUAUGUUCUGCUAGUAGGAGAGACAGACUGUAGAAAGGGUUUCUUUUCUCUUUUUUUUUUUUUUCUAAACUCUUUUUUUUUUCAAAUAGACAUAUAGCCACGUGUUGUCUCAUAUAAAAAAUAAUACUUUAUAUAAGUCCUAGGUCAGUUGGGCUGGAAAACAUUUAAAAUCGAACAUAUCAGGCACGUUGUAAGUUCGCAAUUGGAGAAUCAUGUUGUCAGCCCCGCAACCCCCAAAUGGGAACUUUAGAUAGAAAAAUAUAGCGUCGCAACGAUAAUAUUUAUUAAUAAUAAAUUUUCUUAUUACAAUUGUUCUUGUCAAAAACUCUUUGAUGGUAUUUCAUGUGUUGAAAAAAAUGUAAAAUAGUUUCAUUAUCAAUACAAUUAAAAACAUAUUUUUUUAAUAUAUACAACUAAAUUAUCACUUGAUUUGUUUUAAUAUAAUGCAACAUGAAGAACAAAUAUGAAUACACAUACAUUAGGGAAUGGCAAUGGGAAGAAUAGGGGAGGGGACCGAUAUCUCCAUACCCAUUUUCAAUAUUUUGUAUAUGUCCUCAUCUGCUCUCCAUCCCAUCAGAAUUACUUGAAAAAAUUUUCAUCCUCUCUCCAAAUAAUAAGAGGGGAUCCCUGAAAGUCUCCGAUCUCCAAGUAAUUAAUACAUUUUUAAUUUUUAAUUUUAAUUAAUUAUAUUAAAAUAAAAUUUUAAUAAAAGUAGAAUUAAGGCGGUAGCUAGCUACCAUAGAAAAUUAGAAAUUAGGUUUUAUGAUGUUGCCUUAACUUUUGUUUUAGUAGAUAAACGUUUAAAAUAUGUAACGAAUAUUAUAAAUAAAUAAAAUUGAGCCAACAAGAUCCUGUUUGGCUUUUUUUAUGUCCUGAAUAGAUGUUUAAGAUUAUAGCUAGUUAAGUAGGCUCAUUAAAGCAUCUGACAAAUUGUUACAUAAAACCAGGAUAAUUAGAGUGCGAAUCAAAUAACCCAAAUUAUAGAUUCCCUAAUCAAACAAACAUAACAAAAAAAAUUUUGAAAUACAAUUUUUUUUUUUUUAUCAGAAAUGCGCAUUGGCACCAAAUAAAAUUGAGCAAGAGCUAAUGGUGUCCUACAAGUUGACAUGGUCUACCUUUAGCAAGAUUCAAAUAAGAAGGACCACAGUAAACAUAAGAGGAAGUAAUUUAACUUUAUAUAUAAAUCCUACAAUUUAGUUGCAAGUAAAAUAACUCCAAUCUGAAACAUCAAAUGUAUAAGAUUCGUAAGUAAAAAUAGGUUACACGAUUAGUUAUUACCUGGAUUACGUUGUAUAUAUUACAUGGUAUACCUAAUCAGACAAAUAACGUGGACAUGAAGUGAAUAACUUAAUUUGAAUCUUGCUAUUUUAUUUUAUAAUUUUAAACUAAUUAAUUCAUGCACACACAUUAUGUAUGCAUUAAGUGGAUACAAUACAACAGAAGUAUUCUACAAUCUCUUAUAUGAAAGUUCUUAAUUCAUGUACUCUUUUUAGAAUUGACCUUUUCAUAAUAUUAUUUGUGAAGUAUAUUUUCAAACUAAUUUCAGAAUAAUUUUAAAUUAUUGUAUAAGUCUAUGUAUCUAAAGUUUCAAUAAACCCCGCGGAAUUAUAAUAUUUAAUUCAUUUUUUUUUCCUCUAUUGAUAACAUCAUUAUCACUUUCAUAGAGUUUCAAUAAGCCCAGCCGAAUAACCUUUUGUCAACGUCACUGCAUAUGCCCCACCUUCUCCCUCUCGACUCUCUCAAGACACUCCAAAAAAUACUCUAAAGUCCAACAACAUUUUACAAUCUCUCUCGAUUUUUCUCGCUUCAGUUUACCAUCCUCAAACACGAACACGAACACGAACAUGAAUUAAGUUAAUUAGUUUAUGGAACACAAACUCAUCGUCAGCAUCAUAUCCUAAUUGAAAAAGAAGGAUUGCGAGGGAAACUAAGCAUGUGCCUUCAUUUUCACUUGAAAUAAAGCGCGAUGGAAAGAUCUCAUGUUAUCACAUGAUCCCGUGUAAUCACCUAGAAGCCCUUCCACGCACAUUUCUUCUCAAAUUGUCUUCUUCUAAUUUCUUGGGCCAUCGCGGAACCACAAUGUCAAUGCGAGGAUGAGCGAGUGCUGUUCAGCUCGCAGCAUUUGGAGCCGGAGCUCGGCUUCCCUUAUUUGUUGGUCGUUUGGUAGGCGUCGCCAAAAGGCAAAGAGCAUCCUCUGGCGUUCGUGGAGUUGGUCCUCGAUGCGAUCGAUUUCUUCUCCAAGUUGAGCAAGCCUUUGUGCCAUAGCCAUACAAUUAUUUACUUUCGAUCGAGCACUUUUCGUCUGCACCCAAAUGUUUCAUUAAUAUUUUGAAGUAUACACACCUGUUUCAACAACUAUCCGGAUCACGUUAAAAGACAAUUUUACCCUCACUUGAAGUGUAAAAUAACUAACUUGAAGUGUAAAAUAACUAAAAAAGCCACAACACUAGUUUUAAAUUCUAAUUGACCUGGGUGAAUAUUAAAAUUUCUUAAAGGUUAAAAAAAAAAGUAAAAAUGUUUUGUUAUGGGAAUUGAAAUAUCCCCUAUAUCUUCAUCCAUAAUCAUCUAUCCAUGAUAACAAUUUAAUAAACUUGAAAAAGCAAGAUAUCCAAUCCCAAUGAAUCAAACAACCAAUUUUCUUCAUAAAGUUUAGCUUUUGCUUUUAAAAAUUCUAACUCUUGAGACCUUAAAUAAACUCAUAUUCAAAUUUACAUUUUCUAUAAUGAAAAUCUUCAAUUUACCCUUUUAAUAUUUUGAAAAACAGGUCCAACUACAAUAUAAUUGUGGUUUCAUACCUAUUUUUUUUUAUCUUUUUGUGAUCCAACCCAAGAGUUGCAAAGGCUAUUCCAACGGUUUGGAUGUUAUUAUUUGAUUAUUAACAAUAUGGUCUCUUAUGUUUACUAAAAGAAUAAAAAAAGAUUAAGUUUCAAAAUUUUGACCCAUUAGUCCGUUAAAUAUUUUAUUAUCAAAGGUAAUUUAGUAAAUGAACAUAUUUAUAUAUUAAAAAUAUGGAUGAAUUAUUUUAACUUGCUAAAAUACUCUCAAAUUCCAUUUACUUAAAAUAUGAAUUAGAUUUUUAUAAUACUAUUUUGUAUUUAGUGUAACACAAAAUUAGACAAGGUUUUAUAUAAAUUUUGACAAUAUUAAAAUGAAAAAUUAAUAAAUAUUAAAUAAAUGCUUGGAUAGUCAUUUAAAUUCAUUAUAGAGUUUAUAAAUAAUAUUUUCAAAAUAAUAAAUUUCUAUAUGUAAAUUUGAAAUUAUGUAAAAUUACUUAGACUUUAUCACACAUAUGAAGCUGAUCAAUUAUUUAUUUAAUAUGAAAACAAAUGAAUUGUAUAAUAUUUAUUCUAUUACUUAAAUUUAAAAUUUGUUGAGAAGGAGAUAGAGGGAAUAAUUUUUUUUAGAAUUUUAAAAUUAUUAUAUUUUAAUUGAGUUUAUUACAUAAAAUUAUUAAAACUUUAGUUUUUAUUAUUUGUAUAAAACAAUAGGAAUUGUUGAAGAAAAUCCCAAAUAAAUUUUUUAGAAUUUUGUAAUUAUUAUAUUUUAAUUGGGGCUUAUUGUAUAAAAUUUUUAAAACUUAUAAUUUUUUAUUAUUUACAAAAAAUUACAGGGACUGCUAAAGUAAAUACCAAAAUGGUGUUUGGUACAACGGGGUAAGAUAGUUUUACCCUUGAAAAACAUUAAUUUACUUCCAUUUAUCAGUCAAAAGACUAAAAUAAAUGGAGACAUGUGGACGAGAAACUUUUUAACUUUUUAGUGGUAUUUGAUAAAUAUAAAUAAAUUGAAAAUUCUCGUUUUUACUUUUUAUUGGGCAUAAGUUAAAAAUCUUACUCUCUAUUUAUUAUGCUUUAACAAGAGAAAGAAAGAAAACAGAAAACAAAUCUCUUCUAUAGCAGACUUAACAAAAAUUUCAGCUGAGACUUAAACCGACUUUUUCAAGGAAAUGAAAUUAGGAGAACAAAAACACUUUGAAGUGGACUGCAUAUAUAUACUCAAAAAUAACAUACAACUUGAGUCAGUAAUGGUAAAGAAAACGAACGUACACAGACGGGUUUGGAUUUAGAUGAUGAAGAAUGCACUGAAAGCUUUGCAUUUGAGUUCUCUUUUUCGGGUGAGUAAGUUAGGGAACUGCAAGGCCGAUCAAUUUGAAAAAAGAAAAAAGAAAAAAACUAAAAUGUAAACGCAGCUUGAACUUGAUUUCUUUUGGUUUUUGGGGAGGGGACGGGGGGAGGGGAGGGAAUGUAUACGCAGCUUCAAACUUGGUUUCUUUUCGUUUUUUUCCCCGGGGGUGUGGAGGCCUGGAGGGAAUGUAAACGAACUAACGAAGCCUCAAUCCUCAUGCAGCUGUAUUUAUAUGAAGUGGGUACUGCUGACUGAUCCACGAAGGAAGACUUUUGAUGUCAUUGGUGUUUCUUUAUUUUUGACCUUUUAGCUAGAUGACAGAAGAAUGCCGAGUGCUACGGACACUCGCGAGUGUCUCAAUCGCGGCUCUCUAUAUAGACACGUGUCUAUCAAAAUGAAACCUUAUCAGAGAGACAGCCGCAAGUAUGACGAGACAAGCGCGAUCGUAAGGAUGGAAGCCGCAAGUAUGAAGAGACAGGCCCAAUCCACAACGAUCCAAGAGCAAUCAUUACCUGCAAACUCAACACAACACCUAAUUAACUUCAAACCCCACCAUAAAUCCACCAACAGUCACUAUUCGAAACAAAUCUACCUCAAAUGCGACGUCAAAUAAAAGGAAUAAAAAGGUUUCCUUAAAAGAGAGAGAGCUGCGAGUAUGAAGAGACAAGCACGGUCCACAACGAUCGAAGGCUGUGUGGUAUGUGUCUUGUAUAGAUUGAACAGAGCAAUCAUUACCUGCAAAACUGAACCAAACACUCAAUUAACAAACAAAUUUCAAUUUGAAACCCGACCUUAAAUCCACCAUUGGGCACUAUUCGACACAAAUCUACUUGAAAUCCGACAACAAAUAAAAGGAAAAAAAAUUCUAAAUCAACAUCGAAAUGAAACCUUUAUAAGAGAGAAAGCCGCAAGUACGAAGAGAUCUGAAGUCCUGUUGGUAUAUGUCUUGUAUAGAUUGACAGAGCAAUCAAAGGCCGUGUCGACCAGAGCAAUCGCAGAAUAGAAGAGAUAAGAGAGGAAAAAAGAAGGAAGAGGAGAGCUGCAGCAGCAAAUGAUCAGAGCAAUCAUUACCUGCAAAACUCAACACAACACCAAAUUAACAACCAACAUUUCAAUUUCAAACUUAACCUUAAAUUGAAACAAAUCUACUUGAAAAUAAAAGAAUAAGCAACUCCGAAUCAAAAUCGAAAUGAAACCUUUUAUAACAGAGACAGCCGCGAGUAUGAAGAGACAGGCACAAUCUGCAGCGAUCGAAGAGAAAUCACCACUACCUGCAAAACUCAACACAACGCCUGAUUAACAACAAACAUGCCAAUUUCAAACCCACCUUAAAUCCACCAACAGACACUAUAACUUGAAAUGCAAUAUCAAAUAAAAGGAACAAGUAGUCUAAAUCAAAAUCAAAACGAAACCUUAUAAAAGAGACAGCCGCAAGUCUGAAGAGACCAGCACGAUCCUAAAGGAUCAAAGCCGCAAGUAUGAACAGACCUGAUUAACAACAAACACCUGAUUACCUGCAAAACUCAACACAACACCUGAUUAUCAACAAACAUUUCAAUUUCAAACCCAAAACAAAUCUACUUGAAAAAAAAAAAAAAACAACUCCAAAUCAAAAUCGAAAUGAAACCUUAUUAGAAAGACAGCCGCAAGUAUGACGAGACAAGCACGAUCGUAAAGGAUGGGAGCCGCAAGUAUGAAGAGACAGGCCCAAUCCACAACGAUCCAAGAGCAAUCAUUACCUGCAAACUCAACACAACACCUAAUUAACUUCAAACCCCACCAUAAAUCCACCAACAGUCACUAUUUGAAACAAAUCUACCUCAAAUGCGACAUCAAAUAAAAGGAAUAAAAAGGUUUCCUUAAAAAAGAGUCCACAACGAUCGAAGGCUGUGUUGUAUGUGUCUUGUAUAGAUUGAACAGAGCAAUCAUUACCUGCAAAACUGAACCAAACACUCAAUUAACAAACAAAUUUCAAUUUGAAACCCGACCUUAAAUCCACCAUCGGGAACUAUUCGACACAAAUCUACUUGAAAUCCGACAACAAAUAAAAGGAAAAACAAGUCUAAAUCAACAUCGAAAUGAAACCUUUGUAAGAGAGAAAGCCGCAAGUAUGAAGAGAUCUGAAGUCCUGUUGGUAUAUGUCUUGUAUAGAUUGACAGAGCAAUCAAAGGCCGUGUCGACCAGAGCAAUCGAAGAGUAGAAGAGAUAAGAGAGGAAAAAAGAAGAAGAGGAGAGCUUCAGCAGCAAAUGAUCAGAGCAAUCAUUACCUGCAAAACUCAACACAACACCAAAUUAACAACCAACAUUUCAAUUUCAAACCCAACCUUAAAUUGAAACAAAUCUACUUGAAAAAUAAAGGAAAAAGCAACUCCAAAUCAAAAUCGAAAUGAAACCUUUUAAAACAGAGACAGCCGCGAGUAUGAAGAGACAGGCACAAUCCGCAGCGAUCGAAGAGAAAUCAUCACUACCUGCAAAACUCAACACAACGCCUGAUUAACAACAAACAUGCCAAUUUCAAACCCAACCUUAAAUCCACCAACAGACAGACACUAUAACUUGAAAUGCAAUAUCAAAUAAAAGGAAAAACAAGUCUAAGUCAACAUCGAAAUGAAACCUUUAUAAGAUAGAAAGCCGCAAGUACGAAGAGAGAAGCGCGAUCCUAAAAGAUCUGAAGUCGUGUUGUAUAUAUGUCUUGUAUAGAUUGACAGAGCAAUCAAAGCCCGUGUCGACCAGAGCGAUCGAAGAGGAGAAGAGAGAAGAGAGAAAAAGAGAAGAGGAGGAGAACUGCAGCAGCAAAUGAGCAAAGGGAGCUCAAUUUAUAAACGACUAAACGAGGGAUUCCGUUUGCUCAUUUGCUGCUGCAGCUCUGGACCGUUGAGGGGGGACACGUGGAGGGAUCGUGGGGAGUGGUGGAAGUAACUGUGGUUGAGUUAAGGUUGACUAGAGUUAUGUGAGGGAUCCAAGGCUGGGUGUUUUCCUUUUGGAUAUGCGUUUUGUCAGUGGGAACGGCAUCGUUUGUUUGGGUUUAAAAUUGAGCACAUUUAUUAUACGUAGCGGAAUCGUACAAAAAUUGCUGCUGCAGUAUAAAUCUGAAGGAAAAAAAAAAAAAUGGUUGGUAUGUGGAAAUUAUACUUGAAACGUUGUCGUUUUUGGCAUAAUUGCUGUGAUAUAUUUAUUUGUUUGUGUUUUUAUUUCUUUUUUCUGGGUUUUAGGGUCACAAUCGGAGAGCGAAGACAAGGUCUCGUUGGAACUCUCUGAAGAAGUUCUUCAGAGCAUGGAAGUGGGCAUUUCUUUUAGAGAUUAUGUAAGAGAAUCUUCUAUUAAGUUUCUGUUUGAGGAACAUACUUGAUUUGCAUUUUAAAUGUAUCUGUUUGUUAAUUCAUUGUCGUUUUGUGUUGAUUCGUGUUUUAACAGAAUGGGAGAAUUAGUUCCUUGGAUUUUCAUAAAUCAUCGAGUUAUUUGAUGAUGGCUAGUGAUGAUGAAUCUAUACGGCUGUACGAUGUCUCUGCUGCCACGUAAGUUGAUCCUCUGUUUCUUAGGAUUUUAUGUUGUCUAUUGGGAAGUGCUUUUAACUAAGAAAUGGCUUUUGAAUAAGUAUAAAAAGCUGGUUUCAAUCUUGCAAUGUUUGUUUGAAAUUGCUGGAAUAAUAAAGUGUCUUUUGAAAUCAAAGGAACCCUUGAAGUGUUUUUCUAGGGAAGUGCUUGAUAUCUGCUUUCAUGGAUAGAACUUUUUGGAUUAGGAAACCACUUGUAGUGCUGUUUGAAGUAGUGCUUCAUAUAUGUUUGAAAGUGAUUUUACUCGAGGGUACUUUCCAUUAAAGCACUGCUGAACGUAUCCUCUGCGUGUUUGAUGAGCUCAUGAAAGCUACUGUCUUUCUAAGAUGGGGAAAAAUGCUUUUUUGAUGAAACAGAAAAAAAAAAAAAAAAAAAAAAAGGAGAACCUUGGAGUGGUUUUCGGGGCAGUGCUUAAGGGAAAUGUAAUUGAUAUAUUUUUCAAGAACUUUUGUAAAAAGGCCUUUUCUUUUUCUUUUUUGUUUUGUUUGCAUAAGCUCUUUCUAUAAGAGCACUGCCAAAUGCACUCCAGUUGUCUUAGCUGAGCUCAUGAUAGUUGGUAUUGCAAUUGUUGCUGAGAGCCUUAAUUGAAAUUUCAGAUGUUUGAAGACAAUUAACAGCAAAAAAUAUGGAAUAUUUGUGUUUUGUAUGUUGGUGAAUUACUUUACUAGGCACUUAUUUGGUACGUUCAUUUAUUCAGAAUCUCUACGGCUUCUUUCCUCGCACUAUAACAAGUACUUGCGUUACUUCAACGGUCAUCAUAACAGGUUUGUAAUUCACUUAUUCUUGUAAAUAUUUCGUAAUUAUUAUUAUCUGUAUAUAUGUUUUACUGCUUCUAGGGUUGUUUCACUUAGUCUGUGCUCCUCCAAAGAUUGCUUUAUCUCUGGUUCUCUUGGUCAAUCUGUUCUGCUCUGGGAUCAACGGGCUGAGAAAUGCUAGGUGGAUAUCAUGCCAUCCACCAUUUUCAAUUGUAUAUAUGAUCUCUGUUGGCAAAUACGGGCCUUUUGCAUGUUCAAGGAAGGCCUGCUACAGCAUAUGAUGAUCAAGGGCUUGUCUUUGCAGUUGCCUUUGGAGGAUACAUAAGAAUGUUUGAUGCUCGUAAGUAGGAGAAGGUUAAAAUUAAUAUUUAAGAACAUCUUGGAAGUUUAUAUGUCGUACUUUUAUCAUGCACUAAUUUGGUUAAAUUUGGAUACAUCUUCUCUGAUGGUGUAGAUGUAUCAGAUUCUGAUGCUGUAAAGUUCAGCAAUGAUAGGAGACUUAUGCUUCCGACCUCUAUGGAAGGACAUAUUCAUGUGCUUGACUCAUUCCAAGGCACACUUGUGAGUUGACUUUUUCUUUCUUCAUCUCCCAAAUGUAACAUAUCGUACAUAUAUACCCCUCUAUACACUGGAAUCUCUGUUAAUGAGCUUUUGUUUACUCUUGUUUUUAUUUAUCCACUUAUGAUGCCAAGCCAGUUUCUCGCAAUUCCACAUUGGAGGCAUCUUUCAGCCCGGUAGAGUUUCUCCUUUGAGUUCUUAGGGCACAGUGACUUGGAUAUUUUGUUAAUAUUUGCUUUUGGCUGUUUUGAUAUUUUAUAUUAAAGUUCUUGCACUUGUGCUGUAUAUAAUUCUCAAAUUUGUUACCACCUUGUUGGUAUAUUGAAAUACACGACUUGAAAUGUUGGGCAUCAAGCUUGUUUCCGCAGAAUUCUUUGAAAUAAAUUCAUUUUCUCUUCUUCAUUGACUUGGUUUGAAACCCACUCCCAUCCAUGCAAAUCCAAAUGCAUACGUAUUUUCAUCUGGUUGUGCUUAUUAAUAAAAAUAAAUCAAUGAAAUGCUCAAAUAGCAAGUGCACCCACACAUGUGGAAGCAGCCUGGUGCGGCCAAGCACCUCUCAUUCGUUUUAUGUGAUACAAUUGGUUUGUUGCACUCUUUGUGCUAAUUUUACUUUCUCGAUUUUGGAAGGUUCUGAUGAUGGUAGUGGAUAUGCUUGGAGUGUAGGGAGCGGGAAAGGGGUAUGAUAAGCAAAAUUCCUUGAUUCUCAUGCCUUUUGAAUGCUUAGAAUUCAAAGGGAUGUUAUUUCCCUUACACUGACCCCAGUCAUAGCAUUCAUUGUCUUCUAGCCAAACCAACAAUGCUUUUGAAUCUACAUUUGAGCAUUUACCUUAAGCACCAGUUUGCAUAAUGAGUUCUGUAUCCAAAGACUAUAUUCUUUGGAUGUUGGUAUUGUUAUUAUAUAAACAUUGUUUGGUUUUGUUUAUUUUUCUUGUCAGGGUUGUUAGUUGGAUGAGUUUUCAUACAGAGCCUCCUGUCAUAAAAUGGGCCCCUGGAAGUCUCAUGUUUGUUACGGGGUAAUCUGAGCUAUCAUUUUGGAAUCCUAAUGUGUCUAAACUAGGAGCUUACGAUGGGAGGAAGUAAAGUUUCUAACACUCAGCACCCUUAAGUAUCUGAAUAUUGAUGUCUAUCUAUUGCUGGGAGGGGAACUUGUUUGUAAGGAGAUGUUCAAUUUCCUAUAGUAGUAUGUAAAUGCAUCUGACUUACCUGCUAGUAACCUUUCCUAACAAGUUCUGAAGAAACAACAGUAGAUCUGGUAUCAGUACUUUAUUCAGAAGAGCAUUUCUUCUUACAUGCACAGCUAAGAGUACAUGAAUUGAGCUACUGAAGCCCUUCCUGACCAACCUGGCUAAGGCUCCUUUCAGUUUGUCCUCUUCAUGGUUCUUUGGCAGGCAACAGCGUAAGCAAUUACCUGGACUAUGAGGCCUUUUGUAGCGGGGUGGGCACUGCCUAGGCAGUUUUUGAAAAAACUAGGAGCUUUAUUUGUCAUUGACAUUUGUAGCACGAUUAGUUAUUACCUGGAUUAAGUUGUAUAUAUUACAUCGUAUACCUAAUCUGACAAAUAACAGGUUGCAAUCCAAGUUUUGUUGAUCAUGAAGGGUUUGAGCAUGAUAGUCCAUUUAGGUCAUUAGGUCUCCCUCGAAUUGCCACGUACACACUUCAAUCCUCUCAACGAGCGUCCCCGCAACGUCACACUCCACAAUAAUCUGAAAUAAUUUAAAACAAUUAUAUACUUCUGGCUGCUCUUAUCUCCCUUCUCACCAACCGAGUCACUGGUUGGUUACAUUUUACUAACACCGCCGAAUGAGAGAUCAUAAUCCCUAUUACGUGUCCACCCUAACUGAUCACAACAUUGUCAUUUUUUAUCUAGCGUUAGCAACGCGUUGUUCAGUUGUCAUAGCUUCGAAACCGCGUUAUUUGUUUAUACACUACAUUUUUGGACUCAAGGCACAAAAGGGAUAAUAAACAAUUGUUAUAAACAAUUGUUAUAUAGUCUGCAAGGUCCAUUCCAAUUGUGUUUGUGUAUAUAUAUUUUAGCUUUCUCUCCUACACCCAGGCUUUAUGCCUCUCGUGCCUCAGUUUGAUGUGAAGAAAUGGUCCAUCAAGGCCAUUGGUUAUAUAGUCAGCAAUAGCAAUAUUGCCUUUCUUCAACCACAGCAAUGUUUAUUGGGUACGCAGGAUCAAUUAUCUUCUUAGUAAUUAACAUAAUAAUAUAUUAUGUUUGUAAAUGUGUAAAUAAAUUUUAUUCAAUAUUUAUAGUUUUACAACAAUUUAAUAUUAAAAUUUACCAAACAUAUACAAUUGUUUUUAUAACUCACAGCUCCUUUAAAAAUAAGUUUUUGCAAACGUUUAAUUAAUUUUUUUAAAUUGAUUAUUUUUAUAGCACAGCUAACAUCAAUUAUUUUAAAAGCUACAGUAUUACCAAAUUGACUCCUUACUCUUUUUAUUAAAAUUAUUAUUUAAAAGUUCUAAUUGCAAUAUGUUACCAACUUUUAUUUCACAUCUAUAAUUUUUUUUUCACAACAGCUAUAACUUAAACGUCGCAUCAUCUUAAUACCAAAUAGGGCUAUAGUUAUUUGGGACCUUUUUUUUUUCCCCCCCUUUUCCCUCUUCUUUAGCAACCUACAAAAAACACUAGAAAUAAAACAGAAAAAUUGAGUAUGAAAUUAAGCAUUAGUUAAGUAUGAAGUUGGGUGAGUCGAGUAUAAAAUUAAGUACUUUUCUAUAUGAUUUUAAAUAAAGGGUUUUUUAAUAUUUUGCUUUGUGAUUUUGGAUAUAUUUCUACAAUACCAGUAAACUAUGUAAUAAGCAUAUAUUUGUUGUUUUGUUGUGAAUGGGACAUAUCUAGCGCCAUUUGCUCUAGGGAUGGCAAUGGGGCAGAUAUGGGUUGGAUCUACUUUGCUCCAAAUUCAAAUCCAUAAUAAAAAUCAAGAUCCGUAUCUACUCCAGAUCUGUCAUGAAUCCAUAUUUUUUGCUCCAUAUCCAGAUCCAAAAAAGAAAUAAAUAUCUAUAUCUACUCCAAAUCUUAAAAAAAAUUAAAAUCCAAAUCUGUUCUACAUCUGUCAUGAAUUCUAAAACUCAGUAAUAAAAAAUUAAUAAUUUUUUAGAAUGAAAAUUGAAGGCUUAAAUGUAUUGAUAAAAAAUAAAUUAUAUAAUUUUUCUCAAAAAUAUAAUAAAUAUUGUAGCUUAUACUUUUAUCUCAAAACAAUAAAUAAGAAAGAUAAUAAAAUAUCAUUCAAAAGUAAUUGUAGAAGUAAGAUCAAUCUAAUAUUCUAUUGUCUCCUUCAUCAUUCUAAUAUCCACGACACACCUACCAUCAUUUCUACAACAUUAAAUAAUGACAUAUAAAUUAAAUAUGAUUUAUAUUCAGUCCUUUAUUAUUUUUAUUAUGAUCAUAUUUGACUAAAUAUAUGAAUAACUAUAUUUUUUAAAAAUUAUUUGGCUUGCAAUUUGAAUAUUUAGGCUUGGCUGACCUUUAUAUUUACAAAACUAACCUUUAAGUUUUAAGAGUUUAAAUGCAUGGUAAAUACCACUAAUAUGUUAUGAAUAAAAUUUAUUAUUAUUAUAAUUCCAUAAUUGUUAAGAAACUUUUAAAAUAAAAUAAAAUUAAAAGAUGAGUGAAUAUGAAUGUGGAUUUAGAUAUUAAGAUAGAUCCAGACCUGCUCCAGAUCCGUCUUAGAUCCGCACAUCGAUAUUCAAAUUCGAUCCAAAUUCAUUUUAAACUGACCCAAAUCCGAUCCGAUUGGAUUUGGAUCACGUGGAUCUUGGGUCAAAUCCAAUCCAUUGCCAUCCCCAAUUUGCUCCCGUGACUGAUCUUUAUAACAGAUCCAAUUACCCUCAUUAUAGUCUUGAUCGAAAGCUAACAUAGCACAAUUCUGAUAUGUAAUGUGAGUGAUGGGAGAGUCACAAAUUAUUGUAUAAAUUUAUUUUAUCUAAAUUAAUUAGUAUAAAUUGAUAGAAAUAUAAAAUAAUAAAAAUAUAAAUCACGUAGACCAAGGUGUAUUUAAUAUAACUAAUAAAAUUUUACUCGAUCAGUUUAUAUAAGAAUUUGUAAUUUUAUUAUUACUCAUGGUACUUGAACAGUGGCUGAUUGGUCAGCUAGUGGUAUAAGUGGCAACGACCAAACUGUUGAGUCUCCACGUGGGUUUCAAAAUGAGUCAAGAGUCAAGAAAUUAGCUAUCAAGUUAUGAAAAAUAUUUGUAAACAUGUCUUUGAGAUGAUACAUUGUCAUAAUCAACAUCAUAUCCUAAUUGACAAAGAAGGGUUGCAAGGGAAACUAAGCAUGUGCCUUCAUUUUCACUUGAAAUAAAGCGCGAGGGAAAGAUCUCAUGUUAUCACAUGAUGCCGUGUGAUCACCUAGAAGCCCUUCCACACAUAUUUCUUCUUAAAUUGUCUUCUUCUAAUUUCUUGGGCCACCGCGAAACCACAAUGUCAAUACAAGGAUGAGCGAGUGUUGUUCAGCUCGCAGCAUUUGGAGCCGGAGCUCAGCUUCCCUUAUUUGAUGGUCGUUUGGUAGGCGUCGCCAAAGGGCAAAGAGGAUCCUCUGGCGUUCGUGGAGUUGGUCCUCAAUGCGAUUGAUUUGUUCUCCAAGUUGAGCAAGUCUUUGUACCAUAGCCAUAAAAUUAUUUACUUUGGACCGAUGCAAUUCUCUUCUAAAAUUUUCAGGGAACACUUUUCAUCUGCACCCAAAUGUUUCAUCAUAAUUUUAUUGUAUACACACUUGCUUCAACAGCUAUCACGGCUCACUCUUUUUGUUAAAUAUUGUUGUUGCCAUUAAUUUUGACAUCUUUGACGUUAAAAGACAACUUUACCCUUAUUUAUAUUUUUUAAUGCAAAAUUGCCAAAAAAACCACAACACCAAUUUCUAAUUCCAAUUGACUUGUGGGGAUAUUAAAAUUUAAUUUUGGCAUCUUUGACAUUAAAGAGAUAAUUUUACCCUUAUUUAUAUUUUUUAAUGCAAAAUUACCAAAAAAACCACAACACGAGUUUCCAAUUCUAAUUCACUUGUGUGGAUAUUAAAAUUUAUUAAAGGUUAGAAAAAAAGUAAAAAUGUUUUGUUCAAAAUAUCCCCUUUGCCAUCAUCCAUAAACGUCCAUUCUUCAUAACAAUCUAGUAAACUUGGAAAAAGCAAGAUCCCAGUCAAUCAACCAGCCAAAAUUCUUCAUAAAGUUUAGCUUUUCUUAAAAAAUUUUAAAUCUUGAGUUAAAAAUUUUAAUUCUUGAGACCCUAAAUUAAUUGAUAAUGAAAGUCACAUGUUUCUAUAACAAAAAUCUUCAAGAAUAACAGUACAAUGAAAAUCUUCAAGUAAAUAAAAAUCUAUAUUCAUAAUAUUUAUGAAUAAAUUGUAAAUAAUAUAGAGUGGUUUAUAAUUUUAUAGUGUAUUCACUAAACAAGAAUCGAAAUUAUUUGGAAACAUAACGAGUUAGAAUCAGAAUAUAUAGAAUCAAAAUAAGAAAUUGGAAUCAGAAUAAUUUAUUUACUUGAACUGCAGGAAUCGUAAUUAGAAUGAGUCAUUUACAUGUUUACUUUGUCUUAAAAUCAAAAUUGGAAUGAGUUAAAUUGUAACAAAUUACUAUAAAAUCCAUAAUUAAUUUUUAUCAUAAUAAUUAAUUUUUAUUUUAAUUAUUGUGAUUAUUAUUAUUAUUAAUAAAUUAAUUAUUAACAAUAAUUAUUGUUAAUUAUUAUUAUUAUUAAAAAGUUAACUAAGAAUUUAUUAUUAAUUAUUGUUAAUAGAUUAAUUAAUUAUAAUACUUUUUAUUCUUGUUAUUAAUAAUAAUAAUAAUAAUAAUCCAUUUACAAUUUAUAAUUAUAUUUAUAAUUAAGUGGAAAUUAAAGUGGUAGGGUCUCAACCAAAAUGUGGCACGAACACAUUUAUCCAACAGCAAGAUUUUUCGAUUGCCAUCCCCACUAAUUUGGUGUAAUGACUAAGAGUUAAUUGAAAAAUAUAUAGUUUAAUUUUACAUUUAAUUUUUUUUCUUUGUUGUAUUAAGAAUUAAUUGAAAAAUUAUUAUAUUCCCUUAAUUUUACCAGAAUCCCGUUGACUUAGACCCUAGUCUCUUGAUUAAAGCGUUUUCAAGUUCAAAGAUUCAGAUAACUCACUCGAUUAUAGGGCGUCUGCACCUUACGCUCGCGUUUGUUGUGAUGCCAGUAGCUGCUGUGACUGUGGCUGUCGUUGUCGAUUGUACUUGAAUUUUGCAGGAGAGCUUAAUAUCUUGUUUAGUAAUUAAGUGUUGUAUCAUUUAUUGUUAAAAAAUUAUAUUAUAAAAUAAAAAUUAAUAAUAAGUAAUAAAUAUGAUUUUUAAAAAUUAAUUUUCAUUAUAUAUUGUCAUUAAAUAAAUAUAAAAUUAAUUUAAUUUAACUGUAAAAUUAUAAUAAUUAAUAUUUAUUGAAUACUUUAGUAUUAUAACUUUUAAAAUUAUAAUGGACUAACUUCAAUCCCAAAAGAACCUGAAAUGAUUGUGGAGAUCGGGAUUUUCAAUUUCCUUUCUUUUUGGAACUAGUUUGGGAUUGUCCAAACACGCUAUGGUAUGCGUUUGACAUGGAGAAGGGGGGACAAAUCAAUUUUGUUUACUGCAAAACCCUAAAAAUAAUUAGUCAACUUGCGUAUACCCCUUUUGGACCCAUUUUGUCAGGAAAAAGAAAUUGUGGACCAUUUGCACUCUAAAUUUAACUUUAGAUACUGGUAUUUUAAUAAAUUUUUAUAUUAUUAAAUUAACCUUAAUAUAAGGAUCCAGCUACGGUACACAUGUUGUAUGGUAUCCCGCAUUUUGUUCAUAUAUGACUUUGCCUUUAAAUGUAACAUAAAACUUGCAUCAAUUGCAUAGAUGUAUUCUCUUUGGUUAUUAAUAUUGACACUCCUAUUGUUUUUCAAAAAAAUAAAAUGGUGAAAGGUUUGACACAUAAUUUUAGAUUAUUUUUAAAUUUUUUAUUUUUAUCAAUUGAUCUACUUUAUUAUUAAAAUUAAUGACAGUAUAAGAGCAAUAACUUGAAAAAACUAAAACAAAAGGAAUUACAUGGUCACCGUCUGGAACUGGAAAUGUUUUGAGUUUACUUAUCCUUUUGGUUCGCACCGCCCACGAAGCUUCAUAUUCCUACGAUAUGUCUUUUUUUUUUAAAAAUAAUAAUUUAUAAUCUGACAGCUGGAACAAAGUUUCGACUUUCGAGUGGGCAAAACGCAAAAACUACCACGACUACUUGAACAACUUCGUUACAUUUAGACAUUUAUCAUUUAAUCAGAGUUUGAUGAGCAGCGUUGAAGGAAAGUUUAUAGAAAUAACCCUUACUUUUUUUCUAUUUUCGAAUAGCAAAUAAAAUUUCCCUUUUUCAGUUAAACAGUUUCAAGUCUAGUAUUUACUGUUUGAAGGAGAAAAUUAUGGUGUAACGGUGGUACCGUGCUACUGUUGUACUCACCCGUUGGAUCUCAAUGAAUCCACUCAUUCAAGUGGAUUCAACGGCUGAAUGCAACAGUGGCACGAUACCACUGUUGCACCGUAGCCGGACCUCUAUUUCAAUUACACAAACAACAUGUAACUGUUUUAUAUAUACCUUUUUCUAGCGGGUUCAAAAAGUUUCAACCUUAUGGAAUGGCACAAUCUUUGUAUAUUAUUAUUUUAAUUAAUAACAAGAUUACUGAUCCUGUGUGCCCGGUAAACACUACUGUGAUUGAGGAAAAAGCGGUAUUGCUAUUGCUGUUUCUUACCAAAGGCCUUGAUAAAUAAACCAUUUCUUCACAUCAAACUAAGGCACAAGAGGUAUAAAGCCUAGGUGUAGGAGAGAAAGCUACAACAUAUAUGACACAAAAUCAAUUUGGAUGGACCUUGCUAAUCACGUCUGUGAAUGAAGAAGAUUCACCUCGAUGCCAUAGGAGAGCAAAUUAUUAGGGGGCAGGAUGGACAUGUCACAUGGUUAAGGGGGUCUCUAAAUCCCGAAGGGUACAAAAACCUAUGCUUUGAAGCUCACCUCACUAUCUAAAAUCAAAUAUGACUUGAAUGCGAAAUUACGUGUGCGGUAAGUUCUUAUUUGGGAAACUGUGUUGUGCGUCCCACAAACUCCAAAUGGGAGCUUGCCGCAUGUUCAAUCGUGCUUAUAGAGUGUGUCCGCAUGCAUCUAAUUGAGAUCUUAUUUACAGUAUAAUACACUUCUAAAAAUUUAGAUAGCAAUAUAAAACUUUACAACUAUAAUAUUCAUUGAUAAUAAAUUUAUUUAUUAUGAUUGUUCUCGUUGAAAACUCCUCAAUGGAAUUUUAUGAGUCGAAAAUAACGUAUGAUAGUUUAACUACCAAUAUAAGAAAAAAUAUAUUUUUCAAUAUACAAAACUAGGUUAUUGCUUAAUUUGCUUUUAAAAUCUUUUAAUAAUAACAAAAAUAUUCAUAUAUUGCAACACAUAGAGCAAACAUGAAUGCAUUAUAAAAUUAUAGAUUUUAAAACUAGACAAAAGAUUAAUCAAAAAAUGAAAAAUUAGAAUUAUGUAGACUUACAACUUAUGGGUCAUUGUUGAAAGACUAAACAAUUGAUUUUGCUCGAAUAGAAAACAAAAAAAAUAUUAAAGACUAGUCCAUUAACCAUUAUACUAACAUUUUUUAUGAUUGUUUUUUAUUUUAAUAUUUGUUCUCGUGUCUUUAAUUGAAUUUCAUGAAAUGUUAAUUGCUAAUUAAAUUAUUUAGAAUUAGACAUUUAAACGAGGGAUAAUAUGAAAUAUUUUAAAAUUACUAGAGUCACUUUUAAAUUUUACAAUGCAGCUGGGGCAUUUUUCAUAAAUAACAAACAAAAUACAUUUUUUUCAUAUAAUCAUCAAAAAAAAUUUAAAAGCCAGCCAGGGCAUGUGCCUCAGCUGGUCCCAUGCUGAUUCCGCCCCUGUACGUAAGACACACGCAUAUUAUUUUACAAGGUACCACCAAUUUUUGUCUUUUGUGAUGUCAAAUUUCAUUUAACUCCUUAUCUUUUUUGAUUUACGGUUUAUUUAUAACAUUAUAUCCUUUGACAGGUAACUUUUUAAAAUGAAUUUUAUUUAUAAUUUAUUUAUAAGUUUAUAUACUUUGGCUGGUGAUCUGCUCAAAUGUAAUUUUAUUUUAUUUAAUAUUAUUUAUCUUUCUAAAAGAAUAAAUAUACAAUAAGCCUGUGACUAGAUAAUAUUAAAUAAUAUUUUGAAUAAAAUAAAAAUAUUAAAAAUUUAUUCUUUUAAAUAAAAUAAAUAAUAUUAAAAAAUAAUAUUUAUUUUUUAGGACUCACAAUUGCUUAUUCUAUUUUAUUUAAUAUUAUUUAAUUUUUAAAAAUAAAUAUAAUAAUAAGCUUGACUAAAUAAUAUUAAAUAAAAUAAUAUAAAUAUUAUUAAAAAUAAUAGUAAUUUUUUUAGACUCAUUACUGAUUAGUUCAUUUUAUUUAACAUUAUUUAGUUUCAUGAAAGAAUAAAUAUAAUAAUAAGCCUUUGACUAUAUAACGUUAAAUAAAAUCAAAUAAAUAAUAUUAAAAAAAUAUUUUUUUUAUAAAAUAAAUAAUAUUAAAUUUUUAUUCUUUUGAAUAAAUAAAUAUAUUUUUUAAGACUCACAACUGAUUAUUUAUUUUAUUUAAUAUUAUUUAGCUUUUUAAAGAAUAAAUAUAAUAAUAAGUCUAUAACUAAAUAACAUUAAAUAAAAAUUAAAUACUAUAAAUAAUAUUAAAUAAAAAUUAAUUAAUAUUAAAAAUUAUAUUUAUUUUUAAUGCUCACUACUGAUUAUUUUAUUUUAUUUAAAUAUUUAGUUUUUUGAAAGAUUAAAUACAACAAUAAGCCUGUAACUAAAUAAUAUUAAAUGAAAUGAGAAUAAAUAAUUUUAAAUAAUAUUUUUUAAUAAAUAAAUGAUAUUAAAAAUUAAUUUUUAAAAUAAAAAAAUUAAUAUUAAAAUAAAUUUAUUUUUUAAGACUCAAUUAUAAUUAAACAACAUAAAAUUUUAAACAAUUUGGACUUAUGUGCUAAAAGUUUUAAUUAUUUAGCUCUUUUGCAUUUUUGAUAAAUAGCAAGGAGCAUAAUGUUAAUAUUUAAAUAAACGAUUCACUACCCUUAAAUCUAUCUUUUCAUUGAAUCCAAUGAUCAAAAAUUAAAACCAAUGACCAAGAAUUGAAACUACAAAAAAAUAAAAUCAUAUGGUAUCUUACAACUGUUGUAAGAUAAUUGAGUCUUUUAAUUACACGUGUUAUUUGGAACUUGUUAAAUUGGUCCCUUGUGGGUCCUCGUGGACUCUAAAUUAGCCGUACACCUUUUAAAUAGAAAUAAGUGCAUUACAAUUUUUUUCUAUUUUACUUUAUUUUUGAAAUUUUUUGGAAAAAGUGAUGACUCAUGAUAAUAGAAGAAGAAGAAUAGUAGGAUACAUGUAAUAUCGGUUUAUACUUUAUAUCACUUUUUACUUCUUUCUUUGAUUUUUUUUAAAUUUUUUAUUAUACUUUUUUGUGUCUUUGGGGUCCAAAUAUAUUGUGUAUAAAUAAAUAACGUGGCUUCUGAGUUUAUGGCAAUUUACCAAGCGUUAAUAAUGCUUGAUGAAAAUGUUGCAAUCAGGUAGGGCGGACACAUAUAGAGAUUAUGAUCUCUUAAUCAGCGGUGUUCGUGAAAUGUAGCCAACUGCUAAUUCGGUCGGAGACGAGGGAUAUCUAGUGCAACCAGAAGUUCAUAAUUGUUUUAAAUCAUUUGAGAUUAUUGCGGAGUGCAACGUGUCGUUUGUUAAGAGAAUUAAAAUGAGUCAAAAGGUUUAAGAAAUAAGCUUUGGCUGCUUGGAAAAACCGCUUUCGAGCCUCCACAAAGUAUUGUAGGGCUUAAAUUCUUUUCAAUUAUGAAUAGUAAUUAAGUGAAGACAGUUUUCUUUUCAAUAAUUACCUAAUUAUAAAUUUAUCAGUAAAAAUUUCAUUUAAUAUGAAUUGUAAUAUAAGAAAAGAAAAAAAAAGUAUUCACUUAUGAUAAUAUUCUUAUUUGUAAACGUGUCCUGAGAAUUGAGAUGAUACAUGAUCGUCAAUGUCAUAUACUAAUUGAAAGAGUAGGUUUGCGAGGGCCUGCCGUGCUAAGCAUGGGUUUUCAUUUCCCUUAACCGCUUGAAAUGAAGCAUGAGGGAAAGAUCUUAUUCCACCUAUGUUUUAUUAUUAAUAAAUAAUUUUUUUUUUAUCUAUUAACCAAUAAUUAUCGGAGCGAGUUUUACUCAAGAGAACUUCAAUAAUAAAAAAUGUUUGAUCUCACUGAAAUGACAAGUUAUUUAAGGUUAUUGAAAAUCUAAACAAAAAUUACUUUUAGGAAAAUGCUAAACGAAGAGAAUGGCGUGAGAACGCAACGUGAUAAUAUUAAAUGUAUAGUAAAUGUCAACUUUUAGCAUUUUCUCUUUCUCACCACGAGUAGCUUUUGCACGACAGAAAAACAAAACAACGUUCAUCACAAAGCUAAUUUUUCUCUCACCCAACGUGAAAAUCACUUUGGCUCAUUUAUUCACCAACGACCACCGAAUAGAUCUAGAGUAGUAGCAAGUGAGGGAGAGGAGUAGUAGAUCUGGAGUACUAGCGAGCGAGAGAGAGGAGGAAGAGGAGGAGGAGUAGCGAGUGAGGGAGAUGAGUAAAUCUCAACAUUAUUUUUUUCUUUCAUACUAGCCUUUUAAGGUUAUAAAAUUCUUUUGUUUUUAUUAACAAGAAUGCUGAAAGCUGCUACUGAAAGAAACGACAUUACUGUAUGUCAUUUCUCUCGGCAUUCUUGGUAAUUAAUUUAUAUUUGUACCACUCUAUUAAUUUACAACUUUGCCAUUCAUAUAAAUAAAUUUAAAAAAAAAAAGUAAAAUCUUAGGUCCAGCCUGAAUGGGCUCACAUUUAGCACUACUCUUACUUUUAUGCUAUCGCAUGAUAUCGUGUAGGGACGGCAAAAUACAGGUUUGGUCUAAGCUUGGAAGGCCAAGCCCAUUUCACGAGAGGCACAACAGGCUAGACUGGUCAAGCCUAAUGUGAGCCCAUUCAGGCUCAAGCUGGACCUAAGAUUUUACUUUUUUUAUUUUUUUAAAUUUAUUUAUAUGAGUGGCAACGUUAUAAAUUAAUAGUGGUACAAAUGUAAAUAAAAUAGUUGAUUUUUUGUAAACUUUGCAUAAUGACAAUUUUGUAAAAUUUGGACAGGCUGUAGCUCAUCUCAGUCCACACAGCCUCACCACUAGGUAUAAACAUGGAGAACAAUUUAUAAAUCCACCAAGCUAAAUUAAAGUCAAACACUUGACAUUAAGAAAUUUCUAAUAAUCUUAGAAAUAAACUAGUCGAUAAUCACUUGAGAUCAUUUCCUCACCCCAUAAUCCAUCAAUUAACUGAGAAAUGACAACUCACCAAUUAGUUUUUCAUCAGAACUCAUAACACAGAACUUACCCAUUCACAUAAUAAAAACAUUGACAUUAAUGAGAGAGUAGCUUAAUCAAAUAAUAAUCCAUUAAUAAAAUGAAAAUUAACAACUUGUACCUUCAUAGAUGAUUCUUGUGCACUUGACUUUCUAAGUAAAGAACGUCACUAUUCUUUUCAAGAAGGCAGCCACCACAAAGCAUAGAAGCUUCUUCAUAUAAUAGUACAACAAUCAAAACCUGAAACAUACGCAUCAGUAUUAAUUUAUUAUAAUUUAGCAGCAGUAAAUAUUUUUUUUCAAAAGUUAUCUGCAGUAAAUAUAAGAAUAACAAAGAAUAAAAUCUUAGAUCAACAACAGAGAACCUAAACUCUACAACUUGCUUGAACUACUAUCAACAUCAUACCACAUAAUCAAAUAGACAAAAUAGUGUAAUAUAUAAUUUGUAUUGACCUCCAUACUAUCACGUAAAAAAUAUUGUAUUAAAAACAAAGGGUAAUUUUUAGGGACCUCCCCUGAGGUUUACCGUAUUGACACAUAGAGAGAAUGUAUCCACGUAAUUACAACCACCUCCCCUCCCGUUAGUAUCCGGUUAGUUUGACUGUUAGUUGACUGUUGAAAUUACUAAAUUACCCUUCCCGCCAAAAUUAUAAGUUAUAAAAUAAGAGAAGAGAACCGAUAAGUAAUAAACUUAACGCUAGAAUCACAAAAGCUAAAAAAAGACCAAAUUACCCAUCUAUGUGAUGUGAUUUCAUUUACAUUAUUUGUUAUUAAAAAAACAGAAAAAAUAAAUUAAAGCUGCCAUUAUUACCGUUGUAAGUAAACGGUAAUAUUUUGAGUAGUAGCAGCAACUAUAAAAGGCCUGGGCAAGUUAGCAAAUGACCAUAGCAGAAUUUCAUCUUCAUCUUCUUCUUACGAUUUUAAGUCAUCAUCCAUUCAACUCUUGAACAGAAGCACUCAUCAUCAUCAUUAAAAGCAUUCAUCAACUCAUCAAAGGAAGCAUUCAAUUCACGACAACAGAAGCAUUCAUCAUCAGCAUCAUCAGAAUCAUUCAUUUAGUUCAUUGACAAAAGCAUUUAUUCAUCAAUUUAAGCAUUCAUCCAACUCACCAACAGAAGCAUUCAACAUAAUCAAGAUCAAACACUAUCUCAACCACAUGGAUUCUGAAAGCUCAAACACAUCCAGCCGAUCAAAUACACAACCAAUUUAUGAGCCAACUUGGAGGAACUUUGUUAAUGGGAGGCUGAUUAAGUUUUCAAAUCGAAUAUGUAGAUGUCGUAUGAGAGCCAAGGUGAUGAUAUCUGAAUCGGAUGAGAAUCCUCACAAGCUUUAUUAUAGAUGCCCGAACAUAACAACAUGCGGAUACUUCAAAUGGUGGGUUCCAGCAAGGGAUGAUUUCAACAAUGGAGCUGUGUUUGAGGGGAAUUUAAGUGCUAUUGUGCAUCAUGAUACCCUAAAUGCUAUUCAAUCAAAUCUGAAAGAAGUGAAGACUAUUAUGAAGAAGCUGCAAAGGUCAGGAUUUGGUGAAGGUGUUGUGAAGAUGAUUAUGUACUUGAACCUAGUUAUGUUUGUGCUGAAUUUAAUUAUGCUUAAGAACUAAUAUGCCUAAGCUAUCCUAUGUUUGCAGAAUGCAGUGAAGUGUAAAAUAUAGUGAUUUUUCUGUGUAAUGUAUUAAUGGAUAAAAAAGAUAAUGCAUGUGACAAUAAUCUAUUAUACAAACUGAUAAUAUUUAGCAUAGUAAGCGAAUAACACAGCACAAGCUCCUGUCCAUAAUUCAGCAAGCACACACAAUAACAAUAAUUUAUAAUUACAAGCUCUUGUCCAUAAUUCAACAAGCACACACAAUAACACAGCACAAGCUCCUGUCCAUAAUUCAGCAAGCACACACAAUAACAAUAAUUCAUAAUUACAAGCUCCUGUCCAUAAUUCAACAAGCACACACAAUAACAAUAAUUCAUAAUUACAAGCUUCUGUCCAUAAUUCAGCAAGCACGCACAAUAACACAACACAAGCUCCUGUCCAUAAUUCAAUCCUUAAAUAGAAUUACAACUAGUAAAUCCCUGAGCAAAAGUAUAAUAACAAUUUCAAGCACAUAACAAGCUUUUGUUAAAACUAACACUAUGAAGCACACACAACAACUCCUAUCACACAGGACAGCCGGUAAAUCCCUGAGCAAAAGUAGAGAUACAAUACAAAUUCAUUCUCAAACUGACAGUAUCAAGCACAAUAAACACAUACAGCAAGUCUCACUUUGUAAUAUCAAGCACAAACAAAGCAAAUUCUAUUGUUUCAAGUGACAGUCGCAAGCACAACAAACACACAAAGUAAGAAACCACGGCAGUAACUAAGUAAUGAAACUACAUAAACUAAAAUCAAUAAAGAACUAUGUAAUAAAACUACAUAAACAUUACUUGUGACUAUAAAUUAUAAAUUCAAAUGCAUUCCAGCAACAAUAAAGUGUCACAUGUCAUUACUGUCGCUACAUUAAUUUUUUCACCAGCUACCACAGCCUCUAUCUCCAUGUAAACAUGACUGCAAGUUAUAAAUAAUAGCACAUGGUAAGCAAAUAACAGCAAAAUCGUAACUAGAAUUGUAUAUUUAUAUAAUAAGAAACAAAUGUAUAUUUAUAUAAAAUUAAUAUAUCAUAAGGGAUGUUAGCAGAUGAACUUUAGUUGACCCCAACCAAAUUAUUAAACUGCAGUUAUCAUUAAUGCAUGCUUGGGCAUUUACAUGCCUUUCGAAAGUUUGUUGCAGAUGGUGAUUAUUCGAUCAUGAGUUGAAACACUUAUAAAUCCAUAACUAAGUUCAUCUACUUGCCAGAAAUCAUUUUGAUUGAUUAGUAACUUAUAACAAGCUUAAUUAACACUAACAGGGGAUGUGGAUGCUCUUUAAUCUAUAUAUAAAUGGGCAACUCAAAGUUAAAAUUUCAUAAAAAAAUCCUCUCAAAUUUGUCGGCUGAAUUAAUUUCAACAAAGUGGUCACUCGUAAAAUUAGAGACGGCCUUAAAUUUACAGUGACAUGUGCAUGCAAAGAUCUUUUAAUCUUUCUUUGAGCUGGGCUUUUAAUCCAUUGAUUGAACAUGGAAUCAUCGUCAUGCUUUGCAGACAACUUUACAAUUUCUUUUUCUUUAUUAUUUUUUUGAGUCUCAGGGUUGGUGGAAAUUGAAACGAAAAACCCAUUUUCAUUUUUAUUAACGCAAAAUCGUCCCACUCAUCUAUUGCAUCUGUUGCAUCUGAUUUAUAUCUUUAAAUUGUAAUAAAUGAGGAUUACCUCUUUUUCGCACCAAUUCCAGUUGCGAUUGAAGGCGUUCGUCGCCGGUACUUAGUUCGUUGCGCACUUGCGCCACCACCAGAGCUCAUCUCGUUACCUCUUUUUUGCACCAAAUCCUUAAUGAAGCUCUCCUUCACAGCUACAUAAAGAUGAAGAUGUUGUUCGGUGUUGUUUACGUGAAAGAGGAGGCUAAGUGUAACAUUCAUUUCGUGAAAAUUUUUAUUUGCUUUUGUCCACUGGUUAUUGCAGAGCACUGGUUAAUGGAGUAAACUCUUACAAUUUUCUCAGGCGUUCAUCCUCACAAAGCUGCACUUUUGAAUUCUUUUGAAUUUUAAAAGGCAAUUUUACAUAUUUACCCUCACAUACUGAUGCCAUACGUAACCGGAUACUAACGGGAGGGGAGGUGGUUGUAAUUAUGUGGAUAUAUUCUCUCUAUAUGUCAAUACGGUAAACCUUAGGGGAGGUCCCUAAAAAUUACCCUAAAAACAAAUUAUAAAUUGUUUAGUGAUCACAAUGGAUCCUGGAAAUGACAACAACUACAUUAUUAUAAUGAGUUUGACAUGUCAUUGUACAUGGAUUCGUUAUGAUGAAUCAUGAAACACCGUUGAGUAGUUAAUUCAGCCACUUUUCACCUAUAAAUUCGAUGGCAUACUUUGAAUACACAACAUGGUUAUAAAUAAAAAUUUAGAGAAUUUUUGUGGGAAAGAAUAAUUUUAUUGACAAAAGAUUAAGUACAAAAUUAUAACAUCUCCAUUUUUAAUAUAGCUGACAUAAGUUAUUUGAGUUAAAAAAAAAAAAAAGAGGGAACUUAGAUACGCCAUAUUAAAUAGGGCAGUAAUAAAAAAAAAUCUAAUUAACAAAAAUUAUUUGAGCAAAUGACAAAUAUUCGCUAAGAAACUCUUUUUCAUUUUUUUCCCAAAUAAUAAUCAAUGUUUUUUUCCACUACGCAUUGAAAGAGCUCGCAUCGACAUCAAUCAUGAACCAGUCGUGGCCUAUAUUGCCUGCAUUAUGAAUACCACCUAUGACCUUUAGAGCCUAACCGUUUAUCUCAGUCUAUUUUUAAUACUCAGUCACAGGUCCAGACCAUUCAAGUUCAGGACAUGACCCUACUAGUCCCAUUAUAUAUCUAUUUAAAUUUCUUUUUUUUAGAAUGUCUAUUUAGAUUUCUUAAAUUUAAAAAGCAAAUCAACAUCUAGCCCUUAAAAAAAAAAAUCUAAAAUCAACAAAGCUAUUAUUUUGAAGAUAUUUUGAAUUCCAAUUCCCAAUUAAAAUCAUGAAUAUAUCAGCUAUAUCAUAGCAUCAGCAUAACUAGUAAGUGGUGACAUCAAAUUUUCAAAUAUUUGGAACUGGAAGCAAAUAUCUAGUUAAUGAUUAAAGUAGCUGACGAAUAAAACCUCUUGUAUUAUCAUAGAGGCUGCCCCAAUAGCUUGCAAUAACUAUGGAUGGUGCAGUAAAGUUUCAGGAUAGAUGAAUAAACUAAAAAGCAAAAGAGAAAUAUCAGUUGCAGCAAGAACUACGUCAUCUCCACCUCGAUUAUUAUUCAAAUAUUAACACCAAAUGGCACUGAACAGCACAAGAGGAAGCAUCAUCCAUAUUUUAAAUGUAUCUGAAUAGCAUAAAUAUGAAAAUCAUUGCAGAAAGUAAAAGAAAAGAAAAAAGUAAAGAGAAAUUUAUCUCACAGCAUUCCUAUUAUUAAAAAUGUGCUCCGAGAUAUAACUUCAUGCACAUUCAGAAGUUCUCAGGCCAAAGAACAUUAUAGCAACUACAAAAACUCAUGAGCCGGCAGGUCUUGUCCCUGUACAAGGUGAAACAACUAAAAUUAUGCUUUUAAGAACU
rnacentral:lncRNA from 1 species